UUAGAUUCCGAACAAUUCCGCUUAGAGUGGAUUGUUCAAGUUUCAGAACUGGUUCAACUGCUGCAGAGAGAAGACCAAAAGAGGAAAGAUCCAGGGAAACUAAUUUGGAUAGGUAGGAGAUUUCAUAGGGAACUCGGCCGGAAAAAAAAAGAAUGGGAAAGGUCGAGGUGUCUUAAGCUUGCGAAGAGACCAACCUUGGAUGAAAUUUUGGAUUUCUUAAAAUCAUUGAAAGAUAAGUCAAGCCUUUGCAAGUGUGAAAGGAGGAAGAGGCUGCUGUUUGAAGGGAGGGUGCCGGAAAGCCAGCUGCAACUGAGGUCAAGGCUGAUUACUUGACCGGUGAUGUUGUCACAACUGACUCCAUCCCAUAAGCAGCAAUCUAUACCCUCCUUCCACGAGUUGGUCUUAGGAUAAGAUCUAAUGUCAUUAAUCUCACAAUCUUUGGAAGCAGUUUUGUUGAUGGAAAAGAGGGCUUUGAAUUGGAUCAAGGCAGCACUUUGGUCAUGAGAGCACAAUUGUGUUGCUGAAGAAGAAGAUGAAGAGGAUGAAAGAGUAGCUUGAUAACUUAGAAACAAUAGGAAGCAAAGUAACUGAUAGAGGAUUGGCGAGUAUCUCAUCUUGUUAAUUCAAGGGUUAUGUAUAAUAUGAUGGUUAAUUGUCAUGAAUAUUUAUAAUAAGUAUAGAAGACAUGUUAUGGCAUCGAAUAGAAGACUUGUUGACCUCAAAAGUCUUGAGCAAGGACAACAUUUUGUCUCAAAGAAGAAAGAGGAAAAGCUAGAAAGGAUUGUUCGGAGAAAUGAGAGUAGACCUGCCGCCAUCUUUCCUACAGUCUUGGGGUUGAAUGAACCAAGCAAGCAUUUUUCAUUUUACUUUUUUCUUUUCUAACAUGUAAUCAGAAAAUGCUCAAGUAUUCCUAUAACACAGCACUUGAACCACUUACCUCUGCAUUACACCUUACAACAACGAUUUUUGCUUGCUUUUGUGACUGGAAUUAAUGUUACGAUUUUCCACUAUGAAUGCUUAAAAUUUUAACGAUUGUAAAAAUUAAAUCUUAAAUUAUAUGGUUUUAAGUUCUGUCUGAGUAUCAUAGCCGAAAUCUUUAACGUAAUUUGGAAGGACAUUCUCUAUUUAGAAAAUGUGGUAUCCCAAGUUCAAUGACUGAAUAGACAGGAUUGAAAUUUCUUCAUAUGUCUUAAUCUUGUGUUAUGGAUCUCCAUGUCCAAAACAAGGUUCUUCUCACUUCAGUUUAGAUUAAGAUCUUUAAUAUUUUAUAACUUAACAUCUUUAAAGUGGUCUUUAGUCAAGCUAAGUAAUAUUUUUUAUGAGAUUAUAACUUAACAUCUUUAAUCUUGUAUACUCAUAGGCUGCCAAGUCAAACCAAAGUCUUGCAAUGCAGUAAGGAUGCCAAAAGAUUGUAUUAGCACAUUUACUAUACCCUUUUUUUUAAUAUAAUUUGUUUUUUCAAAAUUUUAAGAAUUAAUUUAGUUGAGAUUAUAGGGUCCUGUUCUAAUUCGUAGUGUAGUUGUGAGGAUGAAGAUAAAGGACUUGCUGGGAAGCAGAAGACUCGUUGGCAUAAAAGAGAAAGCCUUCAGCCAGAGAAUUCAAAUACAGGUUGUCAAUCAGACAGGGCAAAGAAGUUGCGUUUUGGAGUCAUGUGAUAACAAUUAUAGCUUAUUCUUAAGCUCAUAAAUGAGCUGCAUGUUCCUAUAGGGUUGAUAUCUCACUUACUUUCUAUACUUUGGGGUUGGAAAUCAUGAUUAAAAAUUUUGAAAGUUUUACUCUAAAACUGAUGGAGAUUUAUUUCCCUGGAUUCAGAGAUUAUUCUCCCCCAAGACCAGGUCAAGUCAUGUAAUGUUAGAAAAUUUGACCAAGACUUUGUGGUUUUUUGUCCAAGAAUUAUCAUUGCGUGUGGCUUGGGGAAAUUGGACGUAGGAUUCUCCAUUUAGAAAAUUUGGCGGAAUCCAUGUUUAAUAAUCGAGUAGACAGGAUUGAAAUUUAUUCAUAUAUCUCAAUCCUCUAACAGCAACCGCGAAAACGAGAGAUUUGCAGCUUGCUUUUGUAAUUGCGGGACCUUAUCUAAUAUCAUUGUAACAAAGUACUUUUCUGUGUUUAAUUAUCGGAGCUCCAAAAAUUUCUUUUCCUAUAAGUCAAGCAAGUCUUUCAAAGGUUAAUUUCUAUUCCAUGUGUGGGGCAGUGAAAGAGAGGACUAACACAAAACUUUUGGCAUUGAAAUUACUUGUCCAUACAGAAAAUAAACGAAAAGCAUUAAAACUAGCAAGAGAUUUACAAAUAUAAAUAUUGUUAAUAAUGGUUAAUUUUGAAGGUUUUACUCUGAAACCGAUGGAGGUUUGUUUUCACGGAUCCAGAGAUCUUUCUCCCUCAAGUUUGACCAAGUAAACAUGUCAGCUACAGUCAAGUUAUGUUAGUUUGGGUUGAAACUUUAAUUAUCAUUUAUAAUAUAAAAAGAGUGCAAUAGUAGAUUUUGAUUAAUAUUUAUUUUCUUAAGAGUUGUUUUACAACGUAAUAUUAUAAAGAGAAUAACAAGAACAAUUAUAACAAGUGAAAUAUUAUUUCAUGUAAAAUAUUAAAAUACCUAAAGUACUAUUUCACUCAGAACAAUUAAAACAAGUUAAGUACUACUUAACGCAAAAUAACUAGAAUAAGUGAAGCACUGCUUUACACAGAACAACUAAAAUAAAUAAAACACUACUCAAUGCAUAUCAACUAAUGUAAGUGGAACAACUACUUCACAUAGUGAAAGCAAUUUGGAAUAAGUGAUAAGGUUUACAAAUUACUUUCAUCUUAAGAUGAUUUAAAGAGUUUGGCUUGAUAACUCGAUAUAGAGGUAAUUAAGAGUUUAGUUUGGUGACUCAGAUAUUCGAAUUUUCUUCUCUAUUGCUUUCAAUAAAUCUUUUUACUUAUUUGCAAUGCUUUUUCUCCCUUUCACGAAGAACCCCUUUACAAAUACCGUAAGGACCGGGGUUAAUUGACAUGAUCUGUCCCAACUGCCAAUUCAUUAGCAAAAAUCUUGACCAAGACAUUAAGGGGUCCAUCCAUUGCCGAAGACGAUAAGGUCUAUGGACAUAUAUGUCGUCAUUGUCACAACUCCCAAAAUUUCUAUUCCUAUAAGUCAAUCAAGUCUUUCAAAGAUUAAUUUAUAAAUCUUUGUGUAUUGUUUUUAGUCCAUUUGAUGGGCUGUGAAAAAUAAUCCAGUCUGUUCUGGGCAGUUUGAUUUUCUUUUUCUGAUGUUUUGUGGUACUGGAUGGAGUCCAUGUAUUAUGUGUCUCCAUAUUAUUCAUCAAUAAAUUCCUGCUAUUCAAAAAGGAAAAUGCAAAGGACUAACACAACAUUUUUGACAUUGAAAUUAUUCAUGCAAAAAGAUUCUAGCUUGCUUUUGGGACUGGAAUUAAUGUUCAGAAUUUCCAUUAUGAAUGCUAAGAAUUUCCAUUAUUAAUUUUAGCAAACCUAAAUGGUAGAGGCAUUUUUAAAGAAAAUUUUACUUGACCAUGCAUUAAAAAGAAAAGACUUUAUUUUUUUCCUUUUAUAGCAAAAAUCUUGAAUUAAAAAAAAGUGUCAGUAAUGAAAUAGAAUAAAAAAGAAUAGAUUUUCUUUUUGGGUGUUAUGUUGAAACCAAAUAAGUCUUAACACGAUUAUUAAUGAGAAGUUGGGGUUCACAAUAAACAACACCAUUAUUUAUUGUGAUAGAAGUGACAUUAUUUGUCUCAUUAUUACAGUGCUAACUAUAACAACUUAAAUUAACUAUAAUAUGAUAUAUGAGAAUUAUCAUAUAAACUAUCUGUAAAAUUUUUAAAUUUUAUGAAUGAGAUUAAAAAGUUUAUCCAUGUCCCUAUAAGUUAAAUAGGUUAUUUAAUAAUAAAGAGCAUGAAAUUAAUUUUAACUCCAAUUGUACUUGAAAUUAAUUUUAACUCCACUUGAACAUGAAAUUAAUUUUAAUAUUAUGAUCUUAUACAUGAAAAAAAAGAGGUAUGACAUGUGAACUGAAAAUUCCUAAGAAUAUCAAACUUUUUUUUCUUUUGUAAAUUUUUGUAUGAUUUAUAAAUCUAGACAGUCAAUUUGUUCUUGUAUAGAGUUAUGAUUCUCACCCAUCAGAAAAUUCAUCAAUAAAGGAAGAGAAAGAUUCUAAUACAUCAAAUCCUAACUAUUAAUCUAAUUAAUAUUGAUUUUGUUGUCAAAUCAUGUAUUAAGAAUUAGAUACAUUUAUUAAUUUUAAAUUCCUUUUAUGGUAGAUCCUAGAUUAGUAUAAAUUAAUUAUGCAUAAAAUUAAGCAAAUAACUCUUUAAACUUUUAAAUUUAGGUUUGAGUCCCGUCUUAUGUGGGUUUAGUUCAACAUGGUAUUAAUUUGUUAAUCUAUUUAAUUUUGUACAUUGGUUUUUUAUAAUUGAAUUUACAGUUUGUUUUUUGUGAAGAAAAAGAGGAUUUGUUAGUCACUAGACCUUACCUGCCAAUAAAGUCUAUGUAUAUGUAAUAUGCCGAAUGGUGAAUGUUGAAUAUAUAUCAAACAGUUAGUCUCAAGACCUUAUUUUAGAUGCCACUUAAGUCAUUUUGUUGAUUGAGAAAUCUGCAAUAAAUUAAUUACACUGCACUUCUUGAACGGCAUUAUGACUCCAAACGUACGCUUAAGAGAUUAACAAAUAAGCUAGUAAUUAAGCUACAUUGUUUUAUAGUACCGAACAUUUGACUCAUUAGUUGGUGUAUAUUCCCUUUGCUUAGAGAGGAGGGUUCGAAUCCCCUUCCCCCAAUUUAAAAAAAAAAAGCUAUGUUGUUUUAUAGAUAUUCACACCAAUGACUUAAUUAUGGACUUUUCAAUAUAUAUAUGUUUGUAAUAAACUUUGGUGUCUCGGAUAUAUCUUUUCACAUCAUAAUAUACUUUUAGAUUUAGAAUUUAUUUAGAUUUCAUUUGAUUAAUACUUUUAUUAUUUAUUAUUUGCUUAACCUUCAUAAAACAGAUAAGGAACAAUCAUUUUAAAGUUAUGGGUGAAAGUGAGAGCAAGGCAGAGGUUAAUGUCAUACCCUCGUCCUCCUAAAUAUCUAAUUUUUCUUCCAAAUCUCUAAAUAAUUUUGAAUGGUCUUAGCAAUGAAAGCUUUCUCUAAAUAGUUUUGGCCAAUAACAAUGAUGAAGUAGCUUUAAUUAUAUCCAGAUUGUCAUCAAACGUUCCCUGCCUUUGUAUUGCAUUUUAUAGUGUUUUACAAGAUUAAUUAAAGACAUUAAAGAAUCAUAAAGUAGUUUUAUAACUUUCUCUAAAGUUAUGCCGAAAAACAAUAUAACCAAUAAUUUUCCUCAAGUUGUCAAUUUCAUUAAAAAAGUAUCAUUUGUCUCAUGGUCCAAACUUCUAAUUGCACAUCCAGGAAAUUGCCACUUCAAAAUCAAAUUCAACUAUCAUAGUUUUCGAACUAACCCAAACUGAAGAAAUAAACAGCUAAAAUGCAUAAUUAAUGGUCAUCAAUUCCACAAAAUUAGAAUCCUAUACUCACUACAAAAAAUCCUACUAAUUCUAACAGAAUUUUUUUGUCAAAAAUAAUCAAAAUUUCAUCAAAAUUGACUUUUUUUUUAAUAAAUUUUCAACAGAAAAUUCUGUUGAAAAUUUCAUCACAAAAGAGGUUGAUGGUUAUACAGCUUUUGGUUGGAAAUUGGUCGAAAAUUUCUGAUGAAAAUAUUCUAUCGAAAAAGCUACAAUAUUCUAUCGAAAAUUAAUUUGUUUAAUAUCAAUCAGUUGAAAAGACUAAAAUGUUGAGCAAGACAUAAACAGAGGGGUCCAUCCUUUGGCAAAGAUGAAAAGCUCUAUGGACAUAUAUGUUGUCAUUUUUACUUUAUGAAUCUCUUGUAUUGAUUUUAUUCUAAUACAGAGGAGGGGACUAAUACAACACUUUUGGCAUUGAAAUUAUUUAUUCAAAAAGAAAAGCAUUAAAACUAACAAAGGAGUUACAUUUUCCACCCAAACCCCUAAAAUUAUCAAAUUAAAAAAAUAGAAGAAAUAAAAAUUAAUAUUCUUAGAAUCACUACUCUCUCUGUCCUCUAUUAUUGAAAUUAAUAUUCUUAGACUUGUUAUGGCAUAGAAUAGAAGACUUGUUGACCUCAAAAGCUUUGAGCAAGGAUUGUUCAGAGAAAUGAGAAUACACCUUCCGCCAUCUUUCCUACUACAAUUUUCCUUCAAAAAGAAUAAAUAAGGAGGCUAAAAGGGAAUUCUUCGUUCAACAAUUAUGAUUAGUUGUUGUGGAUUGUCCAGUGAAAAACGUUUAAUUUGCUUCUAACGUCGACUUGGGAAUACGUUGCUCUUUUUGCGUCUAACGUGUCCAAUGGGAGCAUUGUGCUUUCUCUUUGUAAUUAUUUUUAAUUAUAUAUAUUUUUAUUUUAUAUAUAUUUUAUGAAAUUUGACAGAUUAAGUCGAUGUCUCUUAAUUUGUGACACCCACUUGAUCACUCUCGUUAUAAUAUAUAAAUUAUUCAAAUUUUUAAAAAAUUAUAAAUGAAAAUAAUAGAAUUAUUGCAAAUGAAAAUGAAAUAUUGUAAAAACAUAACAGACUAAAGUGGAAAUUAUCUAGAGAAUUGCAUGUUGAAGUUAGCAAUACUGUGAAAAACUAUUUUUUAAUAUUAUACACUCUUCCUUUUUUAACUUUUUAUUAUUAAUUGAUAAUUCUUUAAUUUUCUUUUAUAAUAAUUUAUUUUUACGACUCAAGGGGUACUUGUAAUGACUGAAAUCAAUUAGAGUGGUUGGGCUAAAACCAUGAGAGACUUGGAAACCCAAUCACACCAACUACAACUUUUUUCAAAUUCAAACUGAAAAUGAUGAUUAAAUUUCUCUCAUAUAAAUAGAAAUUCCUUUGUUGACUUGAGAAAACGUUGCUCUUUUUUCUUCUAGCGUGUUCAAGAGGGGCAUGGUGCCUUCUUCUUUGUAAUUAUAUUGGGGCCUCCAUUGCCUACCCAAUUUAAGCUAGUGGCUCUUUUAACAUGUAAGAUUUAAGACAUAAGAAUAUAAACCCGAGACUUGACUCAUGCCCUUGUUUUCCACAACAUUGAAUACUUAGUUAACUAGCCUUUCUCACAUGUACUAUUAGGAUGGAAGCAAAAUUUUUUUUAACUAUACAUUUGAAUUUUAAAAAAUUUAAAGGAUAAAAAUAACUUAUAUUAAAUAUAGAAUUUACAAUCUCAUUCAUAAGAAAAGCAAAAACAAUAUAUUUAUUUUUAUUUACAAUCUUGACUAAGACUUAAUGGUUUUUUUGGGUCCAUGAAUCAUUCUUCCUUUGACGUGCCUGGAACGCAAUUGGAAAAUGUGGUAUUCCAAGUUCAAUAACUGAAUAGAUAAGAUUGAAAUUUCUUCAUAUAUCUCAGUCUUGUAAUACAGACCACAUAGGAUGAAAAUAGAUAAUUGUUUUUUUUUCUUCAUUAACUUUUUUAACAAAGGUACAUAUUAAUUAUAUGAAAAGUUUAUAUUAACAAUUAAAUAAUUUACGUUACAUAAAUUCAUAAUUUUUUUAAUAUCAGAAGAAUUUUUUUUGUAUUUUUUUUGUAUGAUUCACAAAUCUAGACGAUCAAUCUAUACUUGUAUAGAUUUGAGGUUUUUCAGCAUUGUAAAGUUAAUUGAUCAAGAAAGAAGAAGAUCUUAGUAGAUUGAAUCUCAACAGUUAAUUUGGUUAAUAUUGUUUCCAUUGUCAAAUCAUGUAUUAAGAAUUAGUUACAUUUUUAAUUUUAAAUUUCUGUUAUGAUUGAUCCUGAAUUAGUUAAAUUAAUUCUACAUAAAUUUAACAAAUAACUCUUUAAAUUUUUAAAUUUAGGUUUGAGUCUCAUCUUAUGCAAGUCUCAACAUGGUAUUAAUUUGUUAAUCUAUUUAGUUUUAUUCAUUGGUUUUUUAUAUUGGAUAUAAUUGUAAUAUUAACUUGUACAUGUCACGAACAAAAGGAUGGCUAUGAAUUUACAGUUCUUUUUUUUUUUUAAGAAAAAGAGGAUUUUCAGUAUGUGUCUAGUCGCUAGACCUUACAUGCAUGCCAAUAGAGUCUAGGUAUAUGCCGAAAAUGUAGCGUGUAUUUAAUGGUGAAUGUUGAAUACAUAUCAAACAGUUAGUCUCUAGACCUAAUCCUAGAUGCCAUAAAGUCAUUUUGUUGACUGAGAAUCUGCACUAAAUUAAUUACAAGGACGAUUUGCAACAGUUCAAUUAUGUGACAUCCUUCUUAAUGUAAAAAGUUGAGUACCAAAUAUUUAGGUUGCUGCUUGAACAGCGCUGUAACUCCAAACAAACUGUCACGACCCGAAACUCCCAUCGGGUCCAUGACAAUCGCCAUGACGUCCCGAUAGGCACUCAUUACUCGAAAUGCCGAUCGAAACCCCGUAAGGCUUAGCAUCAGCUUUUGCAUCUCCCUAGUGAGCGACAGUUAUUAAAUCUUGCAUUCAAGAAAUCAUAAGUCGUUUUCAAAUUAAAACAAUAAAAUAUUAUUUUAUUCACCAAAAAUUUUUAAUAGCAUAAUAUGGCGAAUAAAAUUUAAUCCAGUCUACCGAGACCAAUCUAAAACUGUUCAAAUAUUUCAUGCCAACCCCAAAAAUUUAGCCAUCAUGCUACCAUAGUGUCAUAAGCCACAAUUUCAAUAACAUAUAAAAUCAUAAAUUUCAACACAGUCUCCAUAUACUCAAUUUUUUCAAAACAAUAUUUGAUUUCAAAAUCAGUAUAAAUCUCAUUUUUUAUAAAAAAAUAUUUUAAUUGGAAAACAUAAUAUUUUAUAAUUUAAACUCACCAUUCAAUAAAAGCAUCAAACAAGUAUAAUUACUCUAGAUAUUUAAAACGAUAAAUUGUCCACUCAUAGUGUUAGGAGUAGAAAUACUCCUAUUUUCAGUCCACGAGUACGGUCUUUUACCCGUAUCCAGUGGCUCACCACCUAGCCAUAAUCCAUGACACAUAUUCCAAUUAAAUUGUGUCUAAUAGUCAUAAGGUAUUUCAGGCUCAAUAUAUAUGAAUGAUAUGAAAUGAAAAAUGCACGGGUAGCCAUCUAGACCUGGUAUUGGCCGAAGUCGAUUUUUCAUCCGAUAAAUUAGCCAAUGCGUCCAAUUUCACUCCAACUUGCUCCAUUUCUUUUCCAAUUCCUCAAUUCACCAAAAACUAUUAUUUCUUAACCAAAUCACCUAGAAUAACAUCCUAUUCUUCCUCAUUAUUCACUUAGAGAAUUCAGCUAUUGAUGGCACCAAACCUUUGGUGGUUUUCUUUACUUGUUUUCAUGCUACACAUCAUUAAUAACCUAAAAAUACUAACGUACUUAAAAAUCAAACCAAUCCAAGAUCAUUCUCUCUCCAUACCCAUUUUGACCAGCCAUGAAUUCACCAUGAAAGCAUGCUUUUCAACCAUGGAAAUUAAGAAAAAAUGCAUGGGUAAGGUAAAUCACUAGCAAAAUCAAAGAAAUUUUACCUUUGCUUGAUCAAAAUCCUUGAAUUCCAACACUUUCUCUUUGAUUUUUCCCACCUAGGGUUUGUUCUUCCUUGGUUUCUCUUCUCUUCUGGUUUGGCUGACCACUAUUGGAGAAAUGGGCUGAUUUUUAUGCCUUUUUAUAAAGAAACAAUAAAAUAAUAAAAACAUGACACAUGGCAUUUCCUUAUUGGUUCAAAUUUUAAAUAUUUACUUUUAAUUAUUUAAUUCUCCACUACAUUUUUCAUGUUUAUCCAUUUCCAUGAUGAAUAAAAUCCCUUGGUCUUGACAAGUGUCGGGGGUAAAAAUUUACCGAAUUUGCCCUCAAGGUGGCAAAAUUACCAUUUCGCCCCUAUACUCCAAAUUAUACCGAAAUUUAAAAUUUUUCACUUCUAAACCUCAAAUCAUACUCCAAUACUCAAAUCAUAUUCCAAUAAGUCAAAUGGGGCCAAAAAACUUUUCUAAAAUUCCCAUUUUGUCCAUAGGUGGCGAAUGAUCAUUUUACCCUUGGAUAGUGAAAAUUUCGAUUUGACUCCAAAUUAAUCCUCGAACUCCAAAUCACUAUUUUAAAUCAUUCAUGGACUGUGAAACUCUUAAUUUCACCUUAAAAUUCCUAUUUGAACUAAUUCGAGGCUUAAUCGACUAAAUGGUACCAUUGGGGCAAUAUCGUCUUUUAACGAUUUCUUAAACUUCCUAAAUAUGCAAACAUUCUAUUGAGCAUGUAAAUGACGUCGUAAUUAUUUUAUAAAAUAGGGUUUGACAACACUAACCCCCUUAAAUUAAAAUUUUGUCCUCAAAAUUUCUCUUAUUAAAUUCAAAGGAAAGGUAGGGUAUUAUCUUUUAUUCGAUGCUCAACUUCUCAUGUUAUCUCUUUUAUAGGGAAUCUUGAGUUGCUCCUCGUAUUUAUUUCCAACUCAACUUGAAUACUUCACUUAUAUCUAUUAUUACCCUUUAGAAUUUGAUCAGCAAUAAUCCUCUUAAUCAUGAGUCUUUAUGUCAUUUAGGAUUACGCUAGGUAGUUUCCCAAGAUAAAGAGUCUACGCAGCUUCCUAUUUAUAAUUGGUGCUGCAGUCACUGACUAUAAACAAGACUCUAUGUCAACUCCACUAUUUCGUUGUUUACCACAAGAGUUGCUUCAUUUAAUCACUUUUCAUUCAAUUGAGUUAAUACAAGAAUUAUAAAUCCUCAUAGUAAUCCUUUAUAGUACUCAUUUUCUAUGCCACCAUCGUAAUCCUUUAUUCACAAAUUCGUUACUUAACAUUGAUGUCCCUUCUCGUUAAUCUCUCAUCCUCUUUAUUUCUUAAGAUUUGACUUUGAUCAAUACAUUAUUGAUCUUAAUACUCCACAAGGUAAUUUAUUUCAAUGUAGCCGUUGGAAUNNNNNNNNNNNNNNNNNNNNNNNNNNNNNNNNNNNNNNNNNNNNNNNNNNNNNNNNNNNNNNNNNNNNNNNNNNNNNNNNNNNNNNNNNNNNNNNNNNNNNNNNNNNNNNNNNNNNNNNNNNNNNNNNNNNNNNNNNNNNNNNNNNNNNNNNNNNNNNNNNNNNNNNNNNNNNNNNNNNNNNNNNNNNNNNNNNNNNNNNNUACCAAUAUUCACAUAUCUUUACCAUGAUAAUUUCUCGAAUAAAUUAAACUUGUGGGGGAAAACAUACUUUACAAUUAAUAUCUCCCUCUAUAAGCAUCUCAAAAAAUCCUCAUGUCCUAUGUUCCACCUUAGGACAGUCUUCCCAUAUUGUUCAAUAGAUCACAACUUCAUCACACGCCUAAUGAUUCAUUGUUUAUAUUAUCCCACUGUUCUCAUAGUCGUAACCGAUUAUAUUCCUUAUCUUAAAAUUUUACGGUAUCAUUUUCUAAUUCUCUCCAUACUCAAAUUUAUAAUCUUUGACUUAACCCCGUUAACUAGUGAUUAAUUAAUAGUACUGCAAGGUUCAAUCGUUAUUAAAUCUAAUAAUUGCUGAAACCAUUAAUGGCUUACUAUUUCAACCUUCAAUACUUAUUUAAAAUAAUUGAUCUCGCCACUAAGAUAAUUAUUCAUCCUCAACAUUUAUAUUAUUAAUCUACCUUUGUCAUACUAAAAGAUUUUUAUACUACUUUUGUCAUUUAAAUAACUACUCCAUCAGCCGUUUAUAUUAUACAAGAUAAAAGUCAACUCCUAAGCCUUUUAUACAGGGGAUUAUUAUCCUUCUUAUACUACAUCUGCCUAGGAUUACAGUAUUACAAGCUUCAACAAGGCACUAAACAUCUUUAGGAUCAUUAUCAUCUUGAUCCUUUUUCGAGUCCGUUUUAAGUUUUCCCUUUUUCUUCUCUUGCCAUUUACUUACAUCGCUCCCAUAGCCUGGGGGAGAAUGUCUAACGACAAUCACUUAAUCUCUUAUAUACCCUGAAAACAAACAUGUCUCUAUAUGCAGACUCAUGCAUUCUAUUUGACUUAACUUAACUUAGGCCACGCAGUGUCAGUGCAGAUUUCUUAAAACAACUUUAAAACCAAAUAUUCUGAUUUUUAAACCCAAAAUCAUGCUCUGAUACCAACUGAAUUGUCACGACCCAAAACUCCCAUCGGGCCCAUGACAACCACCGCGACAUCCCGAUAGGCACUCAUUACCCGAAAUGCUGAUCAGAACCCCGCAAGGCUUAGCAUCAGCUUCCGCAUCUCUCUGGUGAGCGACGGUUAUUAAAUCUCGCAUUUCAAGAAAUCAUAAGUCAUUUCCAAAUCAAAAAAAUAAAAUAUUAUUUUCUAGCUCACAGAGGCAUUUUCAUCGUUUUUCUUUGAAUAUACCGAAACUCGUCAAAAACAUGGUGUAAAAGCUAAAUAUGUUCAUACAUACUUUAAAUCAGAUAACUGAAGUAUAAAAUUACUUUUACAAUAACAUGUGGGCCCCCAACUGACCAAAAGGUGUAGGGCUACGAACCAUUUCUUUCUAGGAUGCAACUCCGAGAUUAAUUCUCGUCUUAAUCAACUAUCAAUAAACUGUCCUGAGCCUGAAAAAUGGAUAGGAAGAGGGGUAAGAUUACAUAAUCCCAGUGAGUAAAUAAUUACCAUCAAAAGCAUCUAAAGUCAAGUAGAUAGAGACAAUAUAAAAACGUUAAAUAUCAAUAAUGUUCAUAACGCAAAAUUCAUUUCAAUCUAUACCAAACAAUUUCUUUUCGUCAAAAUUUCCCGACCUAAAAUUUCUUAAACUUGACCCCUUCCAGAAUCAUUCUCAUGGGUACCUUCGUCAAGGUAUCCCACUGAGACUGCCAAGGUUGUUAAAUGUCCCAUACCCAUAAACAUGUUUUCACAUCUGACACACAGUCGUUCCUUGGCGUUGCCUGAGUCUCACUCUCACGCGGUGGCCCGAACUUGAGGUGCACUCAAAUCUUACCUCAAGAGAUACUUCAUCCAACAUCUCCCCCCGGAGGUAAAUAUAUAAUUGGGUUACCGUGCCCUUCUCAUAGGCAGUCCACGAACAACCCUCACCACUGCAGUGACCGUUUAAUAUACCACCAGACCCAUAGAAUUUCCAGUAGCAUAAUAUGGCGAAUAAAAUUUAAUCCAGUCUGCCGAGACCAAUCCAAAAUUGUUCAUAUAUUUCAUGCCAACCCCAAAAAUUUAGCCAUCAUGCUACCAUAGUGUCAUAAGCCACAAUUUCAAUAGCAUAUAAAAUCAUAAAUUUCAACACAGUCUCCAUAUACUCAAUUUUUCCAAAACAAUAUUUGAUUUUAAAAUCAGUAUAAAUCUCAUUUUUUAUAAAAAAACAUUUUAAUUGGAAAACAAAAUAUUUUAUAAUUUAAACUCACCAUUCAAUAAAAGCAUCAAACAAGUAUAAUUAAUCUAGAUAUUUAAGACGAUAAAUUGUCCACUCAUAGUGUUAGGAGUAGAAAUACUCCUAUUUUCAAUCUACGGGUACAGUCUUUUACCCGUAUCCAGUAGCUCACCACCUAGCCAUAAUCCAUGACACAUAUUCCAAUUAAAUUAUGCCUAACAGUCAUAAGGUAUUUCAGGCUUGAUAUAUAUGCAUGAUAUGAAAUGAAAAAUGCAUGGGUAGCCAUCUAGACUUGGUAUUGGCCGAAGUCGAUUUUUCAUCCGAUAAAUUGGCCAAUGCAUCCAAUUUCACUCCAACUUGCUCCAUUUCUUUUCUAAUUCCUCAAUUCACCAAAAACUAUUAUUUCUUAAUCAAAUCACCUAGAAUAACAUCUUAUUCUUCCUCAUUAUUCACUUAGAGAAUUCAGCUAUUGACGGGCACCAAACCUUUGGUGGUUUUCUUCACUUGUUUUCAUGCUACACAUCAUUAAUCACCUAAAAAUACUAACAUACUUAAAAAUCAAACCAAUCCAAGAUCAUUCUCUCUCCAUACCCAUUUUGACCAGCCAUGAAUUCACCAUGAAAGCAUGCUUUUCAACCAUGGAAAUUAAGGAAAAAUGCAUGGGUAAGGUAAAUCACUAGCAAAAUCAAAGAAAUUUUACCUUUGCUUGAUCAAAUCCUUGAAUUCCAACACUUUCUCUUUGAUUUUUCCCACCUAGGGUUUGUUUUUCCUUGGUUUCUCUUCUCUUCUGGUUUGGCUGACCACUAUUGGAGAAAUUGGCUGAUUUUUAUGCCUUUUUAUAAAGAAACAAUAAAAUAAUAAAAACAUGACACAUGGCAUUUCCUUAUUGGUUCAAAUUUUAAAUAUUUACUUUUAAUUAUUUAAUUCUCCACCACACAUUUCUCAUGUUUAUCAAUUUCCAUGAUGAAUAAAAUUCCUUGGUCUUGACAAGUGUCGGGGGUGAAAAUUUACCGAUUUACCCCCGAGGUGGCAAAAUUACUAUUUCGCCCCUAUACUCCAAAUUAUACCGAAAUUUAAAAUUGUUCACUUCUAAACCUCAAAACAUACUCCAAUACUCAAAUCAUAUUCCAAUAAGUCAAAUGGGCCCAAAAAAUAUUUUUUUAAAUUCUCAUUUUGUCCCCAAGUGGGAAAUGACCAUUUUACCCCUAAAUAGUAAAAAUUUCGGUUUGACUCCAAAUUGAUCCUCGAACUCCAAAUCACCAUUUUAAAUCAUUCAUGGACUGUGAAACUCUUAAUUUCACCUUAAAAUUCCUAUUUGAAUUAGUUUGAGGUUUAAUCGAUUGAAUGGUACCAUUAGGGGUAAUAUCGUCUUUUAACGACUUUUUGAACUUCCUAAAUAUGCAAACAUUCUAUUGAACAUGUAAAUGACGUCGUAAUUAUUUUAUAGAACAGGGUUUGACACAAACACUAAGAGAUUAACAAAUACACUACACUUCAACAUUUUUUACCUAUGGUUGUCAAGAAAAUUGCAGCCAUAGGUGAAAAUUUUACUAUCUUAGCUUAAGGUUGCACUUAAAAAAAGUGUAAUUUUAACUAAUGUAUGGAAAAAUUUGGCUGCACUUUUUACGAGAUUUUGCAGCAAAAUUAAUAUUCACCUAUGUAUUGCAGCAAUUAAAAUAGACAGCUAAAAAGUGUAGCAACACAUACAACAUUCUAAUAUACAAUAAAAAGGUGCAAAUUUUAUAAAUUUUACAAAUUUUAAAGCAACUUAUAAAAUAUAAACCAUGCAAAUUUUACAAUCAAUACUGAUCAUUUAAGAAAUUACUAAGUAAAACUACAGAGCACAUUGGAAAUAUAUCAGAGCUCUUCAUAUAAAUUUGCGAAGGAGUUAGCUUUUCCUUGCCAGACAUUAACAGGUAUUAAGAGCCAAGAUGUCCACCAAUCCCAAGGUUUAUGGAGGCCAAGUGUAUAGUGAACAACACAAAGUUCACUCUCAUCUACCAUCCACUGCACAAUUUGAAAUACCCCAUACUUUGAUAUAGUGAUAAAUAAAGUUGAUCGAAUGCAAAUUGAGGUCAAUAAAAAUGUUUAAAAAGUGAUAAAAAGACGAAAGGAGUAGUUUAGGAUAAAAUAUUUCGCAAGUGAGGAAAUAACAAUAAAAUAAUAAUAAUUUAUCGGAGGAGAAUUUGUGAGAUAAAAGGUGAUUCAGAAGUCAAGUGAGGCAUAAUAAGGUAUUUUGGGUACCAAGGAGACAAGAUAAAAUUUUUNNNNNNNNNNNNNNNNNNNNNNNNNNNNNNNNNNNNNNNNNNNNNNNNNNNNNNNNNNNNNNNNNNNNNNNNNNNNNNNNNNNNNNNNNNNNNNNNNNNNNNNNNNNNNNNNNNNNNNNNNNNNNNNNNNNNNNNNNNNNNNNNNNNNNNNNNNNNNNNNNNNNNNNNNNNNNNNNNNNNNNNNNNNNNNNNNNNNNNNNNNNNNNNNNNNNNNNNNNNNNNNNNNNNNNNNNNNNNNNNNNNNNNNNNNNNNNNNNNNNNNNNNNNNNNNNNNNNNNNNNNNNNNNNNNNNNNNNNNNNNNNNNNNNNNNNNNNNNNNNNNNNNNNNNNNNNNNNNNNNNNNNNNNNNNNNNNNNNNNNNNNNNNNNNNNNNNNNNNNNNNNNNNNNNNNNNNNNNNNNNNNNNNNNNNNNNNNNNNNNNNNNNNNNNNNNNNNNNNNNNNNNNNNNNNNNNNNNNNNNNNNNNNNNNNNNNNNNNNNNNNNNNNNNNNNNNNNNNNNNNNNNNNNNNNNNNNNNNNNNNNNNNNNNNNNNNNNNNNNNNNNNNNNNNNNNNNNNNNNNNNNNNNNNNNNNNNNNNNNNNNNNNNNNNNNNNNNNNNNNNNNNNNNNNNNNNNNNNNNNNNNNNNNNNNNNNNNNNNNNNNNNNNNNNNNNNNNNNNNNNNNNNNNNNNNNNNNNNNNNNNNNNNNNNNNNNNNNNNNNNNNNNNNNNNNNNNNNNNNNNNNNNNNNNNNNNNNNNNNNNNNNNNNNNNNNNNNNNNNNNNNNNNNNNNNNNNNNNNNNNNNNNNNNNNNNNNNNNNNNNNNNNNNNNNNNNNNNNNNNNNNNNNNNNNNNNNNNNNNNNNNNNNNNNNNNNNNNNNNNNNNNNNNNNNNNNNNNNNNNNNNNNNNNNNNNNNNNNNNNNNNNNNNNNNNNNNNNNNNNNNNNNNNNNNNNNNNNNNNNNNNNNNNNNNNNNNNNNNNNNNNNNNNNNNNNNNNNNNNNNNNNNNNNNNNNNNNNNNNNNNNNNNNNNNNNNNNNNNNNNNNNNNNNNNNNNNNNNNNNNNNNNNNNNNNNNNNNNNNNNNNNNNNNNNNNNNNNNNNNNNNNNNNNNNNNNNNNNNNNNNNNNNNNNNNNNNNNNNNNNNNNNNNNNNNNNNNNNNNNNNNNNNNNNNNNNNNNNNNNNNNNNNNNNNNNNNNNNNNNNNNNNNNNNNNNNNNNNNNNNNNNNNNNNNNNNNNNNNNNNNNNNNNNNNNNNNNNNNNNNNNNNNNNNNNNNNNNNNNNNNNNNNNNNNNNNNNNNNNNNNNNNNNNNNNNNNNNNNNNNNNNNNNNNNNNNNNNNNNNNNNNNNNNNNNNNNNNNNNNNNNNNNNNNNNNNNNNNNNNNNNNNNNNNNNNNNNNNNNNNNNNNNNNNNNNNNNNNNNNNNNNNNNNNNNNNNNNNNNNNNNNNNNNNNNNNNNNNNNNNNNNNNNNNNNNNNNNNNNNNNNNNNNNNNNNNNNNNNNNNNNNNNNNNNNNNNNNNNNNNNNNNNNNNNNNNNNNNNNNNNNNNNNNNNNNNNNNNNNNNNNNNNNNNNNNNNNNNNNNNNNNNNNNNNNNNNNNNNNNNNNNNNNNNNNNNNNNNNNNNNNNNNNNNNNNNNNNNNNNNNNNNNNNNNNNNNNNNNNNNNNNNNNNNNNNNNNNNNNNNNNNNNNNNNNNNNNNNNNNNNNNNNNNNNNNNNNNNNNNNNNNNNNNNNNNNNNNNNNNNNNNNNNNNNNNNNNNNNNNNNNNNNNNNNNNNNNNNNNNNNNNNNNNNNNNNNNNNNNNNNNNNNNNNNNNNNNNNNNNNNNNNNNNNNNNNNNNNNNNNNNNNNNNNNNNNNNNNNNNNNNNNNNNNNNNNNNNNNNNNNNNNNNNNNNNNNNNNNNNNNNNNNNNNNNNNNNNNNNNNNNNNNNNNNNNNNNNNNNNNNNNNNNNNNNNNNNNNNNNNNNNNNNNNNNNNNNNNNNNNNNNNNNNNNNNNNNNNNNNNNNNNNNNNNNNNNNNNNNNNNNNNNNNNNNNNNNNNNNNNNNNNNNNNNNNNNNNNNNNNNNNNNNNNNNNNNNNNNNNNNNNNNNNNNNNNNNNNNNNNNNNNNNNNNNNNNNNNNNNNNNNNNNNNNNNNNNNNNNNNNNNNNNNNNNNNNNNNNNNNNNNNNNNNNNNNNNNNNNNNNNNNNNNNNNNNNNNNNNNNNNNNNNNNNNNNNNNNNNNNNNNNNNNNNNNNNNNNNNNNNNNNNNNNNNNNNNNNNNNNNNNNNNNNNNNNNNNNNNNNNNNNNNNNNNNNNNNNNNNNNNNNNNNNNNNNNNNNNNNNNNNNNNNNNNNNNNNNNNNNNNNNNNNNNNNNNNNNNNNNNNNNNNNNNNNNNNNNNNNNNNNNNNNNNNNNNNNNNNNNNNNNNNNNNNNNNNNNNNNNNNNNNNNNNNNNNNNNNNNNNNNNNNNNNNNNNNNNNNNNNNNNNNNNNNNNNNNNNNNNNNNNNNNNNNNNNNNNNNNNNNNNNNNNNNNNNNNNNNNNNNNNNNNNNNNNNNNNNNNNNNNNNNNNNNNNNNNNNNUUAUUUUGUUUUUAAAUCAUUAAAUAUAUAUUUUCUGCUUACCUAUUACAUUUUUAGCAAGUUUUGAGAUUUUUGACGAAAAAUUACGAAAAUGCCCCUAUGAGCCAGAAAAUAAUAUUUUAUUGUUCUUAUUUGAAAAUGACUUAUGAUUUUUUUAAAUGCGAGAUUUUAUAAUUGUUGCUCACCGGGGAGAUGCGAAAGUUGAUGCUAAGCCUUACGGAGUUUCGAUAGGCAUUUGGGGUGAAGAAUGUCUGUCGAGGCCUCGUGGCGGUUGUCACGGGCUCGAUGGGGAGUUUCGGGUCGUGACACAAUUCAUAAAGAGAUGAGGAUACUUAACCAGAAAAUAAAAAAAUCGUAAGCCAAGAAAAAAAAAGAAUGUUGUUCCUUUUUCGUUUUUGCAAAAGUUCCAUCGAUGUAUAGUUAAAAGAAGAAAGUCCUGACAACCAAAGAAAAGAACUGAAACAAAUCGUCAUGAUUUAAAAACAAGAGAAAGUCCAUAAAAUUCUGUUAUCAUAAUGCAUAAAGUGAGGAUUCAAAUAAAUGAAAAGCAAAUUGCCAAAAUGAAUUUAAAAUUAUACAUAAUCAGCAUAUUGUAAAUCUCAAUUGCUUGAUUACAAGGCAAAGAUAGACAGAAAGGAAAUAGCAACCUGCUUGAUCAUGUUCAUCAUCAUGGUUGAAAAUACAUUUUCUUCUCUUCUAUUAAAAUUCUAGGUUGAUUGAAUCUUGUAAUUGGUCUCGUAACCAACUCAAGCUUCUCUACAAACUCCGGUUACACUUCAAAAAUUGAGCAUAUACUAUUUUUUUUUACUCGUUCCUCUAUAUCUUUUUAAAGGAGUUUUUAUUCUAAUCUUUUUUUGAUAAGCUGAUUUUCAUAGAUAGUAAAAUGAGCUGUACAAGGUUAGAAGCGAGACAAAACGAAGCUUCAUAACCAAGACAUGAAAAAGAGGAAGCAAUCUGCUUCCAUCAGCUUAGCUACAAGCAAGCAAACAUCUAUAUAAAAUAUCAUCAUACAAAGGUGGCAAGGACAUACAAUUUUGCCAAAAUUCAUCACAUGCAAAAGAAGCUUGUAGGCAUCGAAAAUUUAGAGGCCAAAAUCUCGAAGCACAAAAUAGAUGGUAGACACCAGCAGAACUUGACAUCUGCAAGCAUUUCUUUUCCACAUCCUGUUAUGUUGAAACCGAAUAAGAAAGAACUAAUUUUCUUUUUCGGUGUUAUGUUGAAACCGAAUAAGUCCUAUCACCAUUAUUAAGGAGAAGAAACAUGAUGGUGCUCUUUAGAAGUUGGGAUAGGAAAGGGGUAGGAAAUUGCUAUAGAAGAUCUCUAUUCGGGUUUGAAUGAUAUUAUCUGUCCCACUAUUAUAGCAAGAAUCUUGACUAAUUAAAUAUAAUUUUUAAUUGCCAUUCAAAACAUACAAUUUUUAAUUGUGCAUAUAAUAUUAUAAAAUAAUAUACAAGAAUUAUCAUAUAAACUAUUUGUGGAAAUUUUAAAUUUUAUAAAAGAAAUUGAAAGGUUUUUUGUCAAACCCUGUUCUAUGAAAUAAUUACGACGUCAUUUACAUGCUCAAUAGAAUGUUUGCAUAUUUAGGAAGUUCGAGAAAUCAUUAAAAGACGAUAUUGCUCCUAAUGGUACCAUUAAGUCGAUUAAGCCUCGAACUAGUUCAAAUAGGAAUUUUAAGGUGAAAUUAAGAGUUUCACGAACCAGAGAUGACUCAAAAUGGUAAUUCGGAGUUCGAGGAUCAAUUUGGAGUCAAACAAAAAUUUUCACUAUCUAGGGGCAAAAUGGUCAUUUGCCACUUGGGGACAAAAUGAAAAUUUUCAGAAAAGAUUUUUUGGCCCCAUUUGACUUAUUGGAGUAUGAUUUGAGUAUUGGAGUAUGAUUUGAGAUUUAGAAGUGAAAAAUUUUAAUUUCGGUAUAAAUUGGAGUACAUGGGCAAAAUGGUAAUUUUGCCACUCCAGGGGUAAAUCGGUAAAUUUUCACCCCCGACACUUGUCAAGACCAAGGGAUUUUAUUCAUCAUGGAAAUGGAUAAACAUGAGAAAUGUGUGGUGGAGAAUUAAAGAAUUAAAAGUCAAAUAUUUAAAAUUUGAACCAAUAAGGAAAUGCCAUGUGUCAUGCUUUUAUUAUUUUAUUGUUUCUUUAUAAAAAGGCAUAAAAACCAACCCAUUUCUCCCAAAGUGGUUGGCCAAACCAGAAGAGAAGAGAAACCAAGAAAGAACAAACCCUAGGUGGGGACAAUCAAAGAGAAAGUGUUGGAAUUCAAAGAUUUGAUCAAGCAAAGGUACAAUUUCUUUGAUUUUGCUAAUGAUUUACCUUACCCAUGCAUUUCUCCUUAAUUUCCAUGGUUGGAUUGUAUGUUUUAAUGGGGAAAUCAUGGCUGGCCGAAUGGGUUUGGUGAGAGAAAUGAUGUUGGAAUUGUUUGAUUUUGAGUUAUGUUGGUGUUUAGAGUUAGUUAAGCAUGUUUAGAAACAAAACAACAAGAAAAGAAUCCAUUUUCCCCAUGAACCUUCAAUGGCCGAACCCUAUGUGAAAUGUAAAAGUAAUGAAUUGAUUUUGUGAUCAAGUGAAUUGGUUGAAAAAUUGAUGAAAUGAUGAUUUAUGCUGAGAAAAUGGAAUGGGAAAAUUUUUAGUGAUAGUGCACCACAAUGACUAAAAUUUUCAAGAAGAAUUGUGAGGGUUGUUAGGCUGAAUUUUAGAUUAUUGGAAUUGUAUUUAGUGAAUUGAAAUAUUAGAAAUGAAAUGGAGCAAUUUGGAGCCAAAUCGGAACAAUUGUCAUUUAAUCGAGUAAUAAGCCGAAUUAAAUCAGCACCGCAUUUAAGCGGUAGUCGGAUAAGUUGCAUAUCAUAUCAUGCAUAUACACCGAGCCUGAAUUGAUUUUAUAAUGGUCAAGCAUUAAUGUGGUGAAUUAUGUAUUGUACAUUGUAGAUAAGUGGUGAGCAAAUUACACUGGUAAAAGUACAAAGAUUGUGCUUGAAGACUGGAAUUAGGAGUACAUCGACUCCUAGAACUGUGAGUGGACAAUUUAUCGUCUUAAAUAUCUAGAGUAAUUAUACUUGUUUGAUGCUUUUAUUGAAUGGUGAGUUUAAAUUAUAAAAUAUUAUGUUUUUCAAUUAAAAUAUUUUUUUUAAAUGAGAUUUAUAUUGGUUUUGAAAUCAAAUAUUGUUUUGAAAAAAUUGAGUAUAUGGAGACUGUGUUGAAAUUUAUGAUUUUAUAUGUCAUUGAAAUUGUGGCUUAUGACAUUAUGGUGGCAUGAUGGCUAAAUUUUUGGGGUUGGCAUGAAAUAUAUGAACAGUUUUGGAUUGGUCUUGGUAGACUGGAUUACAUUUUAUUCGUCAUAUUAUGCUACUGAAAAUUUUAUGGGUCUGGUGGUAUAUUAAACGGUCACUGCAGUGGUGGGGGUUUCCGUGGACUGCCUAUGAGAGGGGCACGGUAACCUAAAUAUAUAUUUACCUCCGAGGGGAGAUGUUAGAUGAAGUAUAUCCUGAGGUAAGAUUUGAGUGCACCUCACGUUCGAGCCACCACGUGAGAGUGAGACUCAGCCAACACCAAGGAACGGCUGUAUCAGAUGUGAAAACAUGUUUAUGGAUAUGGACAUUUAACAGCUUUGGCGGUCUCAGUGGGAUACCUUGAUAAAGGUACCCGCGAGAAUGAUUCUGGUAGGGGCCAAGUUUAAGAAAUUCAUAAGCUGGAAAAUUUUGAUGAAAAGAAAUUGUUUGGUAUAGAUUGAAACGAAUUUUGCGUUAUGAACAUUAUUGAGAUAUAACGUUUUUAUAUUAUUUCCAUCUACUCGGUUUUAGAUGCUUUUGAUGGUAAUUGUUUACUCACUGGGAUUAUGUAAUCUCACCCCUCUUCCUAUCCAUUUUUCAGGCUCAGAACAGUUUGUUGAUAGUUGAUUAAGACGAGAAUUAAUCUCGGAGUUGCAUCAUAGAAAGUAAGGGUUCGUAACCCUACACCUUCUUGCUUAGUUGGGGGCCCACGUGUCACUGUAAACGUAAUUUUAUAUUUCAGUUAUCUGAUUUAAAGUAUGAAUGAACAUAUUUAGCUUUUACACAAUGUUUUUGACGGGUUUCGAUAUUUUUGAAAAAAAAUGACGAAAAUGCCCCUGUGAGCCAGAAAAUAAUAUUUUAUUGUUUUGAUUUGAAAACGACUUAUGAUUUCUUAAAAUACGAGAUUUAAUAACUAUCGCUCAUCAGGGAGAUGCGGAAGCUGAUGCUAAGCCUUGCGGGGUUUCGAUCGACAUUCAGGGCAAUGAGUGCCUAUCGGGACGUCGCGGUGGUUGUCACGUGCUCGAUGAGAGUUUCGGGUCGUGACAUUUUUACUCUAUACUUGUAUAAACUUAAGGUUUUUCACCUAUUGAAGAGUUAAUUGAUUAAGGAAGAGGAAGAUCAUAGUAAAUUGAAUCCUAACAGUUAAUUUGAUUAAUAUUGUUUCUAUUGUCAAAUCAUGUAGCCAAAGAAACUCUGUGAUUUCUGCUGCGUCAUAAGAAUUAAAUUGAACAAAAAUAUAUAAUAUAAGGACUACAAUGACUAAAUUGAAUAAAAUUGAGAUGUUGAGAGACUAAAUUGAAAAAUACAAAUCUUUAAACAGAUUAUUGAUAUACUUAUUAAUAAGCCAAAUAUUUAAGUAUAAAAGAAUUUAUGGUGUUAAAAUAUAUAUAUAUAUAUAUAUAUAUUUUUCUUACUUGAUUAUUUGAUUCUAGAAUAUGUAUAUUAAUUUAUCAUUUUUACAAAAAUUAUGUCUAAAUUCUCCUUCUAUAAAAAAAAAAAUUUAAAAAUUUUCAUAUUUAAAGUCAAAUUUAGAUGAAUAACUUGUAUUACGUUAAAAUAAAAUAAUAUAAAUUGACUAAAUAAAUUAUUUUUUCUUUUUUUUAUAAUAGUAUAAAAAUUUGAAAAUUAUUUACUUGGUUUUAAAUUGAGCUAAACUCAAAUUAGCAAAAUAGGUUGAUUUAGUUACAACUUUCACAAUUUACAAAUACCCAUUCUUUUGAAAUUAUUUAACUUUUACCCAAUUUAUCUUUUAUUUCAAUUUACUCAGUUUCUUAUAAAAUGAUUUUAUUUAAGUUCAAAUACCACAAUCAAAUUUUGCCAAAUUUAAAUUUAAAUUAUUAAUUUGGAUCUACAAAAAAUUUAUUAAUAAAAGAAAAUGGUAAUAAUUUUAUUAAUAAAUUUAUUUAUAAAAUUUUUUUAUAGAAGGAGAAUUCAAAAUUAAUUUUUGUAAAAAAGAUAAAUUAAUGUACAUAUUUUAAAAUCAAAUAAUCAAGUAAGAAAAUAUNNNNNNNNNNNNNUAUAUAUAUAUAUAUAUAUAUAUAUUUUAACACCAUAAAUCUUUACACUUAAAUAUUUAGCUUAUUAAUAUGUAUAUCAAUAAUCUACUUAAAUAUUUGUAUUUUUUAAAUAUUUUUUCAAUUUAGUCUUUCAACAUCUCAAUUUUGUUCAAUUUAGUUCCUGUACUAUAUAUUUUUGUUCAAUUUAGUACCUAUGACGUUACAAAAUUUUUUUUUUUUAAAUUUUUUUGAUCUUCCACAUGGCACUGACAUGUCAGCAUGUCAAUGCUACAUCAGUAUUGCCUAUGUCAUCAUAUUAGUACCAUGUGGCAUUGCCACAUCAUCAUCUUAACACCACGCUAGUGCUAACAUCAUCCCAUUUAACGGCAAAAUUGGAUGCUGUUAGAGGAAUGGACUAAAUUGAAGCAAUUCUCAAAAUCAAUAGAUUAAAUUACUUCUAUUUUGAAUACGAAGACUAAAUUGAACCAAAUUAGAGAGUACAGGGAGUAGAUAGGUCUUUUGACCAUUUACAAAUCUAGACAAUCAAUUUAUGACAUGUUAAGCUAUUUAGUUUUGUUCAUUAGUUUUUAAUAUUGAUUUAUAAUUGUAAAUGUCAUAAACAGAAAGAUGGCUGUGAAUUUACAACUUGUUUUUAUUAUAUGUCACGUAAUUGAAGUUACAUGUCAAUAAAGGCUAUGUAUAUGCUGAAUGGUGAAUGGAUAUAUCAGACAAUUUGUCUCCAGACCUUAUCUUAGAUGCCACUAAAUUCAUUUUGUUGAUUGAGAAAUCUAUAGUAAAUUAAUUACAAGGACGACCUGCUACACUUCAAUUACAUGAUAUCUUCAUUAACAUGGAAACUUGAGUACCAAACACUGCACUUCUUGAACGGCACUGUAACUCCAAACGCACAUUAAGAGUUUAACCAAUAAGCUAGUAAUUAAGCUACACUGUUUUAUAGAUAUUCACACCAAUGACUUAAUUAUGGACUUUUCAAUAUAUAUAUGUUUAUAAUGGUGGUGAUUAAACUUUGGUGUCUCGGAUAUAUAUCUUUUCACAUCAUAAUUAAUAUACUUUUGGAUUUACAAUUUAUUUAAAUAUCGUUUGAUUAAUACUUUUAUUAUCUGCUAUUUGCUUAACCUUGAUAAACACAUAACGAGCAAUCACUUUAAAGUCAUGGGUGAAAGUGAGACCAAGGCCAAGGUUAAUGUCAGACCCUCUUCCUCCUAAAUAUCUAGUGUUCCUUCCAAAUCUCUAAAUAGUUUUGUAUAGUCCUAGCAAUAAAAGCUUCUCUAAAUAGUUUCGCAUGGUCUUAAGAAAGAAAGCUUUCGCUAAAUAGUUUUGUCCAAUAAUAAUGAUAAAGUAGUUUUAAUUAUAUCUAGGUGGUGUUGAAUUGUGAUAAAUAAUGCAGUCAUCAAGUGAAGUAAAAUACGUACUGUAUGCUUUUCUUUUAUCAAGGUAAUUUUUCUCACCGGGCUUUUCUUGAUAAAAUUUUUAAUGAAACAAUAUUUCAAAAGCAUGAAAAGAAGUAUAAGACAUUAAACAAAGAAGUAAAACUUAAAGUCUGAUUCAACAAAGACUUUGAUUUCUCCACCUUUUAGGUCCAGAAAAGAAUUGUCGUUGGUAACAUCAAAAUGAUAAUUUAGGCUUAAGAAAUGUUGCCAAUAAGUUGCUGGUUGUACCAUCAGUUUGCAUCUCAGAAGUUCUGAGCAGUCCAUUUGCUUCUUUACCGGACCCAACUCUAUCCCUCUCACUCUACUUGCAAAGUUCAAAGAGCAUAUGGUCUCAACAAGGUCAUUCUCCUGAGGACUGCUUUGUACAAACAUAAGUGUCUUUGAAUCUCCCCCUAACAAACAUAAACCUAAUUAUCAGGCUUUUUACUUCUAUCUCUGUAGAAAUUCUAUGACCGAAAUAACAGAAGUUUGACCAUGAAAGUAAAAAAAAUAAAGGAAAUUUUAAUCUUGACUUGUUUUUAUCAUUUAUGUCACAGUAAUUUCCUUGUAGGGGAUAUAAAGAUAAAAAUUUACCUAAAGAGUCUUGAAGCAAGUGUGUCAGCUUUGAAUUCCUGCAUGAUUAAACUCAUCUCUGUAUUUUUAUAACCUGGAAGGAAUGUGAGGGCUUUUAGUAGCACGAGCAGAUAUGACAUUGCCGAGUGCAGACAAGGAUCUGUUAAUAUUUUGAGUUUCCUUGAGUCUUUCUCCAUGCACUUCUGGUUUUGCUACUUGUUCACUUCCAGCUAGGUCCACCAACCAUAGCUUGCUCUUUGUGCAUUCCCCAUUCAACAAAUUCUCUCCCUUAACCAUCACACAAUGUAUGCUGCAUCAAGAGCGACCCAUAAGCUGGCAUUUAGCUGUGUUUAAACACAUUUUGUGCAAUGAGUACUGAAUUUAAAAUCAACUGCAACAGACAGACUAGUGGGAUCUACUGCGAUGCUCAUUGGCAUUGGUUGAGCCAACAGCCCUCGCAUUACUGCCAGUCUGUAGGACUUCCCAGACCUCAUUCAUGUUCUUUACAUGUGCUUCAACGAGCCCUGGGACAUGAUCCAUUCCUUCACCCACUUGCCUUAUUUCAAGCCUACAAGUAGCCACAUCAAUGUGAAAGAUUUAGCUAUUUGAAAAUUCAUAAGAACAACUGUCCUUGGUAGCAGUCAUUAUAUCAUAGUAAUCAGAGAGUAAAAGGAAAAAUGUUGGGAUAAUCAUUAAUCAAUCCUGAAGUCUCAGUCAGCAAAAGUUGCAAAGUCACCAAUAUUACACACUGAAUUUAGCUAGGGACAAGCACAUAAUUUUAUUAGUUUAUGAUUGAGAGUUCAUGGAAACUUCUUCCUCUAACACCUGAAACAAAUGCAAAAAGAAAAUCUGUACUCAAAACACUUCAGCAUGACAAUAACUAAAAUGUAUUGAUACUCUUUGGACACAGUUAAUCUCUCAUCACGAUGAAUUAGCAACAAAAAGGAUAUAUGAAACUCAACUAACAAAAGUUGGCACAACCAUUCUGGAAAAGAAAAAAUGUCAAAGAAAAAAGGCUAAAACAAAAUUACCCCACCUUUUUUGGCACCGAGCCUUGCUGAGUGCCUGAAACCAGUAAAUCUCUUAUCAGUUCAUUGUAUACUUCUAAGACACUGACUGAUAUCUCAUAUCGACGCAACUUCUGCCGCUCAUUAAUUAUGCGAAACAAUGCCUCAAGAGUCCCAAAAUUUACUGUAAAAGUUUUUCCUGUGCCUGUCUGUCCAUAAGCAAAAACGCAGACAUUGUAGCCAUCCAGAACCGAUGUAGCAAAUGGAGCUGUGUCUUGGAAAACAUCAGCUAAAAGAAACCAAGCAACAGAAGUAAAUUAUUAUAAAUAUUCACUGAAAGAAUCAUUAGUAAUAUUUUGCGGUAAGCCCAAAACCGCUCCUAGAAAUGGCAUUACCUUGGUCUGCUUGAGGGCCAAAAACAGCAUCAAACUUAAAGAUUUUCCUCGGAGCACCAUUUGAUAAUACAGUGAGUUCACCAUCUUUCGCAGAUUCAAAAUCAACAGCCACUGAAAAUUUUGAGUCUCAAAAUUUUCAACCUAUUUCAGACUUUUAUAUGGAAAAUCGAAUGUGGCUAACCUUUCAAUUCUAGAACCUUGUUGUAGAGUUCUUUCCUUUCUUUGGCCCCUCUGAGAAAUUUAAUCUUGAGAUCUUCAUGCAAAUCUGCUUGCUGGUUUACUUUUGGAAAUAUGAUAAUAGGAUUAUAAAAGAGACUAAAAUGGAUUCAUGAGGUGAUUAAAAACUAUAAAGUAUGAUUAACGGUGCAGGCUAAGUGCUAACUUACUUCUGGAGAGAAUUGAAGAGCCAAUUUCAUCGAUAUCCUUGAAGCAAUAAUUAUACAUGGAUGCCUCCUCAGAUAGCUUGAUGUGUUCCAUUUUCAUUAUCUGCAAAUUGGAACUUCAUAAUAUUUUGAAAUUAAAGUUCUAGCUUUGUAUAAAUUAUAGUUACAUCAUUCAGUUCCAAUUUUAUGCCUUCAAAUUUCUGGUCAUGUCCCUCAAUGAUGAGAACCAUCUACUCUUCUCUUUCACUUCUCCCUCAGUUGCUAAGGCUAUAAAUGGAUAUAACAGCAUUUGUUACUUAUGCAAGCAAGUGCUAGGCAGUUACAGGGUAACAAAAGUUAAAAAAAAAAAAGUUCAUACCUAAUGAGCCAACAUGCAUUGAUUUGCGCAUAAGCUCACUUUGGAGCUCCUGUAAAGAUUUGCACGCUUCUCGACACUCUUUACUCUUAAGUUGGUUCUCCCUCUUAAGCCCUUCAAAGGCUCUCCUCAUCUCUGCUAUUUCCUUACUUUGGCGCUCAUAAUCUCUUUGCAGCUUUUCUUAUUUUACUUCUACCCCACAGUCACUCAUAUCCUGCAAGCAAUCAAUAUUAAAUGAUCUCAAAUUUUCUUUACUUCCUAUUUUCAGCUGUUCCAUUCGAACCUUGAAAAAGUAAUGUUCCAUUACUUCUAGCGACUCAUGAUCUCUCAAUUCAGCCUCUUUAAAACCUGCUGCACAAAUUUGUUUAGUAAAAGUUUGAGCUCUUCUUGACUUCAAGCCGAGGGCAAAUGUUUUUCUGAAAAACAAUAAAUAAAUGGUUUGUAGGGAACUAUUUCCUAUCAGGAAUGUUGCAAACACUUAUGGCUUUUAAUAUGAGGUUUGUCCCAUAGAACCUUAAAUAAGUAUGCCUACAUUUUAAGUUUUAGACAAUAUGAAUAAGCAGAGAGAACAAAGAUAAGUAUCCAAACUACAAACUUACUUGCAGGAGAAUCUUUCCUUACAGUAAUGCCACAUACAAUUGGACACCUCAUUAAUCCUUCAAAUCUAAUGAGUAAGCCCCUACCGCUAUCAACAAAUGUUUUAAUGUUAGAUAUAACCAGAGGCUUAUGUGCACCUACCUGGCCAUAUAUGUCUAGGCUGGACACAACUCACAAUACGUUCAAUCAAACUUGAUCAAAUAACAAUACUAAUCACUUAGUGUGAUUUAGAUUGGCAGCAUAAAAUCUGGUUUUUUCACCUUCUCUUGUUGUAUAAAUACAUCAAAUACUCUAAUUCCAGGUGGACCGGUAGUGAAAACUAUUUCUGCAAAAAGCAGAUCAAUGUUGUAAAAACCAGACUCCAAUGAUGAAAACUUGUAUGAGAAGUCACCAAAUUGCGCUGUAUUGUACAAUGAAUUUCCCACUCCAUCUCCAACGACACUAUCAGUCCUUAUAACAUCACCACCAACAUAACAACCGCCGUCCGAAUAAAUGACACCAUCUAAUUCCACUGCUCCAUUUAUGCACCCUGCAUUGAUGCUUAUAACAGGAAGGUGUUCAUGCUCCUUGUGUACAUAGUCUGCAGUUCCUGGUAAUGGAAGCAGCACAAAGGAAGAGUCCGGGGGCAUUUCUUUGUGGAAAGUUUGGCAGACUGUGGAGAACUUUGCAGUGGGAGUUUUGUGCUUUACUUUAGUAUCAGAUCCAUCAAUGCCAUUCUCUAAAGAAAACUCAAUUGGAAUAUCGGGUGAUCCGGUACAUACAACAAGGUCUGGCAAUGAUAGAGAAAAUCCCAACAUGGACCGGCCUGAAACCGAACAUAAAUUCAUUUACAUCCUUACAACACUAGGAUGCAAAGAACAAACAAAUCAUUUCUAAGCAAAGGUUGUUUACCAUCAAUUUUCUAAUUGGCGUACUAAUUGCUUUUGAACUUUGAGUUUGCCAGGGAACAUCUAUAUCUAAAUCAACAAAAACAAACCAAAUUUAAUUGAGAGAUACAUGUAAGGAAGGAAAAUUCCAACCCAAUUUUGUUUUAAUUGAGAGACACAUGCACCUAGCAUUGAAUUAAAAGAAAAACAAAAUUCUUCAACAAGAAAAGAAAUUACCAGAAUUUGGGUGAGGGGAAGAAUCUGAAUCCAGCAUAGACGGAUUAACAAAACCAAAUUUAAUUGAGAGAUACAUAAAAGGAAGGAAAAUUCCAACCCAAUUUUGUUUUAAUUGAGAGAUACAUGCACCUAAUAUCGAAUUAAAAGAAAAACAAAAUUCUUCAAAAAGAAAAGAAAUUACCAGAAUUUGGUUGAGGGGAAGAAUCUGAAUCCAGCAUAGACGGAUUUAGUGACAUGGCUGCAUCAGUAUCAGACAAGGUGAAGAAUAAAAAAUGAAUGAAAUAACAUGAAGAGGGGAAAGUACUGAUGGGUUGGAUUUAGUGAAAUCUUGCAGUUAGAGCUGUGUUGUUGGCAAGAAACGUCAGCGAGGAGAAGUGGGUCAGUCCACAGCGGAACGUUGAUAUGUUCCAUGGCCAAAGAAAACAAAGGAACUCUGUGAUUUAAAGUGACCUUUAGUAAAGCUAAGUAAUAUUUUCUUAUGAGAUCAUUACAAUUAUGAGUAAAAAUUUCAAUUAUAAUUAAAUAAUUUUCUCAUAUAUCACAUAUUACAUUCAUAAAAGAGAUUAAUAAAUAAAUCAACAUAAAAUUGAAUUAAAUCUACAUACAACAUCACUUGAACUUGAGACCUAAAGAUUUCAAGACAUUCUCCCUAUUAUUGAGAUAAAGCUUUGUUGGCUAAAAAUAAAUAAUAUUAAUCAAUAGAAAAUGGAUAUAAAAAAACUUGCAGUGUUGGUGUAAACACUGCAAAUGAUUACCUAAAAAUAGAGAAAUUUAGCAAAAGAUUAAGCAAAUCAAGGAGUAGCCAUUCACUGCAAAUGGUGCUAAAUAAUUGCUAUGAAAAGAAUAAUACUAAUCAUAUAUAGUAAAUUGUACAGGACUAAAUAUUAUAAUAAUUAACAUGGACUAAAUAUUUAAUUAGUGAACAUGCAAAGAUCAGAUUCAUUUGUAAAAACUUUGAAGCUGUGAUAUAUAUUUGUCUUUAAAUAAUAUGUAUAAGCCAAAAUUAACAUAUAUAUUGUUCUUAACCUAUGUUUUUCUUUAACUGUGAAGUCAAACAACUGAGCUUGAUUUAAUCAAAAGAAGCUAUCAACAGCUUGACAAAAAAGAGCAGUUGAGGAACAAGAAUUAACGUACCCGCAGUGUCAUUGAUGAUUACUAUCUCCUUGUUCGACUAGUGCGAGCAUUCUUGUUUGACUUUUUUGGCCUUCCAUGAUGUUUGGCUUCAACCAAGCUCACAAUCCAUUUGGGUUUAUCGGUGUGGAAAACAGCAUAUCCCAUAGCCACUCCGAACAUAAAUCCAGACAUGUAUCCGAUUAACACAACUUUCCACCCAAAUCUAAUUUCAGAUUUUGAGCCAUCUUCUUCGUCUAAGUUUAAAGAUGGUGGCUGUUGUGCUUCAUUACUGCUGCAAUAUCUUGAAAGUGGAAAACCGCAUAAUCCGUCAUUCCCUUCGUAGGAAUUGUUCUCAAACGUAUUAAUCACCUACAAAUAAAGAAAUUUAGUAAAAAGAAAACAAAUCACUGAGUAGCCAUUAACCACAAAUGUCGCUAAAUAAUUACUAUGAACAGAAUAAUAUUAAUCAUAGUAAAAAAAAUAGGACUAAGUAUUAUAAUUUGUAAAACUUUGAAGUCUGUCAUAUAUAUAUUUGUCUUGAAAUAAUAUAUAUAUAUAUAUAUGCCAAACUUAACAUAUAUAUCCUUAACAACUUUCGUUUCUUUAAUUGUGGAGUCAAACAGCUAACCUUGAUUUCACCAAAAGAAACUAUCAACAGCUAAAUAAAAAGUGCAUUUGAUGAAGAAGAAUGAACGUACCUGCAGUGUCACUGAUGAUUACUAACUCCUUGUCCGACUAGUACGAGUAGUCUUGUUUGACUUUUUUGGCCUUCGAUGAUGUUUGGCUUCAACAAAGCUCACAAUCCAUUUGGGUUUACCGGUCUGAAAAACAACAUAUCCCAUACCCACUCCAAACAUAAAUCCAGACAUGUAUCCAAUUAGCACAACUUUCCACCCAAAUCUAAUUCCAGAUUUUGAGUGAUCUUCUUCUUGUAACUUUGAAGGUGGUGGCUGUUGCACUUCAUUACUACUACAAUUUCUAGAGAGUGGAAAACCACAUAAUCCAUCAUUCCCUUCAUAGGAAUUGUUUUCAAAUGUGUUGAAUUGUUUGCCUUCAGGUAUGCGCCCAACAAGUUUAUUCUUGGAAAGGUUUAGGGACGAAAGCAUUGUCAAAUUCAACAAUUGUUCUGGAAUCUUUCCAUCGAGCUUGUUCGAGGAUAGGUCUAACCAUUCAAGAUUGAUCAAAUUUCCAAAUGAUGGUGGAAUAUGACCAAUAAGGUGAUUAUGAGAAAAGUUAAGCCCGAUGACUGAACGAAGCUUUCCAAUAACUCUUGGAAUCUCUCCUUCAAACUUGUUAUUUGAUAGAUCAAUGAUUGUUAAUGUGGCAAAAAUUUUCAUUAAUUCAACCUCUUGCCCUUUUUCGAUCAAAUAAACAGAAUAAGUGUAGAAGUUAUUUGUUUCCUUAUCCAAACCCCCCAUAUAAGGCAUGACAUCUCUAUUUUCUUCAGCAUUCAUCAUAGCCUUGAAAUUUUCUAUGUACCCAGUUGGCAACUGUCCAGUAAAACUGUUGUUGGAGAGGUCCAAAAUUUGCAACUUACCAAAAUAAUGCAUAUGCCUUUUGCUAUUUAUGGAACCAUGCAUUUGAUUUGAUUUCAUUACAAGAACUUUUAGCUCUUGAAGAGUUCCCAACCAAUGAGGGAAUGUAGCAUUGAUCUUGUUGUUGCCAAGAUCUAGUACUUGUAGACUUCCACAAUUAAGGAUGGAUCGUGUUAAAGGCCCCUCCAAUUGAUUAGCAUUCAAGUUCAGAUUCUUCAACCGACAUCCCCUUGCAAAUGUUGAAGGAAUAGUUCCAUGAAGUUUGUUCAUCCUUAGAUUCAAUAUCCAAAGUCUUUUGCUUAAUUCUCCAAAACAAUGUGGAAUAAUUCCAUUGAAAUUGUUGUGAGACAUGUCUAAAACUUCAAGAUAACUCACAUUGCAUAUGAGAUCAGAUAUCUCUCCACUCAGAUUGUUAUUUGAGAUUAAAAAAAUAGAUGUGUUCAAAGGUGGAAUCGGAAGAUUUCCUUGAACUAAAUUGAAGCUUAGGUCCAGGAUUAUGAUUUUCCUCCAUGGAAGUUGCUCUAAUUCUGUCAUAGAGUUGUGAGAUAGAUUUAAGUAAAACAAAGAGUCUUUCCCAACAUCCCACAUAAAUUUGGGAAUCUUGCCAGAAAUUCUAUUAUUGGAAACGUCUAAAUACUCCAAAACUUUUGAGCCCCUUAAAAAUUGGGGGAAUUGAUUGACAUCACAAGACGACAAAUCCAAAAAAUAUAGACUUGGCAAUGUAUAAUUAGCACUGGUAUGAUUAGAGUCGAAGUAUAUAUUGUUAUAUGAAAGAGCAAGGUAUUGGAGAUUUUGGAGUUUUGAAAACAGGACAGAUUCUACAAUUCCACUAAGAUUAUUUGAUGAUAAAUCAAGCAAAGUAAGGUUCACAAGUUGAGAUAUUGAAGAUGGAAGUGUACCGUUGAGAAAAUUAAAAGAUAAGUCUAGAGUGAUGAGAUUAGGAAAAGUAGUUACCUCAUUUGGAAUGGAAUCUUGUAGUUGAUUGUGAGAGAUGUCCAAGAAUUCAAGAUGAGUUAGGUUUGUGAGUGAAGAUGGAAUCUGUCCACUAAAAUAAUUAUUUGAGAGGCUCAAGUAAUUGAGUUGCGAGAGAUUCCCUAAUGAUCUCGGAAUUAUUCCUGAAAAGUUACAUUCUUCAAGACUCAAUUCUUCCAAGGAAACAAGGUUACCAAUUGAGUUAGGCAAUGCUCCAGAAAAAUUCGUAGAACUUAAAUCCAAAACUUUCAAUGAAACUAAAUUGCCAAUGGAAGUAGGCAAUGCUCCAGAGAGGGAUGUGCCACUUAGAACCAAAUAUCUCAAUGAAACUAAAUUGCCAAUGGAAUUAGGCAAUGCUCCAGAAAUAUUCGUAAAACUUAGAGCCAAAAUUUCCAAUGAAACUAAAUUGCCAAUCGAAUUAGGCAAUGCUCCAGAAAUAUUCGUAAAACUUAGGGACAAAAUUUCCAAUGAAACUAAAUUGCCAAUGGAAUUAGGUAAUGCUCCAAAGAGGGACGUCGUACUUAGAUCCAAAUGUUUCAAUGAAACUAAAUUGCCAAUGGAAUUAGGCAAUGCUCCAGAGAGGGGCGUGGAACGUAGAUCCAAAUAUUUCAAUGAAACUAAAUUGCCAAUAGAUUUAGGCAAUACUCCAGAAAGCUUUGUAAAACUUAGAUCCAAAUCUUUCAAUGAAACUAAAUUGCCAAUGGAAUUAGGCAAUGCUCUAGAAAAAUUCGUAAAACUUAGAGCCAAAAUUUCCAAUGAAACUAAAUUGCCAAUGGAAUUAGGUAAUGCUCCAGAGAGGGACAUGAAACUUAGAUCUAAAUCUUUCAAUGAAACUAAAUUGCCAAUGGAAUUAGGCAAUGCUCCAGAGAGGGACGUGCCUCUUAGAUCUAAUAGCUGAGGAUGAUUGCUGUGGUUGAACUUUGGAAGAUAGAUAUUGAGCUCCCAGUUGCCUUCUAAGUUAAGCAACUUGAGGUUUGGCAGCUGAAAAAUGUCUUUUGGGAAUUUUCCUUGCAAACCACAACCUCCAAGACUAAGAGAGCUUAAAGAAGAGGAUAUGUUCAUCAAGACAUUAGAAUUAACAGAAGACAUGCUGAUUCCAUCAAGAAACAGUUGUCUCACCUCUGUUAGGUUCUGAAAAAGUCCUCCCAAAGUACGUUCGUCAAGUGUUUGAUAAUCAUUCCGAGAGAGAUCAAGUGAAACCAACUUUGACAAGUGGGAGAUUUGGAGUGGAAUUUGUCCUGCAAAGACUGACUCCGUGAGGUUGAGUUGCGUUAGACUUGUAAACCGAGCAAACUCAGAUGACAUCUUGGAAUGGUUAAAAUCGUUAUGAGCGAGGUUAAGCUUCUGCAGGUGUGGGAGAUGGAAAAGACUACUGUUGGAAGGAAUGGCACCAUAUAACCAACUGCAACUGAGGUCAAGGCCAAUCACUUGGCCUGUUAUAUUGUCGCAAGUGACUCCAUCCCAUGCGCAGCAAUCAGUCCCUUCCUUCCACGAAUCAGUCUUAGGAUAAGAUGGAAUGCCAAUAAAUUCGCAUCUCCAAGAAGCAACUUUGUUGAUGGAAAAAGAGCUUUUAAAUUUCAUCAAAGCUGAAGCCUCAUUGUGAGAGCAUGGGGGAGUUGCUGAAGGGGCAAAUGAAGAGGAUGAAAGAGUAGGCUGAGAACUCAAGCAAAAGAAUAGUAGGCAGAGAAGCUGAUAGAACAUUAGUAAGCACUCCAUCUUUCUGAUUAUAGUUAUGAGAACAGAAGCAUGUAGUAUACUUAUAGGCUGCCAAGUCAAACCAAAGUCUUGCAAUGCAAUAAGGAUGCCAAAAUGUUUGUUGAGCAAGACAUAAACAGAGGGGUCCAUCCAUUGCCAAAGAUUUGUUACCAAGUAAACAUGUCAGCUACUGUCAAGUCAUGUUAGUUUGGGGUUGAAGCAUUAAAUCAUCAUUUGUAGUAUAUAAAGAGCGUAAGGACAUUGGUGGGGUCAAUUGACAUGUUCUGUCCCAACUCCCAAUUUAUUAGCAGAAAUCUGGACCACGACAUUUAACAGAUAAGGUCUAUGGGCAUGUAUAUGUCCCCAUUGUCACAACUCUCGAAAUUAGUAUUCCUAUAAAUCAAUCAAGUCUUUCAAAGGUUAAUUUACAAAUCUGUGUGUAUUGGUUUUAGUCCAUUUGCGGGGCUAUGAAGAAUAAUGCAGUCCGUUCUGGGCAGUUGGAUUUCCUUUUUCUGAUGUUUUGUGGUCCUGGAUGGAGUCCAUGUAUUAUGUGUCUCCAUUUUUCAUUAAUUAAUUCCUGCUACUCAAAAAAUAAAUUAUUUAUUCAAAGGAAAAGCAUUAAAACUAACAAGGGAUUUACAAUUUAAGACUGCACUUAAAAAAAGAAGUAGAAUUCAAGUAAAAACAAUAGAAGGCAGAGAAGCUGAUAGAACAUUAGUAAGUAUCCCAUCUUUCUGAUUCAAAGGAACUUCAAAUAUAAUUAUGAUACUCGAAACAUGUAUAACAUGUAUACUUAUAGGCUGUCAAGUCAAACUCAAGUCUUGCAAUGCAAUAAGGAUGUCAAAAGAUUUAUGGACGAUUGUAUCAGCAUAUUUUGUCUAUACGCUUUUUUAAUAUAAAAAAAAUUUCAAAAUUGUAAGAAAUAAUUUAGUUGAGAUUAUAGCGUCCUGUUCUAAUUCGUAGUGUAGUUGUGAUGAUUAAGACAAAGGACUAGUUGGGUGGCAGAAAACAUGUUGGCAUAAAAGGGAGCCUUCAGCCAGAAAAUUCAAAUACAAGUUGCCAAUUAGACAGGGCAAAGAGGUUGCGUUUUGGAGACAUGUGGUCACAAUUAUAGCGUAUUCUUAAGCUUAUAGAAUGAGUUGCAUAUUCCUACAGUGUUGAUAUAUCACCUACUUUCUAUACUUUGGGGUUGGAAAUGAUGAUUAAUAAUUUGGAAGGUUUUACUCUGAAACUGAUGGAGAUUUGUUACGUUGGAUCCAGAGAUUUUUCUCCCUCAAGACCAAGUAAAACAUGUCAACUCCUGUCAAGUCAUGUUAGCGUGUUAGUUUGGGGUUGAAACUUUAAUCAGCAUAUGUAAUAUAUAAAGAGCGUAAGGACCGGGGUCAAUUAACAUGAUCUGUCCCAACUCCUAAUUCAUUAGCAGAAAUCUUGACCAAGACCUUUAAAAGAGCUUGUCUUGGUCCAUCCAUUGCCAAAGACGAUCAGCUCUAUGGACAUAUAUGUCCUCAUUGUCACAACUCUCAAAAUUUGUAUUCCUAUAAGUCAAUCAAGUCUUCCAAACGUUAAUUUAUAAAUCUCGGUGCAUUGAUUUUAGUCCAUUUGUGGGGCUGUGAAGAAUAAUGCAGUCCGGUCUGGGUAGUUUGAUUUCCUUUUUCCUGAUGUUUUGUGGUCCUGGAUGGAGUCCAUUUACUAUGUGUCUCCAUUCUUCAUCAAUAAAUUCCUGCUAUUCAAAAAAACCAGAAAAAUGCAGAGGACUGAUACAACAGUUUUCGCAUUGAAUUUAUUUAUUCAAAAAGAAAAGCACUAAAACUAACAAGGGAUUUACAUUUUCCACCCAAACCCCUAAGCUUAUCAAAUUCAAAAAAUUAAAAGAAAUAAAAACUGGUUUUCUUAGAAUUAUAGUCACUACUCUCUCCUCUAUUAUUGGGAGUGCUACAAUUAAUUGAUAAUGCAGGAACUUUUAGUUUACCAAUCAGUCUAAGAAUAAAAUUUAGUUGAAACUGUAGCAUUCUAUUUUAAUUUCAAAUCCGGGGUUGAACAUCAAUUACUCAAAGAUUUGUUAUGCCAUAGAAUAGAAGACUUGUUGGCCUCAAAAGUCUUGAGCAAGGAUAACAUUUUAUCUCUUUCAGAAAUCUGAAUUGAAAGAAGAUAGAGGAAAAGGUAGAAAGGAUUGUUCACAAAAAUGAGAGUAGACCUUCCACCAUCUUUCCUACAACCUUGGGGUUGAAUGAGCAGAGCAUUCCUUGAGUGUUUAUCAGCAAUUCGGGACUAGUCAUUUUUCUUAUUUCUUUCUAACUUGUAAUUGGAAAAUGUUCAAGUAUUCCUACGUUGUUAGAAAGUCAGAAAGACAUUAUACACAGCACUUUAAUAACUUACCUCUAUCUUAUAUCUUACAGCAACAAUUUUAUCUUGCUUUUGGGACUGGAAUUAAUGCUAAGAAUUUCCAUUAUGAAUGCUAAGAAUUUCUGAUCAAUAAUUAUGUCUGUUAGUGAUAUAUGGUUAGAGGCUUACAAUCAUUAUUAAUGAGAAGAAACAUGAUGGUGCACUUUAGAAGUUGGGAUAUAUGUUGAAACCUAUAGGUUAUGUAAUAAUUAAAUAGACAUGUGACUAUGGUCUCUACUUGUAAUGUUUACAAAGUCCAUCAAUAGCAUACAGAACAAUAGUCCAUGUAUGUAUUUAUCCCUUUAAAUUUUAUAUCUCAAAUUUUAAAAUUCUAGAUUUGUCUUUAACUAUGAAAUUAAUUUUAAUAUUAUGAUCUUAUACAUGAAGAAAAAAAAGAGUUAUGACACGUUAACUGAAAAUUCCUAAAAAUAUCAAAAGGAUUUUUUUUUAAUUCUUUUCUUGUAUGAUUCACAAAUCUAGACAAUUAAUUUAGACUUGUAUAAAGUUAAGGUUUUUCACAUGUUAGAGAGUUAAUUGAUCAAGGAAGAGGAAGAUCGUAAUACAUUGCAUCUCAACAUUUAAUUUGGUUAAUAUUGUUUCCGUUAUCAAAUCAUAUAUUAAGAAUCAACUAUGUUUUUAAUUUUGCACCUGAGCAUUUAGCUUAUUGGUUGAUGCAUGAUCCCUCUGCUAAAAAAAUAGAAUUCAAAUCUCCCUUUGCCCAAUUAUAUAUAUAUAUAUAUAUAUAACUACUAUUUUAANAUUAUAUAUAUAUAUAUAUAUAUAAACUACAUUUUUAAUUUUUAAUUUCUGUUAUGGUUGAUCCUAAAUUAGUAUAAAUUAAUUCUACAUAAAUUUAACAAAUAACUCUUCAAACAUUUAAAUUUAGUUUUGAGUCUCAUCUUACAUGGGUCUAGUUCUUUUUUUUUUUUUAUGUUAGAAAUUCACGCAGGGCGCAGCUACCUUGUUAAAUUUUAUUAAUUACGAAAAUUUUUUAUGGGUCUAGUUCUACAUGGUAUUAAUUUGUUAAUCCAUUUAGUUUUGUUCAAGGGUUUUUUAUAUUAGAUUAUAACUGUAAAUUUUUUUUUUGUAAAUGUGAUGAACAAAAAGAUAAUUUUGAAUUUACAGCUUGUUUUGUGAAGAAAAAGAGGAUUUUUAGCACGUAUCUAGUCUCUAGGCCUUACAUGCAUGCCAAUAAAGUCUAUGUUAUAUACCGAAAAUGUGACAUGUGUUUAAGUGAAUGUUGAAUAUAUAUCAAAUAGUUAGUCUCUGGACCUUACAUGCCAAUAAAAUCUAUGUAUAUGCCACAAAUGUGAUAUAUAUUCAAUGGUGAAUGUUGAAUAUAUAUCAAAUAGUUAGUCUUUGAACCUUACAUACCAAUAAAAUCUAUGUAUACGCCAAAAAUGUGCCAUGUAUUUAAUGGUGAAUGUUGAAUAUAUAUCAAACAGUUUGUCUCUGGACCUUACAUGCCAAUAAAGUCUAUGUAUAUGCCGAAAAUGUGACAUGUAUUUAAUGGUGAAGGUUGAAUAUAUAUCAAAUAGUUAGUCUUUGGACUUUACAUGCCUAUGAAGUCUUUGUAUAUGCCGAAAAUGUGACGUGUAUUUAAGGGUGAUUAAUGUUGAAUAUAUAUCAAACAGCUAGCCUCUGGACCUUACAUGCCUAUAAAGUCUAUGUAUAUGUUGAAAAUGUGACGUGUAUUUAAUGGUGAAUGUUGAACAUAUAUCAAAGUCUGUGGACUUUAUUUUUUAUUUUUUUAAUAAUUGGGGGAAGGGAAGAAGGGGGAUUCGAAUUCUACUCUUUAGGCAGGGGGAUCAAGCACCAUCAUUGAGUCAAAUGUUCGGGUGCUCUAUGGACUUUAUCUUAGAUGCCACUAAAAUCAUUUUAUUGAUUGAGAAAUCUGUACUAAAUUAAUUACAAGACGACUUGCUCAGUACUUCAAUUAUGUGACAUCCUUAUUAAUGUCGAAAAGUUGAAUACCAAACAUUUUUAAGUCAUGGGUGAAAGUCAGACCAAGCUAGAGGUUAAUGUCAUACCUUCUUCCUCCUAAAUAUCUAUUGUUCCUUCCAAUUCUCCAACUAGUUUUGUAUGGCAUUAGGAAUGAAAGCUUUCUCUAAAAAGUUUUGUCCAAUAAUAAAGUUAAAGUAGUUUUAACUGUGAUAAGGGCUAAACUGUUUCUAAAUCACACUUUCCCUGGCUUUGUAUCCAAUUGUGCUUUUUAAUAAAAGAGCCUUGCUCAGACAUUUUUUGUUUAUGUUUCCCAUUUUCUAUGGUUACAUUAGCUAGAUAAAACUAGAAUGAUUUACCUUUAUUUUUGUCAACCAUGAUGACUGUUUUUGAAAUUACUCUUAAGACAGCAGAGAAAUAAAGGUAGCAGAGCAACAAGCUAUCAGAAGUCUGUUGCUCUAAAUAGCUAAGGAAUAAAGACCCAAAAAUGCACCGGAUUAAUAAAAGGCUGAGGAAGAAAGAAGAAGCUUCAAACUGCACUGUUUUAUUAAAGAUGUAAUUAAUUAAGUCUUUUAAAUUCUAGUUAGGUUAGUUAAUAGGAAAUUAGUUAUGCUAUUUUGUCCUUUUCUCUUCUACUCUAUAUAUAUAUGCAGACUUUGUAAUUUUUUGUUGACGGAAUGAAUAUGGAAAUUCCCCAAACCGUCAUACAAUGUUUGACAUGGUAUCAAAGCAGAUGAUUCCUGGAAAAAUGAAUUUCUUCAUUCCUUGAAACGAUGGCUUUUCAUCACUGGUAAAGUAAUUUCUUAUCAGUCUCAUAGAUUAUUCAUCAAUUCUUAGCUUUUGUUUAUUCGAUCCAUUGUUAGUUGAUACCUGUAUUAGGUUUUUUCUUUCAAUCAUGUCUGAAUCAACUGAGUCAAGUUUUCAAGGAUCACAAAUCACAUUUCAAAUUUCACCCACUGGAGAUCCCCAAUCUCCUUAUUUCCUUCAUCAUACUGACCAUCCUAGCUCAGUCAUCAUCAACCCCAAGCUCACCACUACUAAUUACGUAGCCUAGAGUAGAUCCUUUCUUCUAGCUUUCUCAAUCAAAAACAAAAUGGGUUUCAUAAAUGGAACCAUCCCCAAACCUCAACCAACUGAUCCUUUAUAUCCUUCUUGGAUACGCUACAACAAUCUCACUAUAGCUUGGAUGCUUGAUUUUAUCACACCUCAAAUAUCAUCAACCAUUUUUUACACGGAUUCUGCCCCAGAUAUUUGGAACAUUUUGAAGCAGAGCUUUGCACAACCUGAUGACACCAGGGUAUGAAAUCUACAAUUUACCUUAGGCAAUGUAACCCAAGGAACACGAUCUGUUGAUUCUUACUUUAUUGAACUUAAGGGUAUCUGGGAAAAGUUGAGGAAUUACAAGCCUUUACCUCUUUGUGUGUGUGGGAAAUGUAGUUCGGAUUGCUUCAAGAAAUACUCUUAUCAAUAUCAGAAGGACAUAGUUUUUAGAUUCCUCAAUGGCUUGAAUGACUCUUUCUCAACUGUUGGGUCUCAAAUUAUACUCAUGGACCCUAUACCAUCCCUUGACAAGGUGUAUAGUCUUGUGUUGAGAGAAGAAGCUCAAAGAAACUUACUGUUUCAAGCUCAGCCAGGACUAGAAUCCUCAACAAUGUUAACUGCCAGUGAUGGAAAGAAAAAAUUUAAGAAAGACUUGGUGUGCUCACAUUGUGGGAAGAAAGUUCAUCUUAAGAAAAAAUGCUAUAGAUUGGUGGGCUUUCCUGAAGAUUUCAAAUUCACCAAAUCCAAGGCAAACUCCAAAAGAGGGAAGUCUAUAGCAAAUAAUGUUACCAGUAUGAAUGAGGAUGAAUCUGCAGUGGUGCAGCUAGACCAGGAACAAAAUUCAGCUGGAAAUGGAACUAUGUCUUAGAUAUCAGUCAUCAAACAGCAAGUUAGUAGACUAAUUGAACUCUUAAAUGAAAAUGGGAUCACAUGUUCUGAUGGUAAGACUUCUUCACAAAAUAGUCACCAAAACAAACUAUCCUUGGUCAAUUUAGCUUUUGCAAGUACUAUCUCAAAUCAUCAAUGUUUCAAUAGUUGGAAUAACAUGCCAUUGAUUUUAGACAGAUUAAUAAUCUCAUGUUUAAACAAAACACCUGAAUCAUGGACUCUGGUGCUACUGAUCAUAUCUAAGAAAUUUUUAUCAUAACAUGCUAAAAACGUUCACCCUACUCAGCUUUAUCAUCUGUCAUAUGUAAAGAGCGUAAGGACCGGGGUCAAUUGACAUGAUUUGUCCCAACUCCCAAUUCAUUAGCAGAAAUUUGGACCAAGACAUUUAACAGAUAAGGUCUAUGGGCAUAUAUGCCCUCAUUGUCACAACUCCCAAAAUUAGUAUUCCUAUAAGUCAAUCAAGUCUUUCAAAGGUUGAUUUAUAAAUCUGUGUGUAUUGGUUUUAUUCCAUUUGUGGGGCUGUGAAGAAUAAUGUAGUCCGUUCUGAGCAGUUUGAUUUCCUUUUUCUGACGUUUUCUGGUCCUAAAUGGAGCCCAUGUAUUAUGUGUCUCCAUUCUUCGUCAAUAAAUUCCUGCUAUUCAAAAAAAAAAAAAAGGACUAAUACAACUCUUUUGGCAUUGAAAUUAUGUAUUCAAAAAAAAGCAUUAAAACUAACAAGGGAUUUCCAUUUUCAACGCAAACUCUUAAAAUUAUCAAAUUAAAAAAAUAAAAGAAAUAAAAACUAGUGUUCUUAGAAUUAUAGUCAGUAGUCUCACCUUUCAAUAACUCUUUCAUCUGUUAUUGGUAGUGCUAUAAUUAAUUGCUAAUGAAGGAACUUUUAGUUCACCCGUCAAUCUAAGAACAACAUUUGGUAGAUCAAUUACUCAAAGAAUGGAAGACUUGUUGACCUCAAAAGUCUGAGCAAGGAUAACAUUCUGUCUCUUUCAAAAAUCUGAAUUGAAAGGAGAAAGAGGAAAAGCUAGAAAGGAUUAUUCACAGAAAUGAACGUAGACCUUACGCCAUCUUUCCUACAAUAUUGGGGUUGAAAUAGCAGAGCAAUUGAGGAAAAUGUUCAAGAAUUCCUACGGUGUUAGAAAGUCAGAAAGACAUCCUAUAGCACUGCACUUGAACCACUUACCUCUGCCUUAUAGCUUAAAGCAACUAUUUUAGCUUGCUUUUGGGUUUGGAAUUAAUGUUAAGAAUUUCCGUUAUGAAUGCUAAGAUGUCUGAGCUACAAGUUGAUCAAUAAUUAUGUAUGUUAUGGUUAGAGACUUAGAACCAUUGAUUUGCUAUUUGAGUGUAACGAUGGUAGUUGAUAACGAGGCUAGAGUACAAGUUUGUGAAGUUUUUUAUUAAAAGUAAAUAAACAAAAAUUCAAAUUCGUAGAUCUCAUUACAAAUGCAAAUAAAAAUCAUAACUGUAGACACUGUAAUUUUGCUUAGACAAACAAAAAAGAAAUAAAAAUUAAAAAUUAAUUAAUUAAAUAACUAGACAAAAAAAAAAAAGAGAGUACUGGCAGGGCACGGACACACCCUGCCAGUACCAACCAGGCACCACUACAGUGCUUCGCGUUUGGCAAAGGUAGUGGGACGACACCCAUUGAGAGACAAAAAAACCGAGUAUAAAGGGAAGGGGGCACUGUAGCAGUGGGAGAGAGAAGAAAAUCGGCAAUCAAAAAACCCUAGUCUCUAGCAGUAAAAAAACCACAAUCCAAAAAUCAAAAAGAAUACCAAAAAAUACCAAAAAAUCAAAAAAUAUACACAAUGAGAGAGGGAGAAUGGUUGGGUUUUUUGGGUGAAUUUUGGUUGAUUUUUAGGGGGAUAAAGCUUGGGUAUUUGCCACCGGUUAGAGUGGGUAAAGCUUGGGUUAGUUGCCGCCGGUUAGGGAGGAUAAAGCUUGAGUAUUUGCUGCCAGUUAGAGGGGAUAAAGCUUGGUUAGUUGCCACUGGUUAGAGUGGGUAAAGCUUGGGUUAGUUGCCGCCAAUUAGGGAGGAUAAAACUUAGGUAUUUACCACCGGUUAGAGAGGAUAAAGCUGGGAUCUAUGCCGCCAGUUUGUGAGAGAGUCAAGGAGGGGUAGUGUUGCCGAUGUUGAGAGUGUAAAAAGAAAGAUUGGGGGGCUGAAAUCGAAAAAGAAAAUAGAGAGUGAGAGAGAGAGAUUGGCGCCACGAGGUUAGGAGUAGUGAGAUUCAAAGGUUUGCCGCCGUGUGGGAGGAGGAGAUUUGGGGUUGCAGCUGUUGGUGGGGUGAGUGAAUAGAGGAGCGGCAAGGGUAGAGAGAGGUUAGAGAAGCUGCCGGCCAUUAGAGAGAGGAAAUAGAAGCAGGAAGUGAAAGAAAGAAAAGGAAAGAAGAAGCUUAAAGGUCAAUAGGAAAAACGAUGCAGUUUUGCUAGUGAAGUUUUGGUGCCAUAAAGGAGCUGAAAACGGUGUCGUUUCAAAAGAAGAAGAAUACUCUUUUGGGCCUCCAACAGUGUGUUCGGGAAGAGGGUCUAGUGGGCUGUCCUAUUGUACUUGGGUCAGCAUCUGAGCCCAAGUAAGGUAAAAAUUUUCACUUAUUCCUUUAUGGGCAUUUUGUGUCUUGUGUUGAUUGGACUGAAUAUGGGUUAGGCUAAAUCAUUUAGUAUAAUGUUUUAAAGUUUUAAAAAAUAUUUAAAAACAUAAGAAUUAAUGCAAACAACAAAUAUAAGGGUGAAUAUUAAUGGUAAAAGAAAUAAAUUUAAAUAAUUCGUGAGUCAUAAAAAUUUAAGAUUUAACAUACAUAUAUAGAAUAAGUUAAAGAAUAGUUAGAAAAUUAAUAGAUUUACUAUAGUCUUAAAUAUAUAUAUAUAUAUAUAUAUAUAUAUAUAUAUGAAUAAUCAAUAAAAAAUGAAAUAAGUAGGAAAGACAUGAUAAAAUGAAAAGGAAAGAUAGAGAAGAAGAUAUAGAAAGUAAGUGAAUGAGCAAGUAAAACGUAAAUAAUAAUAAUAAUAAUAAUAAUAAAUAAUAAAUAAAAUAAUAAUAAUAUAGCUUUAUAUAAACUAGAGAGAGGAAUACAAAUGAGGAGAGAAUGAAAAUAGGAUAAGAUAAAGAAUUAUUAAUAAAAUAAUUAUUUAAUUUAAUACCGAUGAUGGGAUGAUUGGUCGGGACACGAGGAGUCGCAAUCUCGGGCUAAUUUUUUUUAGAUUUGGAAUUCGAAUUAAGGCUCCACCAGGACGAUGGGAGGGUCUCGAUUUUGAGAUUUUUAUUUUAAAUAAAAAUUUUACUACGUAAAAAUUAGUUAAAAAAUUUUAAAAAUAUAAAAAUAGAUGUUAUAUUUAAUUUGUCCAAAAGAUAAUAAUAAUAAUAAUAAUAAUAAAAUUUGUGAAAAUAUUAAUACCCAUGACAAGAAAUAAAGAGAUGAAUAACAAAAAUUGUUAAUGGUGGGAAUAACAAAAAUUGUUAAUGGUGGAAAAUUCAAAAUAAUAAAUAACAUGCAAUUAAAGUUCAAAUACUUUGUGGUAUAAAAUAUAAUAGGUUAAUAAAUGAUAUAAGAUAGUUAAUUAGAAGGAAAAAAGGAUAAAUAAUAAUAAUAAUAAAUAGAUAAAAAAUAAAAAUAAAAAUAAAUAAUAAAAAUAAACUUCACAAACAUAACAUAUAUUUUUAUUGCAUCAUGCAUACCAUGGCACGUAGAUAUUUUUGUUUGCAAGCAUAAGUCCCGAUGAUGGGAUUUUUUGAAGAUUUUGCGAAGGUGAGUUUCUUUUGGAAAGCUGCCUAGAUGAAAAGAUGUUCCCGGAUCCCACCAGUAUGAUGGGAGGGCUCGAGAAACAUUUUUAAUAAAAAGGCUUUUACUCAUAUUAGGUUUAUUAUUCACGAAAAUAUUACUUUUAAAGAAAAAACGUACGGUAACCUCGAUGAUGGAAAUUAUUCGUUGAAUUUGCGAAGACGAAUUUCUCAGAUAAUUCUCUAGGUGAGAGAAUACCUCGAAUCCCACCAGUAUGAUGGGCUGAUCUGGGAAAAUAUCCUCGAUAAAAGGUUAUUCGUCCGACAUUUUUAAUCUCAUAUCAUCUUGCCUCACAUUUGCAUUCCAUUCUAGGUAAAAUAGAAGAUAAAGUAAGCAAAUAAUAACUAAGGAAAUAUAAUAAAAGCCCUAUAGGAUAAUCUAAAAAUAGUACUGUUCAUGAAACGGGCAUCCCGGGGGUGCUAAUCUUUCCCCGGGCAUAACCGUACUCCCGAACCUAGAUCUAAAAAAACGUAGACCAAUUUAAGAUUCUCUCGGCGGGCUUAAAUCUAAUUAAGACUCUGCCGAUUAGAAUUGAAUCAAUAGGUGGUCAAUCACACAUAGUAAAAAAGAUUGGUGACGACUCCUAGUUAUAGAGUUUUCACUCGCGUCUGGCGGUCAGGUUCUAGGACCCGAAUGUUACGACAAUAACAAAAACUCGAAAUUGCAUAGAAAGUUUUAGCAAAACUAAUUAAAUCAUUGAUUUGCCAUGUGAUAUAUGGUUAGAGACUUAGAAUCAUUGAUUUGCCAAGUGAGUGUAACGAUCGCAGCUGAUGACGAGGCUUGACCACAACUUUCUAUUUCUAAUUUCAUUCCUUUUAUCUUGAGACACAAGACAUUUGGUUACUUUUGUUAAGGGAUAAGACCUUAAAUCCAGUUUGUGAAGUUUUUUGAUUAAAAAUAAAUAAAUAAAAAUUUAAAUUUGUAGACCAAGUUAUAAAUGCAAAUCCUCUACUCCUAUAACAAGAAAUCGCAAUUGCGUUGAAACUUUUAGCAAAAUCAAAUGGUGGAAGCAUUUUUAAAGAAAGUUUCCCUUGACCGUGCAAUAAAAAGAAAAUGACAUUAUUUUUUUUCCUUUUACGGUUGAAGAGAAGGCAAAAAUCUUGAAUUAAGAAAAAAGUUUCAGUAGUGAAAUUAAUAGAAUAAGAAAGAAUAGAUUUUCUUAAAACCAUUAUUAAUGCGAAGAAACAUGGUGGUGCUCUUUAGAAGUUGGGAUAGAGAAGGGGGUAGGAAAUUGCCAUAAUAGUGACAUUAUUUGUCCCAUUUUUGGUCCAUGAAUCAUUCAUCAUUUGACGUGACGUGGCUUGAACGUAAUUGGAAGGGUCUAUCUCCAUUUAGAAAAUGUGAUAUUUCAAGUUCAAUAACUGAGUAGAUAGGAUUGAAAUUUCUUUAUAUAUCUCAAUCUUGUAAUAGUGACCGCUAAAAGACAGGAUGGAAAUAGAUAAUUGUAUUUGUUUUUUUAAUUUUUAUGAUAAGGUUACAUAUUAAUUAUAUGAAAAAUUCCAUUCAAAAAAAAUUAUAUGAAAAAAUUUAUAUUAACAAUUAGGUAACUUACAUUAUAUACAUUCAUAAUUUAUAUUAACUAUAAUAACUUAGACUAAAGUGAUAUGGAUGAGACACACAAUAUGAUAUAAGCCAGAAAGAGAGGGAAAGAUUAAAAGCAGAGGGGGAAAAAUGGAAAACAUUUGAAACGAAUUUUUUUUUGGUGUAAAAUGAAAGAAGUACAUUUGCGAGAAUAAGGAUUCAAACCUAAGGUUUAUAGAAGUGGCGUUUUGGAGUCAUGUGGUAACAAUUGUAGCGUAUUCUUAAGCUUAUAGAAUGAGUUGCAUAUUCCUACAGUGUUGAUAUAUCACUUACUUCCUAUACUUUGAGGUUGGAAAUGAUGAUUAAUAAUUUUGAAGGUUUUACUCUGAAACUGAUGGAGAUUUGUUACGAUGGAUCCAGAGAUUUUUCUCCCUCAUGACCAAGUAAACAUGUCAACUCCUUUCGAGUCAUGUUAGCGUGUUAGUUUGGGGUUGAAACUUUAAUCAGCGUGCGUAAUAUAUAAAGAGCGUAAGGACCGGGGUCAAUUGACAUGAUCUGUCCCAACUCCCAAUUCAUUAGUAGAAAUCUUCACCAAGACAUUUAAUAGAGCUUAUCUUGGUCCAUCCAUUGCCAAAGAUGAUCAGCUCUAUGGACGUAUAUGUCCUCAUUGUCACAACUCCCAAAAUUUGUAUUCUUAUAAGUCAAUGGAGUCUUUCAAAGGCUGCGCAUUGGUUUUAGUUCGUUUCUGGGGCUGUGAAGAAUAAUGCAGUCCGUUCUCGGCAGUUUGGUUCCCCUUUUCUGAUGUUUUGUGGUCCUGGAUGAAGCCCACAUAUUAUGUGUCUCCGUUCUUCAUCAAUAAAUUCUUUCUACUAAAAAAAAAAUUAUUUAUUCAAAAAGAAAAGCAUUAAAACUAACAAGGGAUUUUCAAUUUCCACCCAAACCUCUAAAAUUAUCAAAUUAAAAAAAAUAAAAGAAAUAAAUUUCUCUCCUUUUCAAUAUCUCUUUCCUCUAUUAUUAUUGAUAGUGCUAUAAUUAAAAACCAAAUAAGUUUUUAAAAAUUUCCCUUGACCGUGCAAUAUAAGGAAGACUUUUGUUGACUAAAACUUGAUGUUUUAAUGUGGUUAAAACAAUAACUGAGUAUAACAUGUGACAAGUGGAAUUCCAAGUAUUACAGCAAGGCUAUAUAGGUUAUGUAAUAAUUAAAUAGACAGGUGACAAUAGUCUAACUCUACUUGUACAUUAAAUUAAAUUUAAUAUUAUGAUCUUAAACAAGAAGAAAAAAAAGAGUUAUGAUAUGUUAACUGAACAUUCCUAACAAUAUUAAAAGUCUUUUUUUUUCGUAAGUUUUUUGUAUGAUUUACUAAUCUAAACAAUCAAUUUAUAACAUGUUAAGGUAUUUAGUUUUGUUCAUUGGUUUUUUAUAUUAGAUUAUAAUUGUAAGUGUCACGAACAGAAAGAUGAUUGUGAAUGUACAGCUUUUUUUUUUUUUUGAAGAAAAAGAGAAUUUGUUAGACGUCACUAGACCUUACAUGCCAAUAAAGUCUAUGUAUACGCCGAAUGAUGAAUGGAAUAUAUCAGAUAGUUAGUCUCUAGACCUUAUCUUAGAUGCCACUAAAGUCAUUUUGUUGAUUGAGAAAUCUGUAAUAAAUUAAUUACAAGGAGAACCUGCUACACUUCAAUUAUGUGGCAUCCUUAUAAUUAACGUGAAAAGUUGAGUACCUAACACUGCACUUCUUGAACGGCACCGUAACUCCAAAUGUACACUAAGAGAUUAACAAAUAAACUAGUAAUUAAGGUUUAUUGUUUUAUAGAUAUUCACGCUAAUGGCUUUUUAAUAUAUAUAUAUAUAUAUAUAUAUAUAUAUAUGUCUAUACAAUAAUAAUAGUAAUAANNNNAUAUAUAUAUAUAUAUAUAUAUAUAUAUAUGUCUAUCCAAUAAUAAUGAUAAAGUAGUUUUAAUUAUAUCCAGGUAGUGCUGAACUGUGAUAAAAGCUAAACCCUUUCUCAAUCACACUUUCCCUGCCUUUGUAUUACAUUUUUAUACUGUUUUACGUGGUUAAUUGAAGGCAUUAAACAAAGAAGUAAAAGUUGGAAUCUGAUUCAACUUUGUAACCAAGACUUUGAUUCUUCCUAUUUUUUUUCUCGUCCGUGCAAAGAUUAUUACCUCCUAUGGGUUAAAUACUUGAUUUUCAUAAGAUUUAUUUUUUUUAUCAGUAAAAAAAAAAAAACUUAUUAAUAGUGAAAGCUAAAACAUUAUUAAAAUCUUCAAAACGAAAUUAAUCACUGAAAUAUAGAUAAAACACUUUAAGAAAAAAUGAAAAAAAGAAAAUCAACGUCCAAAACGAUGACAACCCACUCGAAAAAUCAUCUCAACUCAAAGUUAUCAUCAGGCAUGAAACAUUUCAUCUUGAUCAACACCAAAUUUAACAAGAGAGUCCACCAAAUUGUAAGCUUCUCUAAAGUUAUGCAAAAAACCAAUAACACCAAUAAUUUUCCUUACGUUGUCAAUUUCAUUACAAAGUAUCAUUUGUCCCAUAGUCGAAACUUUUUAUUGCACAUCCAGGAAAUUGCCGCCUUGGAAAUUGCCGCAUAGUUUUUAAACCAACCUAACCUAAUGAAAUAAACAGCUAAAAUGCAUAAUUUUCCAUCGAUAGUUUUGUUUUAAUGGAAUUCUGUUGGUAAUUUCUCAAGAAAUUUGGUCAGUAAUUUAAUUUAGUCAUGAUCAAUAAUAAGGAAUUUUGUCAAAACCUACAGAAUUCUGUAAGUAUUUACUAAAGGAAUUUCAUCGGUACUGUAGUCAUUACUUACAGAUUUCUGUUGAAAAUUACCAACGAAAUUCUAUCGGUAAUUUACUCAUUACCUAUGGAUUUUUGUUGGAAAUUACCAACAAAAUUUUAUCGGUAAUUUAAUCAUUAUCUACGGAUUUUGUUGGAAUUACCAACGGAAUUCCUUCAAUAAUGUAAUUUACUCAUCAUCAAUAAUUAUGUUUGUUAGUAAUAUAUGGUUAGAGAACAAUAAAAUUUCCCUUGGCCAUGCAAUAAAAAGAAAAAGACUUUAUUUUUUAUCGUUUCUGGUUGGAGGGAAGGCAAAAAUCUUGAAUUAGAAAAAAAUGGUUCAAUAGUAAGAUAGAAUAAGAAAGAAUUGAUUUUCUUUUUCGGUGUUAUGUUGAAACCGAAUAUGUCCUAACACCAUUAUUAAUGAGAAGAAACAUGAUGGUGCUCUUUAUAAGUUGAGAUAGAGAAGGAGGCAGGAAAAUGCUAUGGAAGAUCUCUAUUCAGGUUUAAGUGACUUUAUCUAUCCCACUAUUAUAGCAAGAAUCUUGACUAAGACUUAAAAUUUUUGUUUUGGUCCAUGAAUCAUUCAAAGUUUGACGUGGCUCGAACGCAAUUGGAAGAGGCAUUCUCUAUUUAGAAAAUGUGGUAUUGCAAGUUCAAUAACAGAAGACAAGUUUGAAAUUUCUUCAUAUAUCUCAAUCGUGUAAUACUGACCACUAAAAGAUAGGAUGGAAAUAGACAAUUGCUUUUUUCUUGAUAAAGUUACAUAUCAAUUAUAUGAAAAGUUUAUAUUAACAAUUAAAUAACUUACAUUAUAUAUAUUCAUAAUUUUUUUAUAUUGCAAUACUAAUUAUAAUAACUUAAAUUAAAGUGAUAUGGAUGAGUCACACCAUAUGAAAUAAGCCAUAAAGGGAGGGAAAGAUAAUAAGCAAAGGGCUAAAAAAAAGGAAAACAUUAAUUUGAAACAAUUUAUUUUUGGUACAAAAUAAAGAAGUACAAUUGCGAGAAUAAGGAUUCAAACUUUGUUCUUCAAUUACUGAGCCAAACUUAAAUUGUCACUUAAAAAAACAAGUUUUAUCAACAGAAUCCAUUCUAUUGAUAACAAUCCAUUGGCAAUCAUCGACAAAACAAUAUUGUGAGGAAUACCAACAAAUUAUCGACAGAAAAUGCCAAUGAAAUGACAUUCGUCGGUAAUAUAAGUACGCACAUAAAUAGUAAGAUGGAGUGAAAUUUACUAACAGAAACUGUCUAUCGAUAAUAGGUUACAGAGUAAAUUUGCCAACCAUGUUACCAAUGGAUUACCUAGUUGGUAAUGUGGUUAGACAUUGGUAUGCUUAUCAAAGGAUUUGUUGACAGAAUUUUCGUCGAUAUUUAUUUUUUAAUUACCGAUGAAAUAUUCCGUUGGUGAUUUAGUCAGAAAUAAAUCUUAAAAUUCACACAUGAGAUUUUCCCCCAUUUAUGCCUAUUUUAAUUACAAACGGAAUCUUCUGUUGCAAAUUCGACUAUAAUUAAAAUAAAAAUUCACACACAAGAUUGUUUCCUCCAUUUAUUCCUAUUUUAAUUAUCAACGAAGUUUUCGAUCGAUGAAUCCGUCGGUAAUUAAAAUAAAAAUCCCCAUGUAGGAUAUCUCUCCCUUUGCUCUUCUAUCCCUUCUCCUCUCUAUCUCCUUCGCUUUCCACCUAAUCCUAUUGGCCGAUCAUUCACCCCACCUGAGUGCGCUAUCCACCGACGACAAACCCACCCUUGACGGCCGACAACCCACGUUGACCACUGCACAGCUCUCCCACUUUCAGCUCCCCUUCCUCACUUUCUCCCUCUUUUCCCAACUGCUUGUUCGGUUGCCCUUGAUCAUUGUUGAACCUCCCAUCCAGUCAACAUUCAUCUUCUCCUUUCUUGUAUUCAUUUCACUCAUACUCAAGCUGGUAAGAUUUUAGUUUUUAAGGAUUGAAAAUUUUUUGAUUUAGCUUGCUUGAAUUUUACUAUUUGCUUUGGGGUUUUAGAGAUUUUUUUAUGAAUUAAUAUAAUCGUGAUUAUUUGUUUGAAUGUUGCUGGCAUUAUUGUUGAUUUGUUGUUUCAAGGUAAAUCGGUUGUUGAUUUGUUGCCGGCAUUUUUUUAGCUUAGGGUUUGAAUUUAGGGUUUGUAUAUUAGGUUCGAUUUGUUGUGGGCAUGAUUUGUUUCUGGCAUGAUUUUGGGAAAAUAUUUUGUUGUAUGUUGCUGGUUGAGUUUAUGUUGUUGUACUUUGGGAAAAUAUUUUGAAGUUAUGUUGAAAAUAUUUGGGAUUUGUUACUAUUUGUUGGUUGAAUUUUAAUCAAGCAAAAUUUGCCUGAUUAAAAUGUUUGCUAGUUGAAUUAAAAUGUUGGCAGUUUUAACCAAAGUAUAGUAAUUAAGCAAAAUUACUAAUUUUUAGUAAUUAAGCAAACUUCCGUAAUCUAGUAAUUGAUUAAGCAAAGUUUAGUAAUUAAGCAGAUAUUUAAACUAAUGGAAUUACAUUUUAGUAAUCAAAUGGAAUUAAGGAAAUGGAAAAUUGAUUUAGGAAAUAAGUAAUUAACUAAAUUAGUAAUACUAUUUAAUUUAAAAAUAUUUAAAUUAAUUAAGGUUUUAAUGAAUUAAUUAAAUAAUUAAGUUAAUUAAGUAAUGUAAUGUAUUAUAAGUAUUUAAGCAAUAAAUUAAUUAUAUAAAUUAAUUAAUUGUUUAGGGUUAUAAUUACAAAAUUUUACUAGUUUUGAAGAUUCAUGUAUUUGUAAAUAAUCAUUUAAUCAAUUAAUUAAAUUAGUAAUUUAACAAAUCGAAUGACAACAAUUAAUCAAUUCAAAAUGUAUUAGUAAAUUUAGUAAAAUUUAAAAGAAUUUCCACUAAUUAAGAUUUUUAAAUUAAUUAAAUGAUUUAACAAACCAAAUGAAAAAAAAGUUUUUUUGGAAGUGCAAAUGAAAAAAAAGUUUUAGUAGUUAAGCAAUUAAAUAAUUCUAGUAUUUAGUUGGAUUUUGUUUUCAAUUGAUGUUUGUGUUAACAUCUAAUAACGGACGACAUCAUAUAUCAAUUAUAAUAUUUUUCUUAGAAUAGAACAAGAUAGGAGUUGGAUAUAUUACUGAGUCAAUUUGAGUGGAAUUUUUAUGAUAGAAUUUGUGAAUGGGAUAGAUGAAUUUAUGUCAUUUGCAUUCAAUCAACCAAGAUACGUGAUUGAGAAUAAGAUCAAUUAUCCUUGCUCUCAGUGUAUAAAUAGCAAGUUCUUGGUUGUUAAUAAGAUUCAGGAACACUUAUUUCAUAAAGGGUUUACCAGUUUGUACACAAUAUGGGAUGCACAUGGUGAAUCGUUCCAUGCCGGCCAAUUAUCGGGACAUUUUGUUGAUGAGCAGAACAAAGUCGUUAAUGAACUCAAAGUAGAAAAUCCAAUGCUGAAAUGGUUAUGGAUGCUUUACGAUCGGAGUUUUAGUUCAAUGAUGAGACCUUAGAUGAACCGAUCUUUCCUGAGGAUCCAAAUCCAAACACUGAAUCUUUCUUUUCGUUCUUAAAUGAUGCUAAUGUAGCUUUAUGGGUUGGAUACGAAAAGCACACAAAAUUGUCAACUAUCCCAAUUAUUGAAUAUGAAGUUAGAAUGUAACAUGAGUGAGGCAUGCUUUAAUCGUCUAAUGCAGCUAGUGAAGGAGAUGUUGCCUUUUGAUAAAGCAUUACCAGAAAACUUCAAUAAAAUGAAGACACAGUGGAAGGUACUUAGGCUCAGUAAUUAGAAAAUUCAUGCAUGUAAGAAUAAUUGUGUGUUGUUUUAUAACAAAUAUUACAAGUUGUCUUAUUGUCCAUCUUGUGGUCAUCUUUGGUAUAAACCGGAUAAAUCAAAAGGAGAAAAGGAGAAAAAAUUCCUUUUAAGAUUUUGAAACACUUUCCACUAACACUGAGAUUACAAAGGCUAUAUAUGCUAGGGAAAACUGUAGAACAUAUGACAUGGCAUGCCACACACCAAUCUAAUGAUGGAGUGCUAAGGCAUCCUAUUGAUAGUGAGGCAUGGUAACAUUUUAAUUGCACCCAUCAGUCUUUUAGCAUUGAGCCUUAUAGCGUUAGACUUAGUUUAUAUCUAAAUGGUUUUAGUCCAUUUAGGUCGACAACGAAAUUAUAUUUUGUUUGGCUUGUAAUGGUCACUUUCUAUAACUUACCUCCGUGGAUAUGCAUGAAGCAACCAUACAUCUUUCUUAGUAUGGUCAUCUCGAGAAGGAUAAGUCCUAGACAAAACACUGAUGUGUUCCUUCGACUUCUUAUAGAUGAGUUAAAAGUUCUAUGGGAUGAACGGGUGGUCACGUAUGAUGCCUUUACUCACUAAAAUUUUAUUCUAUGAGUAGCACUCUUAUGGACCAUUAAUGACUUCCCUGCAUAUAGUAUGUUGUCCAAGUGGAGCACUCAUGAACAUUUAUCAUGUACAUAUGCAUGGAACAUGAAAAGAGUUUCUUCUUGGAGUACGAGAGGAAGACUUGUUUUUUUAUUAUCAUCGAAAAUUCUAGCCAAUGGAUCAUCCUUUUCGUUGCCAAAGAGAUAAAUUUAAAGAACAUGUUUAACGUGACCUUUCAAUUCCUCAGUUAUUCGGUGCGAAGAUCUUGGAAUGAUUGGAAUCAAUUCCAAAUAUUACGUAUAAGUCAAAAGUGGGUGACCAAAAGUUAUCGGGUUUUGGUCAAACCCAUAAUUGGACUACGAGAAGUAUAUUUUGGGAGUUACCAUAUUGGCAAACGAAUCUCAUUCGUCACAACUUCGUCACAACUUAGAUGUGAUGCAUAUUGAGCGUAACGUAUUUGAAAAUACAUUCAAAAUGAUGAUGGGUGUUACGGGGAAGACGAAAGACAAUAUCAAAGCUUGUCAUGAUUUAGAGGUGUAUUGCUGGCAUUCGAAAUUGCAUUUAAUUGAAAAUAAUGGUAAACUUUUAAAAUUGAUAGCCUUAUGCACUUUGACUAAAGAGCAACAAAAAGUUGUGUGUGCUUAGGUGAAACAAUUAAGAUUACAAGAUAGGUCGCCUUUAACAUAACAAACUGUGUGAAUAAGUAGGAAAGCAAAUUUUAUGGGAUGAAAAGUCAAUGAUUGUCACAUUUUUCUGCUGCGGUUGCUCCCAAUUGCCUUGCGUGAUAUGAUCCCUAACAUUAUAUGGAGUGCAAUGGUUGAGAUCUCACAUUUCUAUCAUGAUGUAUGUGCAACCGAACUGCGUCUUAAGCAUAUCAAUGCAUGGGAAGGGAAAAUUGUUGAAAUCAUUUGCAAAUUAGAAAAGAUUUUUUCCCUUGGUUUUUUCAACUUAAUGAAGCAUUUGCCGAUCCACUUGCCAUACCAAGCUAAGGUUGGAGGAUCAGUACAUUAUUGAUGGAUGUAUUUGUGUGAGAGGUAAACCCUUAAACCCAUACAUGUAAUUUAAAUUUUUAGGGGAUUUGACAAUUAUAACCUAAUAUCAAACGUUGAGUUUAGGUUUUUAAAGCAUUUGAAAAAAGAAGGUGAAAAAUCGAGCAUCGAUGGAAGAAUCCAUUUGUGAAGCACAUACCAUCGAGGAAAUAUCAUUUUUUUGUUCGAUGUACUUUGAACCUACAAUCACAACAAGAAUGAAUCGAGUCCCAUGGAAAUGAUGAUGACAGAGAUGUUGAUGCCAACGAAUGUCUCUCAAUUUUCACUUAUCCUAGUCGACCUUUAGGUCAAUACGAGAAACGACACUACCUAGAGGAAGAUGAGUUUUACACAGUCGAACUAUUUGUACUAAUAAAAUGCGAUGAGAUAUUAUCGUAUAUUGAGUAAGUGUAAGUUUAAGCAAUAAUAUAGAAAAUUGUAAUUUGGGGAAUGAUAUUAAUUCUUGAUUAUUGUUCCUCUUAAUUAUAGAAUGUUCGAUGAUAUGGUUAAAAGAGAACAGUACGAUAUAUCUGAGACAGAAUUGGAAAAGUCCGUGACGCAUCAUUUCGUAAUUGGUUUAAGCAAUAUGUAAAUUUUAUUUAAUAAGUCAAUUUGAUUUUGUUCAUUUAAUACUUCAAAUAAUUGAAAGUCAUGUAACUUUUUUGUUAGUUUGCCAACAUGUGAGUGAAAUUGAUUCUCGUGUUGUAGACAUCUUUCAUGGACCUGGUUGUAUGGCAAGGUGUUUUAAAGGUUAUUAUGUCAAUCGAUACAAGUUUCACACAUCAAAUUAUGGUCACAAUAGUAAAACGAUGAACAGUGGUGUCUGCAUCAAGGGAAGUUGUUAUAAUAAUUACGAUCAUGACUUUUAUGGAUUGUUAGUUGAUAUCGUUGAGUUAGAAUACUUUGGUGUCAACAACCAAGUUAUGUUGUUCAAAUGCCAUUGGUUUGAUAUUGACAAAAGUGUUCAAGUUGAUCCUAUUCAUGGUUUGAUCGAAAUUGAGUAUAACCUAAUUCUUGCGAGCGAUGAGCCUUUUGUUUUAGCUAAACAAGCAACUCAAGUGUACUACACUCCAUAUCCAUUAAACAAAAGAGAUCGACAUGAUUAGUGGGCAGUGUUCAAAACAAAGGCUCAAAGUCAAUUUCUUAUUACAGAUAAUGAGCAAAGUGAUAGAAAAACAAUCAACCUUAACAAAUGGGUGAAUCAAGAAGAUGAAGUUUUCUUUAAUUCACAAUUUGAUCAUAAUUCGAUCAACCUUGACAAUAAUACAAUUCUUCUUAUUGGGGAAUAUGAAAAGGUUAAUACGGUGGUCGAUGUUGAACAUAAUGAAGAAUAUGAUGAAUAUGAUGAAGCUAAAGAAGAGUGUGAUGAGACAAAGGAAGAAUCAGAUGAACAAGAUGAAAAUAAUGUAGAUGAUGAUGAAUAUGAGAAUGAAGAAAAUGAAUUACCUUGUUCCAAUAAUGAUUGAUGGAUCUUUUGGUUUUCUAAAAACAAUUGUAUGAAUUUAUUUUUUUCGUCUAUGACAUUUAAAUUAAUGUCUAUAUGCAUAUUCUAUUUUUUAUAUUUAUACUAAUAGUUGUACUUUUUUUUUCGUACUGGAUAGACAUGGUUACAGUGAAGAAGAAGAUGAAAGAUUGCUUUCGAGCCAGUAAUAGCACUGGCCUUUCGGUUGCUUGACAUUUUGUGUAAGAACUUUUGCUUCUUUUUCCCCCUAAAUCACAAACUCCACCUAUAACAACAGAUACUGCAGUAGUACAAGUUGAGAUUCCAAUGCCAAGUCUGACUACUCCAGUCCAAACCCUCACUUUGGAUGCUGCUAUGGCAUCCAACAUGUUGUAGUCUAAGUGCAAAGGGUCAAGUUUCGAUUUACUAACUCUGACUCAUCAAAACUGACGGAUACUUCUACAUCCUCUUAAAGGGAGUUAAGUUUUUGUACUCUAAUUUAUUUUAUUAAUAUUAUAUGCAGUCAAUUUAGUUAAUUAAUUUAUGCAUUUUACUAAAACAUACUGACAAUUCCUUGCCAUUUUGCCCUACACCAGAAAUAGCUGGUGCAUGCUUUUAUUUUAAUACUACAAAAAUCGUUCACUUUAAUAAUACAAUUGUUUAUAUUGUUAAUGUAUUUUUAUGUUUACAAGAUGAGGAAAAACAACACCAGGUCACAUUUUCUGAACUCUUUUAAUGCACUCACAAACAACAGAAAAGUACCAGAGAAUUUAUGGACUACAGGUUCAAUAAUGUUUGUGUAAGUAAAACGUGUGUAUGUGUAUAUAUAUAUAUUUCAUCUAUAAAUUACUUACCAAUUAUAGAACUUAAUAAUUUUUAACUUCAUUUCUAUUUGUAAGAAUCAUGCACUUUGGCUAUAUCGCAGAAGUACGGUGACAAGCCAUCGACCCGAUCGAAGUUUGAUCCAGUGGCUUGGACUGAGGGCAUUGGAGUGCCCACCAGCACUAGGACCUACGUUUACGAAUUUGGCACUAGAGUCCUCGCUUUGAGACUUCUAGCUACAUCUGCGACAUCUAAAUCUACUUGUGGCCCUCCUCCUACACCACUUCCUCUUACUCCUGUGCCUAAGCCUAAAGGUUAUAGCGAAAUGGUUAUCGACGUCAAGGACUUGAAAACAUCUUUUAACAGACUUAGUUACUUGUUCAUGGAGGUAAUUGUAUCGAGAAGAUUGUUAGACGCCUUCAAGCUUUCCUCAUCACACUAGUUGGAUCUGCAACCUUCACCACAGUAACAGCAACAGUAGCCACUUCCACUCCCUUAGUGAGAUUUGUAUUUAUAUUGAAUGUUUACAUUUGUAUUACAUUUUCAUUUUUUCUAUAUAUAUGCAUUUUUGUAUUUGCUAUAUGUUUCCUUUAUCAAUGACAACAUCAUAUAAAGAUUUUAUUAUGAACAGGACCAAAUUUGAUUCCAAAAAAAAUGUUCUAUGGGUAUUAUCGAUAAAUUUCAUCAUUUACCGAUGGAAUCACCGACAGAAUUCAUCUUUUGUUGACGAAAUUGUUGCCAUUGUCGACGGAUAAUGCUUGUAAGCUUCCAAGCAAGAUCUGUUGGCUAUCUGUCAGUAUUUUCCAAUGAAAUAGUCGACUAAAUAGCUCGGUCGAUAACCACAUACGAAAUUUCUAAUGGGUCUAAAUUCAUCAAUAUUGUUAUCAAUGAAAUUUACCGACAAAUUUUUUUCCUUACUGAUGACAUCCCAAUCGAUGGAUUUGAGUCUUUCCUUACAAAAUUCCUUAUGGAAUUUUUGGUCGGUAAGUACUCGACGGAAUAUUCCAUGGUCGACCUAUUUGCUUUUAUCGACAAUAACUUCUUCGACUAACAAUUGAUGAAAAAUUUUGUUGGUAUUUUCAUCAAUAAUUCUCUUUACCAACAAAAUCAUCAGUAUUAGUGAUGAAAAUAUUAAUCGGUAAUAGCUUUUUUUUUGUAGUGAAUAUGAUAUAUAAGAAAUAACAUAUAAACUAUUUAUGGAAUUUUUAAAUUUUAUGAAUGAAAUUAAAUGGCUUUUACAUGUCCCUAUAGGUUAUGUAAUAAUUAAAUAGACAUGUGACAAUGGUCUAACUCCACUUGUAAAGUUUACAGAGUCCAUCACUCGUAUAGAGAACAAUAGUCCAUGUAUGUAUUGGUCUCUUUAAAUUUUAUAUCUCAAAUUUUAAAAUUCUAAAAUUUUCAUUAAUUAUGAAAUUAAUUUUAAUUUUAUGGUCUUAUAUAUGAAGAAAAAAAAAUUUGACACGUUAACUAAAAAUUCCUAAGAAUAUCAAAAGGGAUUUUGUUUUUGUAUGAUUUAUAAAUCUAGACAAUCAAUCUAUAUUUGUAUAGAGUUAAGAUUGUUCACUCAUUAGAGAGUUAACUGAUCAAAGAAGAGGAAGAUUUUAAUACAUUGAACCCCAAUAGUUAUUCUAGUUAAUAUUGUUUCUAUUGUCAAAUCAUUUGUUAAGAAUCAAAUACAUUUUUGAAUUUUAAAUUUAUGUUUUGGUAGAUCUAGAUUAGUAUAAAUUAAUUAUAUGUAAACAAAUAACUCUUUAAGCUUUUAAAUUUAGGUUUGAGUCCCAUCUUAUAUGAGUUUAGUUCAACAUUGUAUUAAUUUGUUGAUCUAUUUAGUUUUGUUCAUUGGUUUGUUAUGUUGGAUUAUAAUUGUAAAUGUCAUAAAUGAAAACAUGGUUGUAAAUUUGCAGCUUGUCUUUUUGAAGAAAAAGAGGAUUUGUUAGUCACUAGACCUUACGUGAAUGUCAAUAAAGUCUAUGUAUAUGCCCAAAAUGUGACGUGUAUUUAAUGCUAAUAAAGUCAUAUCAAACAGUUAGUUUCCAGACCUUAUCUUACAUGCCACUGAAGUCAUUUUGUUGAUUGAGAAAUCUUGUACUAAACUAAUUGCAAGGAGGACCUGCUACACUUCAAUUAUAUGACAUCCUUAUUAGCGUGGAAACUUAAGAGUACCAAACAUUUAGGUUGCUUGAUAAACUUCAUGUUAUCCAAUUGUGCUUUUUAAGCCAUUGCUGUUAUAACUAAGAAGAAUAAAGAUGGAGAAAAUAGCAUUGCUCAGACUUUUUAAUUUCUGUUUUUCCCAUUUACCUUUAUUUUGACAAUGCAUAAUGAUAUGGCAGUCUAUUGACGAGCCUCUCCAUUUGCAUAGGUUACUACAAUACUACUAACAAACUGUUGAAAACAACAAGUAGCAAUACUUACAAUUAUGACAACUCAAGAAUCUCAUGAAAAGAUACAUAGAUCAUAACCUUAAAAUAUUCGUUCUCCCCUCCCUUUUGCCAACAAUUUGCUUAGAGCUAUGACCACCUUCAACCAAGGUUACAAACCAUUUGGGUUUUCUCGCUCGAAAAGCAACAUAUCCCAUAGCCACUCCAAAAAUGAAUCCAAAUCCAUAACCAAUCAAAACCACUUCCCAUCCAAAUUCGAACUUUGAACCAUCCUCAUUGUGCGAGUUCAUCGAUGGUGGUGGUUGUCGUGGCUCAUUACUGCUGCAAGCUAUAGAGAGUGGAAGUCCACACAAUCCCUUAUUUCCUUCGUAUGAACCAUUUUCAAAAGUGUUGAACUGCUUGCCUUGUGGUAUAGGUCCAACAAGUUGAUUAUUGGAAACGUUGAAGAAGGAAAGAAAUGUCAAAUCUACCAGCUCUCUUGGAAUUUGCCCAUCCAACUUAUUAGACGAAAGAUCUAACCAUUCAAGCUGAGUCAAAUUUCCAAGGGACAGUGGGACAUGAUCAACGAGAUUGUUAUGAGAUAGGUUAAGUCCUCGGAGUGAAUUAAGCUCUCCAAUAACUCUUGGAAUCUCUCCUUCAAAGUUGUUUCCAGAGAGAUCAAUGGUUGUCAAUACAGUUAAAAUCUUAACCAAUUCAAUCUCCAACCCUUUUACGACUAAAGCAACAGAGUAAUCAUACGAGUAAUCAUAUGCAUUAUCUCUUUCCUCCAUGUAACGCACAGCUUUGGCCUUGUCAAGAUUCAUCAUUCCUUUAAAAUUUUUUAUAAAACUGAUUGGUAAAGGACCAAAAAAGUUAUUCUGGGAGAGAUCAAUGAUUCGCAAUUUUGAAAGAGAUUGCGGAUUUUUAGAAGCACCUAUCAAACCUUGGAAUUUAUUGGAAUGUAGUACAAGCACUUGCAACUCUGAUAGUGCUACGAUCCAAUGAGGAAAAGUAUCGUUUAUCUUGUUGUUGCCAAGAUCUAGCACUUCCAAGUCUUUGCAAUUGCUGAUUGAUCGAGUCAGUGGCCCUUCCAAAUGAUUGCUAUUCAAGUUCAGAUUCUUCAGUCCACAUCCUCUUGCAAAUGUUGGGGGAAUGAUUCCAUGGAGCUUAUUCAUCUUCAAAUUCAACGAUGAAAGACUUUUGCUAAAGCUUCCAAUACAUUGUGGGAUGAUUCCACUCAAGUUAUUAUGAGACAAAUCGAGAAUCUCAAGAAAUUUCAUAUUGCAAACACCAGAAAUUUGGCCAUAAAUUUUAUUGUUGGAAAGGUCUAAAACUUUUAAAACUUUUGACCCUUCCAGAAAUUUUGGAAAUUCACUGAUGUUGCAAGACUUUAAAAUCACAUGCUCAAGAUUUGGUAAAAAAAAAUUCACGCUGUUGUUGGAGCUUAUUAGUGAUAGGAUAUUAGAUGAAAGUACAACCAAGGUGAGAUUCAGAAGCUUUGAGAAUAUGUCCCAACUUAUUGUACCGUUUAGACUAUUUGAUGAUAAAUCAAGAAAAGUAAGGUUUACAAGUUUCGAUAUUGAGCUUGGAAUGGUUCCUUGAAAGGUGUUAUUUUUGAAAUUUAUGUAGUCCAAAACACUUUGUUGGAAUUCUUUGAUAUGACCAAUGAACUGGUUGUUUCCAAGAUCUAAAAAAUUUAAACUUGGAUGGGUAUAAAGCCAAGAUGGUGUUGUACCGCUAAGUAAGUUAUCAGAUAAAUCUAGAAAUCCUAGAUUUGGAAAUGCGUUUGGAUUAUCAGGAAUGCAACCCUCUAAUCGGUUAAAAUUAAGAGCAAGAAUUCUCAGUUGUGUGAGGUUUGUAAGUGAAGAUGGUAUCUUACCACUAAAAUUGUUAUAUGAAAGGAAUAAAAAACUAAGGUGAGAUAGAUUUCCUAGUGAUCUUGGAAUUGAUCCAAAAAAGUUAGAUCUAAUGAGACCCAAACCACGUAAAGACUUUAGAUUGCCAAUUGAUUCUGGCAAUUCUCCAGAGAAAGACGUACCAGAUACAAGCAAAUCCUCAAGAGGACUACUCCAAUUGGAGUUUGGAAGCUGACCACUGAGACUAGGAUUGUUAAACAAUGUGAGGUACUUGAUUUUGGGAAGAUUGAAACUGUUCUCUGGAAAUGUUCCACGUAAAUCACAACCAGUGAGACUAACAGAUGUGAGAGAAUAGGAUAGAUUCAUGAAGGAGUUAGGAUCAACGGAUGACAUGUUUAUUCCAUCAAAAGAAAUAUCUCUGACCUCUGUUAGAUUCCGAAAAAUUCCAUUUAGAGUGGAUUGCUCAAGUUUCAGAACUGAUUCAAAUGAUUGAGAGAUAAGAUCAAUAGCUGAAGCGGAUGAAAGAUCCAGGGAAACUAAUUUGGAUAGAUAGGAGAUUUCAUAGGGAACUCGACCGGAAAACCAAGAACGGGAAAGGUCGAGGUGUGUUAAGCUUGCAAAGAGACCAAACUUGGAUGAAAUUUUGGAUUUCUUAAAAUCAUUGACAGAUAAGUCGAGCCUUUGCAAGUGUGAAAGGAGGAAGAGGCUGCUGUUUGAAGGGAGUGUGCCAGAAAGCCAGCUGCAACUUAGGUCAAGGCUGAUUACUUGACCGGUGAUGUUGUCACAAUUGACUCCAUCCCAUAAGCAGCAAUCUAUACUCUCCCUCCAUGAGUUUGUCUUAGGAUAAGAUCUAAUUUCACAAUGUUUGGAAGCAGUUUUGUUGAUGGAGAAGAGGGCUUUGAAUUGGAUCAAGGCAGCACUUUGGUCAUGAGAGCACAAUUGUGUUGCUGAAGAGGAAGAUGAAGAGGAUGGAAGAGUAGCUUGAUAACUUAGAAAUAAUGGGAAGAAAAGUAAUUGAUAGAAGAUUGGCAAGUAUCUCAUCUUGCUACUUCAAGGGUUAUGUAUAAUGUGAUGGUUAAGCGUAGUGAGAAGGCAUUGAUCAUGAAUAUUUAUAAUAAGUCUAGAAGACAUGUUAUGGCAUAGAAUAGAAGAAUGGUUGGCCUCAAAAGUCUUGAGGAAGGAUAACAUUUUGUCUCAUUAACGAAAAGCUAGAAAGGAUUGUUCAGAGAAAUGAAAGUAGACUUUCCGCUGUCUUUCCUACAAUCUUUUCCAUCAAAAAAAAAAGAAAAGAAAAAGAAUAAAUAAAGUGGCUAAAAGGGGAUUCUUCAUACGAGGGCUAUGAUUAUAAUUUUUAUGGAUGGUAGGAAAGGCAAAUUUCCGGAUCCGCACUCUUUCAGAUUGUAUAGAGUUGAGACUAAAGCUCUCUGCCUGUUCCUUCUCGUUGGGCCUCAGCUGUAGGAGACUCAAGUCAAUUGUUCUCAUACACAUUAAUAAAAUAAUAAUAAAAAAGAACUUUAACUUAAAGUCCCAACGACUUUUCUUAACAAAAAUCCCAAUUGUACUUAGGCCAUAGAGGGCCUGUUUUGGAUGGGAAAGGGGGGACAAUGGAGAAAAAAGUGAGAAGGAACAAAAGGCCAGGCCAACCCAAGACCCGAUGGAUUGGCAAGUAAAAAAAAAAGGCCCAAGGAAGUAGGCUUAAGAAAAUUAAGCCUCAAGAGACCAAUGCCCAAUUCAAGUGGGUCUUUUUUGAGGUAAAAAUUCUUUUUGACCUAAUUUUUUUAUAUAGUUAUUUAUUCAUUUCUAUUAUUGUGUUUAUUUUUUAUUUAGAAUUCUAAAUCAUUUAAAUGUCAAAUUAAUGACUAUUUGGUUAAUUCUCUAGGAUAAGGUUUUUCUUUGAAAUAUGUAGUGAUAUAUUUUGAAUUAAUUUUCUUAUGGUUAUAAUUUUUUACUCCAGCAAAGUGUUGGGAGAGUCUCCUAAAACUUUAUUUCAUUAUUAAAAUUAAUUUAAAUAAUCAUUAAUAAUAAAAUAGAGGGUUCAGGGUAAGUAGGAUUCAAUAGAUAUAAAUGGUAAAAAAUAGGAUAAAAAUUAUAAGAGUAAUAGAUAAAUCAACAAAAAUAAUAAUGAAUUAAUAUAUUUUUUAAAAAGGAAGAAGUAUAAAAAAUAAAAAAAUAGUCUAAAAACACAAAAAAAAUUAAAUAAAUAAUAGAAAUAUAUAUUUUUCCAAAAAAAACAAAUAAAAUAAUAAGAUAAAAAAACUUUGCAUAAUCAUCCUUCGUUAUUUAUUGUAUCACAUUCAUUUGGAAAUAUUAAUUCUUGUAAGUAAUGAAAAUUUGCAAUGAUGAUACUUUUUUGAGAAAGUUAUAAAGACAAAUUUCUUAAAAAAUUCUCUAGGUGAGAAAAUAUUUCUCAAGCCUUGAGAGCUUUUAGAAAAGUUUGUGACACAAAAAUUUUUAUUUAAUAUUUAAUAAAAUUAGAAAAUUGCAUCAUUCAUUACAUGUUUGCAUCAUACGCAUAAAAAAAUUUAAUUCAGCCCAUAAAUGAAAAUCUUUGACAAUGAGAUUUUUAAGGAAAAUUAUGCAAACACAUUCCUUAAAGAUUCCCUAUAUGAGGAAAUACUUCUAAAUUAUAUCAAAUUGUUGGGAAAAUUUAAAAGAGUUUCCAAUAUAAUAGAUUUCAUUUAUUUAAUAAAAUCAAUAAAAAUAUAUUUUGGAGAUAAUGAGAACAAUAAUGGUGAAAUAAUAAUACAAAUUAAUAAAUGAAAAGAAAAACACAAAGUUCAAAAUCAAGACUUUCUUCUCUCUCUAUAAACCGAAUGUAUCUUAUGACAAAGCCUACUCAAGAAAAUAAGUUUGUUUUCUUGAAUACUAUUGAAUUGAAGAAAUUUUCUGAAGUCUCACCAGAAUGUUGGGAAAGCAUAGGAAAAUGCUCCAAUAAUAAUGUAUAAAAAAAUGAAAGAGAAAGACAAAAUAAAUAAAUAAGGGAAACAUAAGCAAACAUGAAAUUCAAGACUAUUAAUUAAAGUUAAAAGGAGACAAUACAUUAUGAUUAGUACCGUUCUUUGAAUGGGUAUUGCAAGGGUAUUAAUACUUUCCUUAUACGUAACCAUAUUCUAGAAUCUUAAAAACUGUUUUGUAGAUCAGAAACUUUUUUUUAAAAAUAACUUAAAUCAAGUUUAUAUUUAUUCAUUCAUGACUUUGGCUGUCGGUUUUUUGUUCAUUGAAAAUGGGCUCGUGGAGCAAAGCAAUUUCAGGAAUGUAAAGCUUUGCCGAAUAUGCAAGGGGCUUUGAUGACUGGGUUUGGAGUGUCGAAUGAUGCUCCAUUUUCUGCUGAAAAUUUGAGUAGUGCAAUGGUUCUGUUGAUAUGUUUUUAUUGUUGUACUAAUGUUGUUUGAAGUGAACCUGGUUUUGAGAACUUAUGAAUAGUGGGUUUUUGUGUUUUAUAGGACUGGUUGAUAGGCUAAGGACUUUGUUGAUGUAAGUCUUCCAAGUUAAGGCUUCUAUUUUUGUUGUUAGUUUGUUUUUGUAUAAGGUAGGGAAAUGAUAGCAUUGUUAGUUUCUUUUUCUGCAAUAAAUGUGGAAUUUUUAUUUAUAAUUCAAUAACAACAAUUGUCAUAUCUAAUAAAAGCCUAAGAUCUACCACAAGAAAAUUAUAGAUAAAAGAUACACGUACCUUAAAAACAAUUCAAGUAUCUCAACUUCAAAACAGAUUAAAUUUUAGAUCAAGAUUCAAGAACCUCAAAAACGAUUCAAGUGUUUUGCCUCUAAAAAGAUUUACGCUUCUUCUUUUUUUACAGUUCUCUAUUUUCUAAAAACUGUUACUAAAUAAUUCUGAUGGCCAACUAAGUAACAACCAUUACUUUUAUAGAUAUACUAAUAGACGUGGAUCCAUUAGACCUAAUCAUAGUCCAAUAAGACUUAUAUAUAAAACUCGAAAGAAGAAUAUGCGUGAGAUCCUUAAAAAUCUCUCUUUACAGCUAUAGGCCCAAGUCCUUGUCAACUCAUAACUCAUAUUUUAGUUGGAAUUUCAUUGAAUUUAAUAUUAUUAUUUAUUUUCUUAAAUUAAUCAAGAAAUCUUAUUUACCUAUUUGUUGCAAUAAUGUCCAUCAAUAUAUUGCAAUUGACCUCUACAGAGAAAAGAAUUAUCAAUGAGAUCCCUUUCAUUAUAAUCUUUACUAAUCAGUCCUUUCACCAUACCAUAUUCUUCAUGGGCUUUAUGGAUAAAAAAUUUUCUUUAUUACAUUCAAUCCAUGUAAUACCAAUUCAUGACUUUCAUUCCUAUUGGACUUUAAAAAAAUAUUUUUUUUUUGCAAAAAUACACUAUUAUACAAUAUUAAUAUAAAUAAUAUAUUUCUAAAACAUCUUUUAGAAAACAUACUGGCCGAAUUUUUUGAGUCCAACAAUCUUAUAAAAAUAGCUUGAAUAUUUUUCUCAAUAUAGAAUGGUGAAUCCUUUAUUAAGUAUCCAAUAUAACUUAUUUAGUAUGUACAUAACGCAACAUAGCAAGGUAUAGCCUUAAAUUCAAUAUCACAUAUUGGUAACAUCAAAGUCAUAUAUAUACUAAAUAAAUUUUAUUGACCUCUCAAGUUUAAGGAUAAUAAAUAAAUUGUAAUAGAGCUAUUUUUUAAUUAUUGAUAGUGACAAACUUAUAUGGAGCUCUUUAAUUGGAUCAUGUUCAAUGAAUGUAUCUCAUAUACUACACCUACUUGUUUGCUUUAAGGUCACUACCUCAAUGUUAGAGUUAAAACAUUCUGUCAUUAUUUAUAGAGCCAUAAUAAGUGUAGGCUUUAAAUAGUUUGUCACAUUUAGCCUAUAACAAUUUUGGCAAAUAAGGAACUAAAGAAUUAUAACUCCUUACUUAACAGUUCAUCAAAUAUUAGCAUAGUUUUUCUACAAUGUUAUCAAAUAAUUUACUAUCAUAUCAUAUAUGUCAUAAAUAAAUAAAAUACCUAUUAAAAUAUAAUAUAUAUGAAAUCAGUAAUUGAUGUAGCAAUUUAUCUAUCUAAUAAAUAAAUAAUAAAGUUAGUUUUUAACGGCAUAUGUCCAACAAGCAUGUUGCCAAUGGCUUAUGGUGCAGCCAAAUCUUUUGUUAGUGCUCUGUACUCUUACCCACACUAGUCACUUCAUGCCACCAAAAGUCUUCUGUCAAACAAGUUAAAGACUUAUCAUGGCAUAAUUGGUAAUGGAUGAAUAACUAAAUGUUUUUUUAAAAAAAUUUAUGAUCUAAUUAAAAAGUAGAUUCAAUUAAGUGACCAAAGUGAAACAAAAGAAUUAGUAAUUAAUUUAUUUCAAAUAAAAUGAUCGGAUUUCUAGAUCCACACGUUACGACAGAAUCAAUUCAUCAUGUUCUUUUUUGAAAUUAUAUUGAAAAUAUAUUUAUUAUUUGAUCAAAAGGAAUGUCAUUUUCAAACUUUCUUUUACUAGUAUUUUCGUGAUUAACUUACUUUAUGAGUUGAAUGGUUUCUAAUGGACUAUAUGCGUAUAAGUUAUCUGUAAGUUAGAUUUAUAAUCUACAAUCUAUUAAUUAUAUGUGUAAUGCAAUUUGUCUGAAAGCAACUGAAAGUCAGUGUUUCCUGUUAGAAUAUAUGACGAUGCAUAGCUAGAAAAGGAAAACAUUAUAGCACUUAAAUCUUGUAAUCAAAAUAUUCAAGCCAUAUUUAACUAUGCUUUGUGUGAAUAGACAUUUGAAGUAAAAAAAAAAUCUUUAGUUUUUAUUAAAUUAAUUAGUAGAAGAUAUUAUACAAAUAUUAUUACUUGAAGAUACCAAUGACAUUAUCUGUUCUUAUGAUCAUUAAAUUGUAGUUAAAAUGCAGAUAAGUAUUGUUCUAGUCCUCCAAGUAAAUGAAGUCUACUUCCCUUUUGAAUUGAGCACAAAUAUUAACUAGAGACUUCUUUGCUCAGAAAGGGAAUUUUCAAGAAAAUUGGAAAUGUUGAAGAUGUCCAUCAUGCUUCAAUUCUAGUUGGUAAUUUAAUUCUCAAUUCGUCCAAAAGGAAUUAACUAUUAAUUAUGGUGUAUAAUUUAGUUGUCAGUUGAUCUAAAAAGCAAUUUAAAGUCUCUGUUUCCUGUAGAAAAUAUAAUAAUGCAUAGCCAAAGAUAAAAAUAGCAUUAUCUAUUCUUAUGAUAAUUAAUAUUGUAGUUAAAUUAUACAAAUUGACAUCUUUUUUUAUAUUUUAUUUAUUAAUGUCCUCUUUAAUUAGCAUCAGCAUGGUAAAACCAUAGACGUUUUGGACGAGGUUCGAGUGGCUUUAUUCUAAAUGCCUCCUAUGAAGGCUCUAAGGCGAGAUGGUUUGCCAACAAUCUUCUAUCAAAAAUCUUGGAAGAAAAUUGGUAGCAGUGUUCAUACGUUGGUGGUUGAUUUUUUGUUGGGAAGAUUAUAUGCGUAGGUGAUAAGUCACACAUACAUAGUCCUUCUUCUGAAGGUCUCACAGUUUGAGUUAGUAAGUCAAUACCGCCUUAUAAGCCUCUGCAAUGUUAUAUAUAAAAUUGCAUUAAAGGUACUUACUAACAGGUUGAAACCUAUUUUGCCUAUUAUUAUUUCUGAUAAUAAGAGUGCAUUUGUUCUUGGGAGACUAAUCUUUGAUAAUGUCAUUGUUGCAUAUGAGAUAAUACAUUAUUUACAUAAUAAGCAAUUGGGUAAGAUUGGUAAUUUUGUAAUCAACCUUGAUAUAAGUAAGGCUUAUGACAAGGUGGAAUGGGUCUUUGUACAAGCCAUCUUGGAAAAGCUGGGUUUCUCAGAUAUGUUUAUUGAGAUGAUAAUGAGAUGCAUUACUUCAGUUACCUAUUUUGCUCUUGUUAAUGGUGGACCAGGGAACAAGUUUACACCUUCAAGGGGUUUGAGGCAAGGUGAUCCACUAUCGCCUUUCUUAUUUGGUAUGGUAAUGGAAGCCCUCUCCAGUUUAUUAAUGAAUGCAACAGUUAGCAGGAGUAUCUCUGAAAUCAAAAUUUGCAAAGAAGCCCAAUUGUUACCAAUUUGUUUUCGUAGAUGACAGCAUGAUCUUUGGGAAAGCCCAAGGCUAGGAAUCUCAAGUUCUUAAGGAGAUCUUUGUAAGAUAUGAAGCUGUUUCUAGUCAGAAAAUUAACUUUGAGAAAUCUGUUGUGUUGUUCAGCAGGAAUAGUGGUGAUUAUGAGAAGGUAGAAAUUUGCCGAAUCCUAGGAAUCAAUAAUGGCAAUUGGGGUAGGAUAUAUCUUGGCAUGCCAUUGGUUAAUGGGUGUUCCAAGCGACAAAUCUUUAGUAAAAUGAAGGAAAAGGUGUUGAAGAAAAUCUUAAAUUGGAAGAACAAGCUGAUUUCCAUUACUGGGCGUGCAUGUUGAUCAAAGUGGUGGCUUAGGCGAUUUCUACCUAUGUGAUGAGUAGCUUCAAAAUGCCUGACUCUUUUUGUAGUGAGAUAGAUUCGGCAAUUGCAAAAUUUCGGUGCGGUGGUACAAAAAAUGCAGCAAAAAUUCACUGGAAAAGUUGGAAUUCUAUGUGUAUCUCAAAACACUAUACUGAUAUGGGGUUUGGGAUGCAAAGAAAUUCAAUUUGACUGUGCUAUCAAAACAAGGUUGGAGGUAAGAAAAAGGUACUACCCUUGCUUAUAAAAUGCUUAAGGCAUGUUACUUUUCUUGUGUUGGUUUAUGGAUGCCCCAAUAAAAUCCAAUUCUAGUUAUCUCUGGCAUAGUAUCAAGAAAAGUCAAUUUGUCCUUUAAAAAGGUUUGGUGAGGCGAUGGUAAUAAUAUCAUGGUGCAUGCUGACAAAUGGAUAAUACCAUAUGAGACUCCUAGGAAUGUGGUAGUUUGUAAUGAUGAGGUUGGCGAUAACAUGGUUGUGGGUGAAUUAAUUGAUGCAGAUACGAUGACUUGGGACAAAGAGAGAUUGAGUUUGUAUUUUCCACGAUAUGAGUGCAGCCUUAUGUUAUCCAUAUUGCUUAGCUUUAGAAGACUAAAUGAUUACCAAAUUUGGUUUAGCAAUAAGUACAGUGAGUAUACGGUGAAAUCGGGGCAUUGGAUGCUAAGCUUUCCUAUGGGAAAUCCAGGGGUGGGUAGCUCAUCAUCAGGUAUACAAGGAAUUUGGAAAAAAUUGUGGACGCUAGGUGUUCUGCGGAAAUUAAUUUUGUUUGCAUGGAGACUGUUUAAGGAAGGUCUCAUACAAAGAAGGAUUAAUGUGGAACUUUGUGCACUUUGUGGAGUGGAAUUAGAAAUUCUUUUCCAUUGUCUUGGUGCUUGUCAAUUUGCUCGGGCUGUCUUGGUAUAGUCAAAGUGGGACUUACGUGAUUUAUGCUAUCACUUUGGGUCAAUUAUAGAAUUUUAUCAAGUGGUCUGUGAUCAGUUCGACAAAGAAAAUGUUGAAGAGGUUGUGGGAAUUUUAUCAGUUGUAUGGAACGCUAGAAACGCGCUCAUAUUCAAACAACAAAAUAUGGAUCCAAUGAUGGUGGUAGAGAUGGGCAUGGGUAGAGUGCGACAAUAUCAAUUAGCUAACACCGAUUCGACAAGGAGCGAAGUUUGGAGAGAAGAAGAUUUUGUAUAUGGGCUCGCCUCAAUGGUUUGAAAAUGAAUUCAGAUGUUGCAAUUUUUGAAGUAAAUGGCAUGAAAAUGGUGAGUGCCUGUUUCAUGGUUGAAAGUGAAGCAGGGACGAUGCAAUUAGCAGGGGUUAAAAAAUUCAGGUGUGGAUCCUUAGUGGUUGAAGCCAAAUUGAAUGCAUUAGCUUGGUCUUUAUAUGUGUGCUGUCAAGAGAACUCAGCUGUAAAAGAGGUAGAGCUGGACAAAAGUGUGGCUGUUGGCUGGCUGCGAGAGAAGAAUUACAAAGGUGGUGCAAGGAACAUUGUUGAGGACUGCUGCCUACUCAUGGAGCAACUAAGGUGCAUUGGUGCAUCACAUUGUACUAGGGAAUCUAAUCGCUCUGCUCAUUCAGUUGCCCAACUGGGAAGGAAGUUGCAGCAUGAGAAUGAUCAACUUAUAUGGACAAGUUUGGAGGCUUUGCCAGAACAAAUCCUUAGUGUCUUAAGGCAAGAUUGGAUUGGGUUACAAAAAGCAGAAGAUGGGUAAUGAUUGUAGAUUUUUAAGAUUAUAGCAAUACAUGUUUUUUAGAGUGCUCUUUUCCUUAUCCUUUGUUUUUUCCCAUUGGGUUUUUCCUUGGAAAGGUUUUUAACAAGGCUCAAAAAUCAUGUAUUAGGGUCGUAACGAAGUUUAUUGGGUGGAGAAAUUUUAUACUGUUAUAUUGGUUAUUCCUUACAUGUACUGUUUCUUGAUGAUUAAUGAAAUUUAUCUUUCUUCAAAAAAAAAAAAAACUAUAGGCUUUUUUGUUCAACGAGGGAUUUUUCAAGAAAAUACUGUUCUUUUUCUACUGCUGGCUAGACUAAAUUAGGGAUGAUGAAGUGAAAAAAAAAAAGAAGAAGCAAAAUUCUGUUUUCAGCUUAAUAAUUUAGAAUUUUAUUGAAUGAAUCUAAGUCAACCAAAUUCUUUUUAACUAAAGUGAAAAAGUUUUUACUACGAAAGGAUAAUUAAAAUGAUUGCCUCUUAAAAUUUUAAUAUUUUGAACUUAUAUGGAAAGCCUAUUCAAGUUUUUAGAAAAGUUAUAAAUAAAAAAUUUCUUCAAGAAGUAAUAAUGUAUAGUAACAAAUAUAGUGUAAGAUCCUUUUAUAUUCUCACUUUAUUUUUCGAUAAAUCAUAAAAUUAUAAGGAGAAUAUUUUUUUUCAUUCAUCUUUUUAUUUGAUCUAAUUCUUGUCUCUCAAUUUCAUUUAGUUUUUUAUGUAUAAUUAACAAAAAAUAAUUCGAUAUAUUUUUUUACAUUAAAACUUAUGAUUGAUGAACAUAAUUAUAUGAAAUAAUUUUUUACAUAAUACAUGAGAUAAUACAUUAUUUACAUAAUGAGGAGUUGGGUAUGACUGGUAAUUUUAUAAUCAACUUGAUAUGAGUAAGGCUUAUGACAAGGUGGAAUAGGUCUUUGUACGAGCCAUCUUGGAAAAACUGGGUUUCUCAUGUAUGUUUAUUGAGAUGAUAAUGUGUCAAGCCCGACCUUAUAAAAUACUUUCCAUGUCAUUCAUAUGAUUGACAAUAUGCUUGCAUACUUGGAAAGCCCCGAAAGAAAAAUCGUUAAAAGACGACAAUGUACCAAAUGGUACAAUUAAGUUAAUUUAAGCCUCGAAUUAGAUUAAAUAGAGAAUUUAAAAUGAAAUUAAGAAUAUUAAACUCCCAGAAUGGUUUAAUAUGGUGAUUUGGAGUUCGAAGAUCAAUUUGGAGUCAAACCGAAAUUUUUACUGUCUAGGGGCAAAAUGAUCAUUUGCCUACCUAGGGACACAACGAGAAUUUUUAGAAAAUAAUUUUUUUAUUUUUUUUUGGCCCCAUUUGACUUAUUGGAGUAUAAUUUGAGGGUUUGGCAGUGAAAAAGUUUAAUUUCGGUGAUUUAUAGAGUGUAGGGUAAAAAUCGUAAUUUUACCACCCGUAGAAAAAUUUUCAGAUUUUGAGAGAAUUUAGAUCAAAUUUGACAAAUUGGAGAAUGGUAUGAGUAUAAGGGAUGAAAAAUAUGUCUAUGGGCAAUUUUUUAGUUUUUGGGGUAAAAAUGUAAUUUUUGACUUUUAUGGGGGCAAAAGUGUAAAUUGUAAAAAUUACUCCACCAAGACUUUGGAUAAGUCUGAGAAUUUUAUCUAAGCUAUGGAUAUGUGGGACAAGUGUAUGGUGAAAUUUUGGAAACAAAUGGAUGGCUAGAAUUUAAGGAAUUAAUAAAACAUUAAAAAAAUAAUAAAAUAAUAUUAUAUUAUUUUAGCCUUUAAAAAGGUAAAAAUUCCAGAAUUCUCAUCUUCUUCAGCUGUCCAAACCAGGGGAGAAAAGGGGGAAAAAAACAAAUAAGAACCCUACCUGAAAAUUUGGGGAAAAUCAAGAGAAAUCAAGAAAUCAAGCAUUGAAAAGGUAAAUUUCAUUGAUUUUCCUUGUGAUUUUCACUACCCAUGCAUUUUUUCCCCAUUUCCAUGCAAAAUUAGAAAGUGGGUAUGGACACCCAUGCUGGCCAAACCUCCAUGGAUGAGUUUUGAGCUUGAUUUUUGGUUGAUUUUAAUUGAAUUAAGUGAUUUUAGUUAAGUUAUAUUGAAAUAUAGCAAAAAUAAGCUAGAGAUAUAAUUUUCUCCCAUUGAAACCCAUUAUGCCGAAUUUUCUAGGGGAAUAUUGGCUGCUGAUCUUGAUGUUUAUUUGAGGAAUUAUGAUGAAUAAUGAUGAAUUAUGAGCCUAGAAAAAUAAUGGGAAUUUUCGGAGCAAAAAUAUGAAUUUUUACCCACUAGGGGUAUUUUCGUAAUUUGCUAUCGAGACUGAUAAUUUGCACCACACUGAGGGACAUUAAGUCAAUUUGGGUGCAAUUGAGGUAUAGAAACUGAAAAAAAUUAAUUUGGAGUUUAAACGGACGCGUAUAUCGAUUUAUCGGGUAAAAGACCGAAAUAGGCUAACACCGCAUUUAGGCAAAAAUUUAGACAUUUUUGCAUUCCAUAUCAAGCAUUAGUAGUCUAAAUUAGUUUAAUUUCAAUUUAGUACCAAUGUGGUGAAUUUCUCGAUUUUGUACUGUGUCAAGGUGGUGAGUCCUCCGAUAAAGGCAAGGGAAUUGCACCCGAGGACCAAUAGUCUGAGUAUUUCGAAAAUCCCCACUCUAGACACGGUGAGUAACCUUACCAUCAUUUUAAUUAUCUAAAGUAUGUUUUUAUUCGGUUUUGGUGAAUUUUAUGAAAAUGAGUUCAAAUGGUAAAUUUUUAUGUUUUGUAAACAAAAUGAGUUUAAAUGAAAAUAUUUUAUAAAUUGUCUUGAAACGAAAUAACGAUUUUGAAAAUAGAGUAAUUGGAGACCACUGAUAUGUUGUAAAUUUAAAAUUGAAUUAAUGGCUUAUGUUAUUGUAUUGGCAUGACUGGCUGGGCUGUGUUUUUUAUGAAUUGUAUGAAUUGCUUUAUUUUACCCUUGCAGGCUGGGUAGUAAUAUAUUAGCCCUGUCAUGCUGUCAAAAUUUUAUUGUAUGGUGGGUUUGACCUGCUGCAGUGGGCUGGAUUCUGUGGACUAGCCUAUUAGAGGGGCACGGAAUCCUGUUAUAUUUUUACCUCGGUUGGAGAGGCGAGUAGGGUAACUCCUGAGGUAUAACUUUUAGAGUUCACUUCACGCCAAACCACCUCGUGAAGGGGAACUCGGCCAACGUCAAGGAAUGGCUAUGUUUUCAAAAUAAAAACAUGACUUUCUAAUAGCCUUGGCGGACUCAGUUGGGAUAGCCCUCGGCCAAGGUAUCCCAAAUAACUGAGUAUGAUAAUAAUUUUUGGCAUGAGCCAAGCUUUUUAAGAAAUUCAUAAGCCAUACUGAUUACUUGCUUUAAAUAAAUUGAUUUCAUUUGGUUGAAAUAAGUUGAAAGAUGAUAAAUUACAGUUUGAUGAAAUGUUUUAAUAGUCUCCUUUUACUCGACUUUAGAUAUUUUGAGUGAUGUUUGUUUACUCACUGGGAUUUUAUAAUCUCACCACCCUCAUUUCCACCCAUUUCAGGCUCAGAAUAGAUUGUAGAUAACUGAUAUCGGCGAGGAUUACAGUUGAACUUGCCACAUCCAAAGACUGUAGGUUCAUUUCUUUUGAUACUUUUGGUCAUUCGUGGGCCCACGUGUCACUGUAAAUUAAAUUCUAUACUUUGGUUAUCUGUAUUACGGUAUGUAAGAAUUUAUUUUGCUUUUACGCUAUAAAAAUUAUUUAUGCAGUGUUCUUAAAAUAUCGUUUUAUGUGAAAAUUGAAUAUUUUAUUGAAUAUUUUUAUUUUAUUAUAACAGUCAUAAUUCCAUUUUAAACGAAUGUUUUAGACAUCCAAAAUUAUUUUUGAUUAAGAAAUAUGUGUUUUCCACUUACAUACUAUAUUUUUAGAUGAUUUUUGAGAUUUUUGGGAUAAAUGACAAAAAUACCCCUGUGAGACGGAAAUUAUUAUUUCAUUUGUUUAAGUUGGAAACAGUUUAAAAUCUUUUAAAAUGUGGUAUUUGGAAACAGUUACCCACAGGGGAAAUGAGAAGCUGAUAUUAAAGCCUUGCGGGGUCUCGGUUGACAUUCUGGGUAAUGAAUGUAAAUUGAGACGUCGCGGCGGUUGUCACGGGCUCGAUGGGAGUUCCGGGUCGUGACAAUUAAGUUGGUAUCAGAGCUGUUGGUUUGAAAGAUUAGAGUUUUGGGUUUAAAGUUAUUUUAAAGCUGUUUUAAAAAUUUACAGUGUCAGUGUGGCCCCGAGUUAAGUUAGGUUAGGUUGAAUAAAAUACAUGCAUAAGCAUAUAGAGCCUGAGGUUGCCUAAACUCACUUUGUUCCCUCUUAUAGAUUAUUAUGUCUCCUCGACGCGAACAACCACCUUUCACUAGAUCAGCUGGGAGGGGAAGAGGUCGUUUCCAACGUCGUCAGUUAGGUGCAAUAGAGGAGGAAUUGACUGCAUCCACCAUUCGGGCAGCACCUGCUGCUGAACAAACCAAGACUCCUCCACAUCCUCCACCUCCUCUACCACUUACUAGUAUUCCUGCUAUGCCUCUUGAGGCAGUUCAGGCAUUAGCAGCCUUCUUUACUGCUAUUGCUGGCCAGGCUCAAGCUGGUCAAGCUCUUCCUACAGUUCCUCUGGCUGCUCCUUCAGUACCACCAUCCCCACCUCCUGUCCCACCACCAGUGCUGGAUGUUUCUGAUUCUAAGAAGCUUAAAGAGGCUAGGCAACAUAGUUGUGUUUCUUUUAUGGGUGAGUCGGACGCAACCGUGGCUAAAGAGGUGGUGCGAAUGGCUUUAAGAGCCGAGAAGCUUGCGAAUGAAAAUAAGAGUCUGCGAGCUGAGUUAGCAAAAAGGAGAAAUCUAAGUGUAUCUUCUAGUCAGCCACCAAACAGGGGCAAAAACUCCUCUGUUUCAGGAAGUUCACGUAGAUGCAGAAAUUGUGGGAAUUAUCAUGUUGGGCCGUGCAGAGGGCCUGCACGAUGUUUUCAUUGUGAUCAACUGGGUCACAUUAGGAGAGAUUGUCCACAGUUAGGACGGGCUACGGUAGCUGCUCCAUCUCCACCAGCUCAUACGGAUAUACAGAGGAGAGAUUCCUCUGGAUUGCAACCGAGACAGGGAUGAUUUUGACAUACCACCAAGGGUAGAUUAAAUAAGUUGAAAUUAGUGCUCUAAUAAAGUACGUAUGAUAGAAAGCUAGUUUGUAAGUUGUAGUUUUCAUGCUCAUGAAAUAUAUAAAGAUUAUCAAUAUAUGGACAUACAUUUGGAGUUGUAAUUUACAAGUUUGAAGUAUUUAAGAUAUGAUUAAAUGGAAUUAGCAUUAGUUAGGGUACGUAAAUCUUUUAAUUAAUUUCUAUGGAGUAUGCAUGAUAGUAGAAUGGAGGAACAUAGUGCAGUGAUGCUAUAUGGUGAAAUCACUAUACAAUAUGGAAAGGGUAUUUUCGAGUGGGAUUUAUUGACUGAUGAUAAGUGAUGAGCAAUUUGAGAUACAUGUAGCUAUGAAUAAAUUUGGAGAUUUUUGCUUAAGCAAACUUGUAUUAAAUGUUAUGGUAAAGAUAUAUGAAUGCUAGUGGCAAAAUAAAUACGUUAAAUCAAUGUUUUGAUCGCACACUUGUGAUAGAAAGUUAGUCUUGCUAAUUGUGGUAUAGACUCGAAGGGAAGCCACACGAUUGUGAAUAAUUGAGGUAGUAGCUUUAAAGGUGGAAGAGUUGCUAAGAUAAAGUGAAUUCAAACCGUUGCAACGCCACAGUUCUGACUAUUAAACGCUGUCACGUUAAGAACCCCUAAUGGCUAGAAAGCAGAGCAAAUUGAGAGUGGCAUGAAGAUGAAACACACGAGUUGAAGAAUGGUCAUUGGUUUUCAUGCUAAGCUUUGUUGUUUGGAGUCUUAAGUGCAUUGGGAGGUAUUAAGAUAAAGAUGAUGAGUGAAAUUGCAAAGUUUUUUUUUUUUUUUUUUAUUAUUGCCUUAUAUAUAUUGGCAUGUAAGAGAAAGAAAAGUUAGAGAAUUUUUGAGAUGGCUACAUAAAAAUAAAUUAACAUGUGGAGUGUUAAGAUGAAUAAUAUGAUGACUGAAGUCAAAUCUUAAGAAAUAAAGAAGACAAGAGAUUAAGUCUUGUUAAAGACUAAAGAGGAAGCGAGCGAAAGGUUAGAUGAAUGUAUGAGAUACUGAUAAGAGAUGUCAAUAGCAAGUGAGGAAAAUGUAAAUAAAGAUUUCAAUAAUGAUAUAGCAAAUGAGUUUAUAUAGAAUAUUGUUAUGAGAAUAUACUGAUCUUGUCUUGACCUUGUUGAAAGGAAAGGAUUAGUAACAACACAAGUAAACUAGGUGACAUGCUAGAAACCCAUGGAGAUAAAUUGAAGCAUGAGUAGUUGGGCAUGCCUUUAUGGAAAUGAUAUACUUGGUGUAUAAAAGAGUAAAUAAGUGAUUAAGUGUUUCAAGAAUGUUUAAACGCCCUUGAGAAAGAAUUAUAAGUUAUACAUGAUGAGCAUAAGAUGCGUGACUUUGAAACUUGCUAAGGAGCCAAAUGGCUAAGUUACGGGUUAAAUGAUCAUAUGUUGUGAGACAUAAAUUUAAAAUAAAUAUCCCUAAGGAAAUACUCAAGAGAAGUUCUGCCAUGGAUCUUGUGAAAGCAAGCACUAAGUUAUGUAGUUAUAAAAAGGAAGCUAUAAGCUGAGAGUGGUAUAAGUAUUAACAUUAAAAAGUACUUGAGGAGAAUUUAGUUUCAAGUCUUGUAAUUUCAAGUACAAUUUGUAAAUUAGUUAAGGAAGAAUGAUGUUAUAUUCAUAUGAAAGAGUGGAAUAAAGGAUGAUAGAAGUUAACCUUGAUAAUGAAGUCAGAUAAUGAAACUUUCUUAAUAUAUUAUGGGAAUUGGAAUUCGAAAAUGCGUGAGGCAUACAUGAUUCAAAUGAAUCUGAGUUUUAAGUGACAAAUCAAUAUCGAAAUGCAAUAAGGAUACAAUAUAUAGGAGACAUGAAGGAUAAUCGAGGAAUAAGGAUGACUUUUAGGAAUUGUAGUAUUGCAUAAGAUGCAAUGAUCAAGUCAAGAUAAAUUUUUGAGAUACCAAUGGGAUUAUAAAACAUACACGCAUAAUAGAUUAUAAUUCAAUGGAGAUGACAUUGUGAUGCAAUGAUAUACAGUACAAGGAAACUUAAGCAUAUAAUUGGAAAUGAUAAGAAGAGAAUAUAAGUAUAUAAAUGAUGAGGAACUAUGCACAGGCAUGAUGAGAAUUUGUAUGAAUUAUGAAGAUUAUUCUAUUGAAUCUUGAUUGUGGAUGGGAAUGAAUUAAGAGAAAUUAGUCUGAAGGCAUUUGAAAACAGAGACUCGUAUACAUAAUGAGGAAUAUAGACAUUUGAAUGUACAUGUAUAUGUAUGUGUGGAGUAGUGAUGUACCCAACUAAAAUGAAUAAUGGUUUUAGUGGUUCGAGAUUUGAACUCAAUAUAUUUGAUGAGUUGUAUAGAUAAUGUAACGAUUAAGAAUCUUAUCAGAAGACGAUUUAUGGUGACCUAAGGAAUUUUGGAGAAAUAGUUAAGGGAAUAUAAUCUAUAGUACGAUUAAGCCAUAUGAGAUGGAUUAAUAGGAUUAAGAAGAUUGAAAUUUCCUAAAUGCAAAGUAAACAUGAAAUAUGUAGAAAUAAUUAAAGCCAUUAAUUUUCCCGAACGCUGAGGAUAUGUACAGGAAUGAGUAUGGCGUGUUAAUGAUAUUGUAAACUACACAAUAGUGUAUGAGGAUAGGAUGAAUGAAUGAAAGUCGAGAAGUUUGAUAUGGAAUGAAGUAAUAAGAUAGUGAUUGGUAUACCUAAAUAAGAAUAAAAUGCGAUCGAAAUUGGUAUGAUUGAGAUGGAGUUAUGGUUCAAGCUUAAUGAUAGUAAUAGAAGCAUGCUUGGUGUCUCGAUAUAAGAGAUCAUAAUUGUGAAGGUUAUUGUUGAUCUGAUUUUAAAGGAUAAUAAUAGACAUAAGCGAAGUACUUGAGUUGAAUUGGAGGUAAAUGAGGUGAACAAAUCGAAAUUCCCUAUAAAGGGGAGGACAUAAGAAGUCGAGCAUUAGAUGAGAAAACAAUACCCCCACAUUUUCUCUGAGUUCAGUACAUGAAAUUUUGAGGUCAAAAUUUUAUUUUAAGGGGGGUAGUGUUGUCAAGCCCGACCUUAUAAAAUACUUUCCAUGUCAUUCAUAUGAUUGACAAUAUGCUUGCAUACUUGGAAAGCCCUGAAAGAAAAAUCGUUAAAAGACGACAAUGUACCAAAUGGUACAAUUAAGUUAAUUUAAGUCUCGAACUAGAUCAAAUAGAGAAUUUAAAAUGAAAUUAAGAAUAUUAAAGUCCCAGAAUGGUUUAAUAUGGUGAUUUGGAGUUCGAGGAUCAAUUUGAAGUCAAACUAGAAUUUUUACUGUCCAGGGGCAAAAUGGUCAUUUGCCACCCAAGGACACAAUGGGAAUUUUUAGAAAAGAAUUUUUUUAGCCCCAUUUGACUUAUUGGAGUAUGAUUUGAGUAUUGGAGUAUAAUUUGAGGGUUUGGCAGUGAAAAAGUUUAAUUCCAGUGAUUUCUAGAGUGUAGGGGCAAAAUCGUAAUUUUGCCACCCGCGGACAAAAUUUGAGAUUUUGAGAGAAUUUAGAUCAAAUUUGACAAAUUGGAGAAUGGUAUGAGUAUAAGGGAUGAAAAAUAUGUCUAUGGGCAAUUUUUCAAUUUUUGGGGCAAAAAUGUAAUUUUUGACUUUUACGGGGGUAAAAGUGUAAAUUUCAAAAAUUACUCCACCAAGACUUUGGAUAAGUCUGAGAAUUUUAUCUAAGCUAUGGAUAUGUGGGACAAGUGUAUGGUGAAAAUUUGGAAACAAAUGGAUGGCUAGAAUUUAAGGAAUUAAUAAAACAUUAAAAAAAUGAAUAAAAUAAUAUUAUAUUAUUUUAGCCUUUAAAAAGGUAAAAAUUCCGGAAUUCUCAUCUUCUUCAGCUGUCCAAACCAGGGGAGAAAAGGGGAAAAAAAAAAAAAAAAUCCUACCUGAAAAAUUUGGAGAAAAUCAAGAGAAAUCAAGAAAUCAAGCAUUAAAAAGGUAAAUUUCAUUGAUUUUCCUUGUGAUUUUCACUACCCAUGCAUUUUUUUCUCAUUUCCAUGCAAAAUUAGAAAGUGGGUAUGGACACCCAUGCUGGCCAAACCUCCAUGGAUGAGUUUUGAGCUUGAUUUUUGGUUGAUUUUAAUUGAAUUAAGUGAUUUUAGUUAAGUUAUAUUGAAAUAUAGCAAAAAUAAGCUAGAAAUAUAAUUUUCUCCCAUUGAAACCCAUUAUGCUGAAUUUUCUAGGGGAAUAUUGGCUGCUGAUCUUGAUGGUUAUUUGAGGAAUUAUGAUGAAUAAUGAUGAAUUAUGAGCCUAGAAAAAUAAUGGAAAUUUUCGGAGCAAAAAUACAAAUUUUUACCCACUAGGGGUAUUUUCGUAAUUUGUUAUCGGGACUGAUAAUUUGCACCACACUGAGGGACAUUAAGUCAAUUUGGGUGCAAUUGAGGUAUAGAAACUGAAAAAAAUUAAUUUGGAGUUUAAACGGACGCGUAUAUCAAUUUAUCGGGUAAAAGACCGAAAUAGGCUAACACCGCAUUUAGGCAAAAAUUUAGACAUUUUUGCAUUCCAUAUCAAGCAUUAGUAGUCUAAAUUAGUUUAAUUUCAAUUUAGUACCAAUGUGGUGAAUUUCUCGAUUUUGUACUGUGUCAAGGUGGUGAGUCCUCUGAUAAAGGCAAGGGAAUUGCACCCGAGGACCAAUAGUCUGAGUAUUUCGAAAAUCCUCACUCUAGACACGGUGAGUAACCUUACCAUCAUUUUAAUUAUCUAAAGUAUGUUUUUAUUCGGUUUUGGUGAAUUUUAUGAAAAUGAGUUCAAAUGGUAAAUUUUUAUGUUUUGUAAACAAAAUGAGUUUAAAUGAAAAUAUUUUAUAAAUUGUCUUGAAACGAAAUAACGAUUUUGAAAAUAGAGUAAUUGGAGACCACUGAUAUGUUGUAAAUUUAAAAUUGAAUUAAUGGCUUAUGUUAUUGUAUUGGCAUGACUGGCUGGGCUGUGUUUUUUAUGAAUUGUAUGAAUUGCUUUAUUUUACCCUUGCAGGCUGGGUAGUAAUAUAUUAGCCCUGUCAUGCUGUCAAAAUUUUAUUGUAUGGUGGGUUUGACCUGCUGCAGUGGGCUGGAUUCUGUGGACUAGCCUAUUAGAGGGGCACGGAAUCCUGUUAUAUUUUUACCUCGGUUGGAGAGGCGAGUAGGGUAACUCCUGAGGUAUAACUUUUAGAGUUCACUUCACGCCAAACCACCUCGUGAAGGGGAACUCGGCCAACGUCAAGGAAUGGCUAUGUUUUCAAAAUAAAAACAUGACUUUCUAAUAGCCUUGGCGGACUCAGUUGGGAUAGCCCUCGGCCAAGGUAUCCCAAAUAACUGAGUAUGAUAAUAAUUUUUGGCAUGAGCCAAGCUUUUUAAGAAAUUCAUAAGCCAUACUGAUUACUUGCUUUAAAUAAAUUGAUUUCAUUUGGUUGAAAUAAGUUGAAAGAUGAUAAAUUACAGUUUGAUGAAAUGUUUUAAUAGUCUCCUUUUACUCGACUUUAGAUAUUUUGAGUGAUGUUUGUUUACUCACUGGGAUUUUAUAAUCUCACCACCCUCAUUUCCACCCAUUUCAGGUUCAGAAUAGAUUGUAGAUAACUGAUAUCGGCAAGGAUUACAGUUGAACUUGCCACAUCCAAAGACUGUAGGUUCAUUUCUUUUGAUACUUUUGGUCAUUCGUGGGCCCACGUGUCACUGUAAAUUAAAUUCUAUACUUUGGUUAUCUGUAUUACGGUAUGUAAGAAUUUAUUUUGCUUUUACGCUAUAAAAAUUAUUUAUGCAGUGUUCUUAAAAUAUCGUUUUAUGUGAAAAUUGAAUAUUUUAUUUAAUAUUUUUAUUUUAUUAUAACAGUCAUAAUUCCAUUUUAAACGAAUGUUUUAGACAUCCAAAAUUAUUUUUGAUUAUAAAAUAUGUGUUUUCCACUUACAUGCUAUAUUUUUAGAUGAUUUUGAGAUUUUUGGGAUAAAUGACCAAAAUACCCCUGUGAGACGAAAAUUAUUUUUUUAUUAUUAUUUUAUUUUUUUAAGUUGGAAACAGUUUAAAAUCUUUUAGAAUGUGGUAUUUGAAAAUAGUUACCCAUAGGGGAAAUGAGAAGCUGAUAUUAAAGCCUUGCGGGGUUCCGGUUGACAUUCCGGGUAAUGAAUGUCAAUCAAGACGUCGCGGCGGUUGUCACGGGUUCGAUGAGAGUUUCGGGUCGUGACAUAAUGAGAUGCAUUACUUUAGUUACCUAUUCUAUUCUUAUUAAUGGUAGACCAGGGAACAAGUUUACACCUUCAAAGGGGUUGCGGUAGGGUGAUCCACUCUCGCCUUUCUUAUUUGUUAUAGUAAUGGAAGCUCUCUCCAAUUCAUUAAUGAAUGCAACAGUUAACAGGAGUGUCUCUGGAAUCAAAGUUUGCAGAAGAAGCCCGAUUGUUACCCAUUUGUUUUUCGCAAAUGACAGUAUGAUCUUUGGGAAAGCCGAAGGCCUGGAAGCUCGAGUUCUUAAGGAGAUCUUUGACAGAUAUGAAGCUUUUUCUGGUCAAAAAAUUAACUUUUAGAAAUCUGCUGUGUUGUUCAGUAAAAAUACUAGUGAUUAUGAGAGGGCAGAAAUUUGUCGAAUCCUGGGAAUCAAUAGUGGCAAUUGGGGUGAAACAUAUCUUCGCAUGCCAUUGGUUAGUGGGUGUUCCAAGUGACAAAUCUUUAGCAACGUGAAGGAAAAGGUGUUGAAGAAAAUCUCAAAUUGGAAGAACAAGUUGCUUUCCAUUACUGGGCGUGAAGUGUUGAUCAAAGCGGUGACUCAGGCGAUUUCUACCUAUGUGACGAGUUGCUUCAAAUUGCCUAACUCUUUAUGUAGUGAGAUAGAUUCGCCAAUUGCAAAAUUUUGGGGGGGUGGUACAGAAAAUGCAGCAAAAAUUCACUGAAAAAGUUGGAAUUCUAUGUGUAUCUCAAAACACUAUGAUGGUAUGGGGUUUCGAGAUACAAAGAAAUUCAAUUUGACUAUGCUAGCAAAACAAGGUUGGCGGUUGCAGAAAAAGGUACCUACCCCUGCUUAUAAAAUCCUUAAGGCACGUUAUUUUUCUCAUGUUGAUUUUAUGGAUCCUCCAACAGAAUCCAAUCCUAGUUAUCUCUAGCUUAGUAUCAGGGAGAGUCAAUUUGUCCAUCAAAAAGGAUUAAUUUGGCGAGUAGGGGGUGACAAUAAUAUCAUGGUGCAUGCUGACAAAUGGAUAAUACCAUAUGAGACUCCUAGGAAUGUGGUAGCUUGUAAUGAUGAGGUUGGCGAUAACAUGGCUGCGGGUGAAUUAAUUGAUGCGGAUACGAUGACUUGGAACGAAGAGAUAUUGAGUUUGUAUUUUCCACUAUAUGAGUGAAACCUUAUAUUAUCCAUAGUGCUUAGCUUUAGAAGGUUAAAUGAUUACCAAAUUUGGUUUAGCAAUAAAUAUGGUGAGUAUACGAUGAAAUCGGGGAAUUGGAUGCUAAGCUUUUCUAUGGGAAAUCCAGGGGUGGGUAGCUCAUCAUCAAGUAUACAAGGAAUUUGGAAAAAAUUGUGGACGCUAGGCGUUCUGCGGAAAUUAAUUUCGUUUGCAUGGAGAAUGUUUAAGGAAGCUCUCAUACAAAGAAGGAUUAAUGUGGAACCUUGCUGUGCGUUUUCUGGAGUGGAACUAGAAACUCUUUUCCAUUGUGUUGGCACUUGUCAAUUUGCUCGGGCUAUCUGGGUAUUGUCAAAGUGGGACUUUCGUGAUUUAUGCUAUCACUUUGGGUCAAUUAUAGAAUUUUAUCAAAUGGUCUGUGAUCAGUUCAACAAAGAAAAUGUUGAAGAGGUUGUGGGAAUUUUGUGGGCUAUAUGGAAGGCUAGAAACGCGCUCUUAUUCAAACAACAAAAUAUGGAUCCAGUGAUGGUGGUAGAGAUAGGCAUGGAUAUAGUGCGGGCAAUAUCAAUUAGCUAACACCUAUUCGACAAGGAGUUAUGGUUUGGAGAGAAGAAGAUUUUGUAUAUGGGCUCAUCUCAAUGGUUUGAAGAUCAAUUCAGAUGCUGCAAUUUUUGAAAUAAAUGGCAUGAAAAUGGUGAGUGCCGAUUUCAUGGUUAGAAGUGAAGCAGGGACGAUGCGAUUAGCUGGGGUUAAAAAAUUCAGGCAUGGAUCCUCAGUCGUUGAAGCUGAAUUGUAUGCAUUAGCUGGUCUUUAUAUACUGUCAAGAGAACCUAGCUGUAAAGGAGGUAGAGCUGGACAAUAGUGUGGUUGUUGGCUGGCUAGAGAAGAAUUACGAAGGUGGUGCGGGGAACAUUGUUGAGGACUGCUACAUGCUCAUGGAGCAACUAAGGUGUAUUGGUGCAUCGCAUUGUACAAGGGAAACUAAUCGAUCUACUCAUUCAGUUGCCCAAUUGGGAAAGAUGUUGCAGCAUGAGAAUGAUUACCUUAUAUGGACAAGUUUGGAGGCUUUGCCAUCUAAGUAUCUUAAGACAAGAUUGGAUCGGGUUACAGGAAGCAGAAGAUGGGUAAUGAUUGUAAAGCUUUGAGAUUAUAGAAAUACAUGUUUUUUAGAGUACUCUUUUCCUUAUCCUUUGGUUUUCCGUUGGGUUUUUCUUUGGAAAGGUUUUUAAUGAGGCUCUAAAUUCAUGUAUAAUGGUCAUAACGAAAUUUAUAGGGUGGAGAGAUUUUAUAUUGUUAUAUUGGUUAUUCUUUAAAUGUACUAACUCUUGAUGAUAAAUGAAAAUUAUCUUUCUUCACAAAAUACUAAAGACUUUUUUGUGAAACAAGGGAUUUUUCAGGAAAAUUCUGUUUUUUUUUUUUCUACUGCUGGCUUAGACUAAAUUAGGGAUGAUGAAGUGACAAAAAAAAAUUGUUUUCUGCUUAAUAAUUUAGAAUUUUAUUGAAUGAAUCUUAAGUCAACCAAAUUCUUUUUAACUAAAGUGAAAAAAUUUUUACUAUAAAAGGAUAAUUAAAAUGAUUGCCUCUUAAAAUUUCAAUAUUUUGAACUUAUAUGGAAAGCCUAUUCAAGUUUAUAGAAAAUUUAUAAAUCAAAAUUUCUUCAGAAAGUAAUAAUGUACAGUAACAAAUAUUUUAUAAGAUCCUUUUGCAUUCUCACUUUAUUUUUCGAUAAAUUAUAAAAUUAUAAGGAGAAUAUUUUUUUUCAUUCAUCUUUUUAUUUGAUCUAAUUCUUUUCUCUCAAUUUCAUUUAUUUUUUUAUGUAUAAUAUUUAACAAAAAAUAAUUUGAUAUAUUCUUUUACUUUAAAACUUAUGAUUUGGUGAACAUAAUUAUACGAAAUAGUUUUUUACAUUACAUCCGACAAUACUUUUACAUUAAGUUUGCCAAACACUAUACAUCUUAGUUCCCUUUACAACACUUUUAAAAUAACUUUACUCGAACAGCACUUUUUACAACAGUUCUAACCCAACUAAAGUACUGACAAUGAAAAUGUGGGCAGCAACUUGUAGCGCACAAUCAAUCCAUCAUGCUUUAAAUGCAUUUAAAGGAUGAGGAAAAUGUCUUCAAUGCUCUCCUAAUUUUAGGUGAAAGUAAUGAGAGGCAGUAAAUUUAUUCAGGAAAGGAGUGCAAAAGUAGUUGGUAGUUGGAAGAUAAAGAAAAUUUAUUAUAAAUAUCCAGAUUAAAUGUGGAAUACCUUGGUUUAGUAUUCGACAUGGAAUAUAUCAUUAUUUAUAUUCUGCUGUCGACAUAUUUGCCUUUACUGAUGAUAACAUCUUUGACUGACCAUUGACGAAAAAUUUUGUUGCUAUUUUCAUCAAUAAUUUUUUUACCAACAAGAUCAUCAAUUUUAUUGAUGAAAAUUUUAAUUGGUAAUACUUCUUUUUUUUUUUGUAGUGAAUACGAUAUAUAAGAAAUAACUUAUAAACUAUUUAUGGAAUUUUUAAAUUUUAUGAAUGAAAUUAAAUGGCUUUUACAUGUCCCUAUAGGUUAUGUAAUAAUUAAAUAGACAUGUGACAAUGGUCUAACUCCACUUGUAAAGUUUACAAAACCCAUCACUUGUGUAUAGAACAAUAGUCCAUGUAUGUAUUGGUCUCUUUAUAUUUUAUAUCUCAAAUUUUAAAAUUCUAAAAUUUUCAUUAAUUAUGAAAUUAAUUUUAAUUUUAUGAUCUUAUAUAUGAAGAAAAAACUUUUUGACACAUUAACUAAAAAUUGCUAAGAAUAUCAAAAGGAAUUUUUUUUUGUAUGAUUUAUAAAUCUAGACAACCAAUCUAUAUUUGUAUAGAGUUAAGAUUGUUCACUCCUUAGAGAGUUAACUGAUCAAGGAAGAGGAAGAUUUUAAUACAUUGAACCCCAAUAGUUGUUUUGGUUAAUAUUGUUUCUAUUGUCAAAUCAUUUGUUAAGAAUCAAAUACAUUUUUGAAUUUUAAAUUUAUGUUUCGGUAGAUCUUAGAUUAGUAUAAAUUAAUUAUAUGUAAACAAAUAACUCUUUAAGCUUUUAAAUUUAGUUUUGAGUCCCAUCUUAUAUGAGUUUAGUUGAACAUUGUAUUAAUUUGUUGAUCUAUUUAGUUUUGUUCAUUGAUUUUUUAUAUUGGAUUAUAAUUGUAAAUGUCAUAUACAAAAACAUGGUUGUGAAUUUGCAGCUUGUUUUUUUGAAGAAAAAGAAGAUAUGUUAGUCACUAGACCUUACACGAAUGCCAAUAAAGUCAUGUAUAUGCCCAAAAUGUGACGUGUAUUUAAUGCUAAUAAAGUCAUAGCAAACAGUUAGUUUCUAGACCUUAUCUUAGAUGCCACUCAAGACAUUUUGUUGAUUGAGAAAUCUGUACUAAAUUAAUUAUAAGGAGGACCUACUACACUUCAAUUAUGUGACAUCCUUAUUAGCGUGGAAAUUUAGAGCACCAAACAUUUAGGUUGCUUGAUAACUUCAUGUUAUCCAAUUGUACUUUUUAAGCCAUUGCUUUUUUUUUUUUGAAGGUUGUUGUUCAUUAAAAAGCAGAGAGAGCCAGAGGAGCUCCUCUGGGAAAAGUACAAAAUGAAUAAGGUCUGUUACUCACCUAUUUGGGGUGUAACAGACCUUGGUCAUCACAUACCCAAUCACCAUGCCUGGAUACAAGAAAAGCUCAAGCAUACAAGCCAACAAUACCCUUCCCAGAAACAUAACAUCACCCCUACCUAAGCCCUUCCAAACGUCAAACAAAAGAAAAUCCCAGCACCCUGAGAACAAAAAGAGCAGGGUUAAAAACUGUUCACACCCUUCGAAGUCCACACCUACCUAACAACCAUACAAAACAAGGAGGGAAGCCAUUGCUGUUAUAACUAAGAAGAAUAAAGAUAAAGAAAAUAGCAUUGCUCAGACUUUUUAAUUUCUGUUUUUCCCAUUUUAUAUGGUUAAUUUAGCCAGAUCAAACAACAACCAUUUACCUUUAUUUUGACAAUGCAUAAUGAUAUGGCAGUCUAUUGACGAGCCUAUCCAUUUGCAUAGGUUACUACAACACUACUAAUAAACUGUUGAAAACAACAAGUAGCAAUAUUUACAAUUAUGACAACUCAACAAUCUCAUGAAAAGAUACAUAGAUCAUAACCUUAAAAUAUUCGUUCUCCCCUCCCUUUUGCCAACAAUUUGCUUAGAGCUAUGACCACCUUCAACCAAGGUUACAAACCAUUUGGGUUUCUCGCUCGAAAAGCGACAUAUCCCAUAGACACUCCAAAUAUGAAUCCAAAUCCAUAACCAAUCAAAACCACUUCCCAUCCAAAUUCGAACUUUGAGCCAUCCUCAUUGUGCGAGUUCAUCGAUGGUGGUGGUUGUCGCGGCUCAUUACUGCUGCAAGCUAUAGAGAGUGGAAGUCCACACAAUCCCUUAUUUCCUUCGUAUGAAUCAUUUUCAAAAGUGUUGAACUGCUUGCCUUGUGGUAUAGGUCCAACAAGUUGAUUAUUGGAAACGUUGAAGAAGGAAAGAAAUGUCAAAUCUACCAGCUCUCUUGGAAUUUGCCCAUCCAACUUAUUAGACGAAAGAUCUAACCAUUCAAGUUGACUCAAAUUUCCAAGGGACGGUGGGACGUGACCAACGAGAUUGUUAUGAGAUAGGUUAAGUCCUCGGAGUGAGCUAAGCUCGCCAAUAACUCUUGGAAUCUCUCCUUCAAAGUUGUUUCCAGAGAGAUCAAUGGUUGUGAAUAUAGUUAAAAUCUUAACCAAUUCAAUCUCCAACCCUUUUACGACUACAGCAACAGAGUAAUCGUAUGAGUAAUUUCUUUCCCCCAUGUAGCGCACAGCUUUGCCCUCGUCAAGCUUCAUCAUUCCUUUAAAAUGUUUCAUAUAACUUGUUGGUAAAGGACCAAAAAAGUUAUUUUGGGAGAGAUCAAUGAUUCGCAAUUUUGGAAGAGAUUGCGGAUUUUUAGAAGCACCUAUCGAACCUUGGAAUUUAUUGGAAUGUAGUACAAGCACUUGCAACUCUGAUAGUGCUACGAUCCAAUGAGGAAAAGUAUCGUUUAUCUUGUUGUUGCCAAGAUCUAGCACUUCCAAGUCUUUGCAAUUGCUGAUUGAUCGAGUCAGUGGCCCUCCCAAAUGAUUGCUAUUCAAGUUUAGAUUCUUCAAUCCACAUCCUCUUGCAAAUGUUGGGGGAACGAUUCCAUGGAACUUAUUCUUCUUCAAAUUCAACAAUGAAAGACUUUUACUAAAGCUUCCAAUACAUUGUGGGAUGAUUCCACUGAAGUUAUUAUGGGACAGAUCGAGAAUCUCAAGAAACUUCAUAUUGCAUACACCAGAAAUUUCUCCCAUCAAAUUGUUGUUUGAAACUGAAAAGAAUCUGACAUUGUGGGGUAGUAUUGGUAGAUCACCUUGAAUUAAAUUGGAACGGAGGUCAAGAAACUCAAUAUUUUUCCAUGAAAAUUUGGAAAUUUUGUCAUAAAUUCUAUUGUUGGAAAGGUCUAAACUUUUCAAAACUUUUGACCCUUUUAAAAAAUUAGGAAAUUCACUGAUGUUGCAAAACGAUAAAUUCACAUACUCAAGAUUAGGCAAAACAAAAUUGACUUUGCUGUUGGAGCUUAUUAGCGAUAGGGUAUUAGAUGAAAGCCCAAGCCAGGUGAGAUUUUGAAGCUUUGAGAACAUGUCCAAACUUAUUGUACCAUUUAGACUAUUUGAGGAUAAAUCAAGAAAACUAAGAUCCACAAGUUUCGAUAUCGAGCUAGGAAUAGUUCCUUGAAAGUUGUUAUUUUUGAAAUUUAUAUAAUCCAAAAAACUUUGUUGGAAUUCAUUGAUAUGACCAAUGAACUGGUUGUUUCCAAGAUUUAAAAAAUUUAAACUUGGAUGAGUAUAAAGCCAAGAUGGGGUUGUACUGCCAAGUAAGUUAUCAGAUAAAUCUAAAAAGCCUAGAUUUGGAAAUGCAUUUGGGUAAUCAGGAAUGGAACCUUUUAAUCGAUUACAACAAAUCUGAAGAAGUCUCAGUUGUGUGAGGUUUGUCAGUGAAGAUGGAAUCGUACCACUAAAAUUGUUAUAUGGAAGGAAUAAAAAACUAAGGUCAGAUAGAUUUCCUAGUGAUCUUGGAAUUGAUCCCGAAAAGUUACAACCAACAAGACCCAAACCCUGUAAUGACUUUAGAUUGCCAAUCGAUUCAGGCAAUUCCCCAGACAAAGACGUAGCAGAUGCAGUCAAAAGCUCAAGAGGACUACUCCAAUUAGAUUUUGGAAACUGACCAGUGAGACUAGGAUUGCUAUCCAAUGUGAUGUACUUGAUUUUGGGAAGAUUGAAACUGUUCUCUGGAAAUGUUCCACGUAAAUCACAACCAGUGAGACUAACAGAUGUGAGAGAAUAGGAUAGAUUCAUGAAGGAGUUAGGAUCAACCGAUGACAUGUCUAUUCCAUCAAAAGAAAUGUCUCUUACCUCUGUUAGAUUCCGAACAAUUCCAUUUAGAGUGGAUUGCUCAAGUUUCAGAACUGAUUCAUCUGCUUGAGAGAUAAGAUCAAUAUAUGAAGCGGAGGAAAGAUCCAGGGAAACUAAUUUGGAUAGAUAAGAGAUUUCAUAGGGAACUCGGCCGGAAAACCAAGAACGGGAAAGGUCGAGGUGUGUUAAGCUUGCAAAGAGACCAAACUUGGAUGAAAUUUUGGAUUUCUUAAAAUCAUUGAAAGAUAAGUCGAGCCUUUGCAAGUGUGAA
rnacentral:lncRNA from 1 species